rnacentral:lncRNA from 1 species
UUUUUUUUUUUUUGUGAGAGUUUCUUCUGAAGUACACUGUCUUGCUGUGGUGUGUUUGGAACGCCGAUAGCAAUAUUUGUGCGCUGUGAGGCUUUGUGUUUGUUUCCCUAAGAUUUCUUGCGGUUAAACAAUGUCUACUUUCUCCUUCUCUCCGAUUGUCCCAUAGUUAAUUAGUCAGUUAUUUUCCAUUUUCUUUUUGCUAUACUGACUUCUUUUUGAUUUUGUGUCAUACUGUUAUGCAGACGGAGAAGCUUUUUCUAAAGCAGCCAAAGGUAUUCCUUUGGUAAGACGGCCGAGUCGUUGGAGUUACUUAAUCUUUGAGUAUAUUUUCAAAUGGUGUUAAUAUAAUGAUUCUGGAAGACCAUUGGGCUAGGAUUCAAGACACCCAGAGAAGCCAUUGAAGGUCUAAAAUCUACUUUUCUCGUUGCUUUGAUUUAGAGCUGUCAGGCUUGUUUUCUUUAUCUUGGUCUGAAUUCAUACGACAAAGCUCUAAAAUAAAUUAUUCAAAUUGGCAAAACAUCUUGGUUACCAUUUUAUAGGAAUUACUGUGUUUGACGGUCCGAGGGAAAUUCGGUAAGGGGGCCACUCCGUGGGAAAAGGGGGAAAAGAGAGGCUUUUCUAAGGAAUUUGUCCAUUUUAAACUGAAUCCUUUUGGUCUUUUCUAAUUAUUAUUUUGGGACUGAACAAGUUUGGUAACGACCAAAAUCUUCUUUGUCAUGCCACUAUUUCUAGUUUUGAUUGCUUGAUGAUCGAAAAUGCUAUUUGUUCAUUAGGUUCAUCACAAAUACAAAGUAGGUGCUUAAGUUAUGUGCAUUAUGGGCUACAUUGGGUACUGCAAAACUAAGCAUGUCAAAAGGUUAUGAUUAAUAAAAUUUAAGUACCAAGUUUAAAAUAAAGGUCUGGCCUUCUACUUUGGUAGAGGUCAAUAUAUUUUUGGUGAGGCCCUUUGUAUGUCGUAGAUUCAAUGUUAUAGAUAUUGGUCACUGAGUAUUUUAUGUAGAGCGGUCCGUACAUGUUAGUAUUAGCUUCUAUUUAGUGGUUGUUGCCUAGUGUCUCAUAGAUAACUGUUUCCUUUUCAUCUUUUGUGAGGUCCAUACUAUCAAAAAUAAAAAUAAAUACAAGUUUCUUCUGAGUAGUUUGAGAUCCACAUACAUUGAAUGAGUUAGUUGGGUUUCUAAAAGCCCCGCAAAUAUGCUUCUCAUAUUUUGUUUUUCAUAUAAAUUCCUCGAUUAUUGUUUAUAUCAUAUUCCUAAUCUUGCCCCUAUUUUGCACUUUAAUCUCUCUGUCCAAUUCUCUGUAGCUAUAUUCAGUUUCACUUUAGGAAUGGAAAAUCUUUUCUACUUCUGGCAACACAAGUCCAACUUGCAUUUAUAUUAAGGGCUUUUUCUUAUUUUUUAGCCAAAUCCUCUUGCUCCCCUUUCUACUCUCUUUCGUUUUUGGCUCUCCUAAUGAGAUCUGUUGUUGGCAAGGGUCUUCAGAUUUUUGUUGACUUUUUGGGAGGAGUAGGCUUUCUUGUUAUUUUCUCAGAACUUCCUCACCAAAUUUAACUUGAGGUAUUGAUAUGCACAGGAUAAUAAGAAUGGAGGUACUAUGAAUAACUACAAUUAAGGGAGUUGUACACAUUAACAAAAUUAAGGGGACUAAAGUGCAAAACAUUCUGCUUCAGUUACUUUUUUUUAUAUUAGAAAAAAAGUCAAAAGUAAAUUAUCUUCAUACUAUUUUGGUACCUACAUAAACAGUUUGAUCAAUACAUUUGUUUGAUGUGUUUUUCCUUGGAGGAUUCUAUUGUUUGCCUAGUAUUCUACAUAUAAUAGAAAAACAGAACAUUAAGACAUGUACUUGCAGGUACUUACAUUGAUAAGAAAUGCCCAUUCACGGAAUGUGUCAAUUAGGGGUUGCAUCUUAGCAGGCACAUGCCAUAGUGCCAAGAUGAACCGAACCAUUAUCAUACGCAGAAACUACCUUCAUUAUGUGAAGAAAUAUCAAAGGCAAGCAAUACUUGUUGGCUCUCUGUUUUCGUUUUCCAAAUAAAUUCCUAUUUUAAUUAUUUUCAUUUUUUUCUAGGUAUGAGAAGAGACACUCUAAUAUACCAGCACACAUCUCGCCCUGCUUCCGUGUUAAGGAAGGAGACCAUGUUAUCAUAGGCCAGUGCAGGUAGGUCAUUUUUUCUUACACUAUUGCCAAGAUCCAAAAUAUAAGGAAUUACAGAAUCUUUUAAGUACAUUCUAAAACUUGUAUGAUGUGAUCCUACAUCCUGUCAACCCACAUAAGGCAAGAAAGAUAAUGAUCAAACACCGAAAAGAUAUUUUUGUAUGAAGAAAAUAAGAUGCUUUUUUUAACCAGUUGCAUUGGCCUGGUAAAAAUAUUAUGAUAGUCAAUGCUGCUUGCUCUUACAACACUCACUGAAGUGAUGAUUAUUAAUUUUGUAUAGGCUAUUGGCAAAGACUGUGAGGUUCAAUGUUUUGAAAGUUAUACCAGCUGGGACAACAAGCGGAGGCAGCAGCAAAAAAGCUAUUGCAGCUGUAUGAGGAUAAGGCUUGAAAAAUAAGAUACUGGCAGUUGGAAGUUUUAAUUAGAAAGAGAUAUACCAUUGAGGAACAAACUUUAUCAAAUUAGCGGAGUUUUGGAAUGUCCUCUUAUUAAGUGUUUUAUAAUUGUUAUGACAUCAAGUUUUUGUUGUUGAACUACUUAAAAGAGUGAGGAAACUUAUCUGAUGAACAUUCAGAGUACAGGACAUUUAAAUAUGUAUGUGAAUUUGGUUCAGUGGUUUUCUAAGAAAUUUUGAAAUUUCAUUACGGGAUGACAAUAUAUCUUUAUUGAUACGGGAUAGUAUAAGUUGGUAUCAGUUUGUUUUUGUUGUAAUGCUAAAUAUUAUACGUCUGUAUAUUUCAGGUCCCUGUUGUCAUGAUAAGUGCUUUACAUAUGUGUAACCUAGAAACAUUAUAGAGUCUUUAUGAACAUUAAAUUUAAAAGCUUUGGUCAGAUCGACAUGCCUACUCGUAAGUCGAUGAAUCCCACAAAACCUCCUCCAUUAUCCAUUCAUUAGAUCGAUAGUCCCAACCAAAUGUUUAAUAAUCAUUCAUAAGAUGGUAAAACAAAGCCCACCGUUCAAAUGAUCACCCAGGUUCUUGUCUUCUUGCCCCCAUUUGGAUUUGGUGCGUGAGAGAGAACCUCCAACGUGGCUGAGCACGUCGUACAACCCGAAUCUAAGUGUAUUAAUCUAUUCAUUUUGUAGCCCCCCUGCCUACCUUGUUUGGGAUUGGGAAAAUAAUAAGCGUGCGCUUUUCAGUUGCAAAUCGUAGAGUGGUAUCCGACAUACGUCAUCGAUAAUGCGUGGCGGUUCGGCUGUCGGCAAACUUGACGAAGAAACCUACAAAUGCCACAUAGAUAUCGCCACGUGCCGCGCCUCUGCAGCGCGGAUCGUUUCGUGUCACGUGUUUUGCGAAACGUGAAUCGCGGCCUGCAACGUGUCUAGUUGCCCCGGAUCGGGUACAAGUUGCAGCAACUCCUUUUCCGGAACCUCACCGAUUCACGUGGCGACAAAGCGGCGGGCCCACGAAUGCCGUUCACAAGCCGCAGGGACCCACAUGGAAGUGCCCGUUUCCCCUGGUAUCGGAUUGGCUUGGCUUGGCUUCCCGCGUUUGGAUCCGCUGUGUGAGAAUCAUCGAUUAGCCAUUGGAGGUGGGCAAGAGCUGACUGGUUUCAACGGCCGGUCUCGCAUUGUCCACCAACGGAAACGAAGGCGAAGAGAUGGCUUAUAUGUGGUGGAGUAACGAGGAUCCCGAAUCCUUCGUCGUUUUCGCGCCGCUCUCUCGCUGUCUCCAGCAAACCAAAUCCAAACCAGAUCAUAUUUCCCGGAAGACCCUUCUCGGGAGCGGAAGGAACAAAAUCUCUGUCGUUUUCUUUGUGAUUUAGUGACAAUAAUACCCUUUUGAGUUAGUGCGUUUCUGAAUUAUUCGCUAUAAAAAAAAGAUCAUUGGUAUCAUCGAUUUCAUUAUAAAUCUCGAUCAAACCAAUUGCUGGAGUAGUGUGAACUAAUAUAUCAUUCAUGCAAGGAAACGUCUAUCAUUGGUUGUCUAAAUAUACUCACAGAAAAAGAAGGAAAUACGCGCUAUAAUGCUGAUGAUGUUGGAGGCUUUUGUGCUUCUUCGGUCACAUUACAUACAUUAUGCCAAAAUCUUGGGAAGAAAGAUGCGAUGGGAUUUUUGCCUGAGAUCUUUCAUUGCUAUGAAAUCCAAGAUGACAAGAGACCACUCAAACAAAAACAAAGUAAAAGCACGGCUGUAGCUUUCGAGAUCACGCAAUAGGAAGAGACAAUUGUUGGUGGCAAACUGGCUCGACCUUAUCUUAGAUCAUCACGCCAUAGAUUUCUCUUUAUAUUAAAUUAAAUCCACAAUGUGGCAAAAUAGGUGUCUUAUUCCGUUGGAUUCGGCACUCAGCUGUGCCAUCCUACUCCUGUCGACUUGUUGAGUGACGAUGAAAUGGCUUCAUCGGAAGAUUUAGGUGUCCCAACAUAUGACAAGAUAUGUCGUGAAGAGAAUAUACUGCUGUCACAUCUCCAAUGCUGACUCCUUCGAUCACUAUCACAUCACUUGUUUUUUUUUCCUAAUACAAUGUUGAUCAACACUAUGUUGCUUUGUGAAAACUUUACCUAAAUUUUGUCUCAACUGUUGGUAAUAUCUUUCUUUUAUUGCUGGGAACGAUAUCUCAUGCAUAAGAAGAAAAAUAAGAAAUAAAAUGAGAGAAGUGGAUAUAGAAAGAGAAAGAUCAAUGCAUGAGAGAAACAUCAAUGCAUGAUAUCCUAUGCACAAACUUACUGAUCCAAUUUUUUCUGUAAGACGAGAACAGUGGCAAAUAUGAUGUUUCGUGGAAAGUCUGGUGGCAGAUGUGUAACAUGAAACGCUUAUGGGUGACGGGUGUUCCGUAAUUAAAGGGGAAAGCCACGAGCGGUGUUGCUGCAUAUGAUCUUUUGUAUGUAGUCUGUUUCCUUCCAAUUUCCACCUCCCUGGAAAGAAUCGAACAGGAAGAGCUCGAAAGGGAAGGAAUUCCUGCAUAAAACCCCACACUUCGAGCACCCUGGAAGGGAGUGACCGAGCUCCGAUGACCAUGGCAUUCUCUAGAUUUCCAGCUUCACUCCUCCUGUCCCCUAUCGUCGUCCUCCUUUUCCUUCCUCACUCGAUCUGCCACCCUUCUCUUGAGAUCAAGAAAACGUCCUUACCAGGUAUUAUAUUCUUUGCGAUCUCGUUUUCCCAGCACGGUGCUGAAUUUUAUUGCAGGGAUACCGCUGUUCUCAAGGAGAAGAUUUGUUGUGCAUGUGCCCUCUUUUUUAUGCUGAAAUAAUGGUUUAUCUUCUGCAGAAUCCCCCUCUUAGCGCCCCUUUUUAUUCUUUUUGAACAGAUUACUUUUUCCUUGUCAGCGUUCAAGAGUCCAUUGGAAAGUAUAUAUUUGUGUGUUACACAUCCAGAGAACAUGGUUCGUUUAGGAGUAGCUUGUUGUGUUCUGCAGAAUCCCCCUCUUUUUGCACAGGAAGAAAAUAGAUGAUUUUUAUGUAAUUUUUUUUCUUUUUUAAGUUAGUAUUUAAGACGCCAUUCAAAAAAAUCUGUCUUUUUUUGUUUGAGAAGUGUCUUUGUGUGUUAAAGAUGCGAGUGGUUUGAAUAGGUGCAGGGAUUCAAGAUGGCUUGGUUCUACCAAGGAGGUUUGUUGCCGAGGUGCCACCUCCCGGCAAUCUUACAGUGGAUAAUAGCUCCUUCAUCCUGGCUGCGGCGAGGACACACAGAAAAGAUCCUUUAAAUGGAUUCAAGCGUUACACCGGUGGUUGGAACAUCAGUGAAAAACACUACUGGGCUGUAAGCCCUUUAGCUUCUCUUAGACCUGUUCUCCUUCAGCUGCUUAAUGGUUACUGAAUCCUAUAUUUACUUUGUUUCUGAUGGCAGUCUGUGGGUUUUACGGCUGCUCCCCUGUUCGCCAUCGCCUUGGCAUGGUUCCUGGGUUUUGGGUUGGCCUUGUUACUUAUUUGUUGCUGUUACUUCUGUUGCCGCCGGCGGACUUACUCAUAUUCUCGCACGGCCUACGCCCUUUCGCUUAUUCUGCUGAUGCUAUUCACAUGUGCCGCAAUGUAGGAAGACAUUCUUUUUCUCUUGCUUUCUGAUUGUUGCAUUGUGAUAUGAGUUGUUUGUCAUGACCUGGAAGUUCUUAAACUGAAUUUUGAAAUCUACUCAGCGUCGGAUGCGUGGUUCUGUACCAAGGUCAGGGGAAGUUCCAUAGCAGCACUUACAAAACUCUGGACUAUGUUGUGGAUCAGGCGAACUUCACCGUGGACAACCUUAGGAACUUCUCAGAGACUUUGGCUGAAGCUAAGAAGGUUAAAGUCGACCAAGUCUUCCUUCCAACUAAUGUCCAGGGUGAAAUUGAUGCCCUUGAAGCAAAGGUCAACUCUUCAGCAAAUAAUCUUGCCAGUCAGACAUCGGACAAUUCUAGGAAGAUAAGCCGUGUACUAGAUAGCGUGUAUGAUAAUUGCCUUCUGUAUUUGAAUUGUAAAUUUCAUAUUGUGGAGCUUGUAGUUGGGAAAUACUACAUAUUUUGAUUCAUUUUGUAAUGCAUUUUCACUUUGCUUUAUUUUUGUGCCCUGCAGGAGAUUGGAUUUGAUCAUUGUUGCUGCUGUCAUGCUCCUUUUGGCAUUCCUUGGGCUCUGUAAGCAUCUAAACUCGGAGCAAAAUCUUAAGAAUUUUGUUUUGCCAACUUGCUGAUUUUAGUGUGUUUUAUCAUGCAGUAUUCUCUGCACUGGGACUACAGUUGCUUGUCUCCAUGUAUGUGAGAUAAUGUCACCUUUAGUCACUUCUCUCUUGUUCAAUCCCUUAUCUGCAAAGUUUUUGGAUACUCUUUUAAUAGUUACUUCCUGAUUCCAAAGUCAAAAUUUCUCAUCUACUUCUCUGCUGAUAAUGUAUGCAGUUUGGUGGUUAUUGGGUGGAUUCUAGUGACGGGCACGUUUAUCUUGUGUGGUGUUUUUCUUAUUUUACACAAGUAAGUUCUACUAUAACUAUACUAGAUUACUACACCCGCAAAAUUUGUUCAUUUUAAUUAGAAUAAUGUGAUGUUGAACUUUCUCUUUUCUUGUUGGAUGGAGCAAUAUGGGACAUCAUAGCAUUAACAACUGGGACAGUUGAAUGAUUAAUCUAUUCUCCAAUAAAUGACUUUCGCUGCUGAAAGUAUCACAUAAGAACUUCUUAUGUAUGACAGAAAGCAACUUUGGUAUCUAAUUCUUUUCUUUUUAAUUUUUUUACUCAUUUGUGAAUCCACAUAUGGAUGCAACCUUUCAUUUUUGCUUUGUACAUGCACCUUAUUUGACACUUAUAACCAAUUUCUUAUCAUAUUGCUGAUUGUAUAAGCCAUAACAACCGAUUGCACUUUGGAGUCAUCAUUGGUGUAAUACCCCUCCCUAGUUAAGUUCCAAAUAGGAAAUGAGAGAAAAAUUCAAUUGGUUUAUUGAUUUGUGUUCAAGUAUUUUGGACCACUAGUUCAUGUUCAUCAAGUAAACAGAGUCCAUUAUUUCAUUGAGUUGAAUCACGACAAAUGACAUCAAGUAUGAAGAGGGGCUGAUGAAGUGCUUCAGUAGGAAAGGGUUUACCCUAUUAAGGGCCGAACACAUGUGGCGAAAUGGAGCCACCAUUGAGCUAGACCUUAUGUGCAGCAUCUCCAGUUUAGUCUCACAUGGGAAUUGAGAGAGGACUAUUACUAAAUUGGUUAUCAAGGCUUGACGUGAGCACUAUUAUUAAUUUGGACUCAAGCAUUUUGGGCCAAUGGUUUAAGUUUAUCGAGUCAAUUGGUAACAACGAGUCGAGUCGCAACAUUAGCAUUAAAAUACGAAACAUAUAAUGUAGGCCUCAUUUCAUAUCUCAUCAGGUGUUACCGUUUGCUUUCUGUACUAGUUAUGGCUUGUUUUUUUGAUCUUUUUAGCUUAAAGCUCCUUUUGACCAUAGGACUAUCAAAUAUGUCACACCCUGUUCUAUAUGAAAUAUUGGACUAUCCUCAUCACCUAAUAUGCUUUAUGUGACUAAUCGCUUCAUUCUCUAUGAUUUUACCAGUGUGGUGGCUGACACAUGUGUCGCAAUGAGUGAAUGGGUUGACCAUCCUCAUGCACAUACAACUCUAGAUGAUAUUCUUCCUUGUGUUGAUGCUGCCACUGCCAAUGAGUCUUUGUAUCGAAGCAGGGAAGUUACCUUCCAGCUAGUUAGCAUUGUUAAUGGGGUGAUCGUCAAUAUUUCCAACAGGAACUUCCCUCCUUCGGUGCCUCUGUAUUAUAAUCAGUCUGGUCCACCGAUGCCUACACUCUGCAAUCCAUACACACCUGACUUGAGUAACCGCACUUGCAUUUCUGGAGAAGUGGAUUUCAACAACGCCUCACAGGUAAAGUAACAAUCAUAGCAGAGCCUAAUCAUUUUGAAGCACAGAAAACUUUAUCCCAAAGGAAGAAGGAAACAAUAUAGAAGGAAUUUUAGUAUCAGUCACUGUUAACUUGUAGUAGUUACAUUCCAUAUGAAAAACUAAUUGGAUAUGUAAAUUCUUUCUUUUACAUUGCAGGUAUGGAAAGGAUACGUUUGCCAAACCGCUAUUGUCUCUGGGUCCGAAGUAUGUACAACCAUCGGACGUGUUACUCCAAGUAUCUAUAACCAAAUGAUGGCAGAUGUAACUGUGAGCCGAGGAUUAUAUUACUAUGUGCCGUUCCUCACGGGACUGGAAGACUGCAGUUUUGUCCGAGAAACCUUUACUGCAAUACACAAGAACAAUUGCCCUGGCCUUGAGCAGAACAGCAAAUUGGUCUACAUUGGUCUUGUGAUGGUAUCGGCUGCAGUGAUGUUAUCGUUGGUUUUCUGGGUGAUUUAUGCCAGGGAGAGGAGCCGUCGCAAGUUUAACAAGCGGUUCUACCCGUAAUAAAAGGAGCCUUGAGUUUUCGACAGCCUUAUGAUUAUAAAGUUCUCAUACUAAUUUGAGUGUAUCUGUAAUGAUAUACGUAGUUGAUUAAGAUUCACGGUGUAAAUCAUACGAUGCAACUUCUAGCUGUCCAAACAUUUUCAAGCUGUACAUAAUAAAUGUACAUCUUAGUUUGUAUAGAAUUAGUGAUGCUUUGGUCGAUCGCGCUUUUUAGUCUGCAACAUCUGUUGGUCGGAUCUGCUAGAGCAAUAUGUGUCGAACUAUUGAAAUAGUCCAUGAAGCAAGUUGAAGAAAGCAGGCACUCAGUUUUGAUGCAGUAGGCUAUCCUUUUGCUAAAUUCAAAGAGCAAUUCGCUAAACAGGUUCGUCGUGCCAUGGAACAAUCCUAGCUUUAUUCACACUCAUAUGCAAAGUGUAAAACCCAUUCAUAUGAACAAAGAAUAUUUUCCUUCACUGACGCAAAACAACAAACACUCUUUUGGUUACAUGUGCACCGCCACCUCCUCGAUGGUGCAAUCGCCGUCCCUAUUCGCCGUUCCGCCAUGUCCAUCCAAGCCCGGGACGUUGACCCGGUGGUGGAUGUCGAGGCGAAGCCGCUGAAGCUCCUCGACCGCUGCACCAAGCUCAAAAUCGCUAUCGUUGGCUUCGGCAACUUCGGCCAGUUCCUUGGCCGCACUUUCACUGCCCAAGGUCAUGAGUUGCUCGCCGACUCGCGCACCGACCACUCCGCCACCGCCCGCUCUCUCGGCGUUGUAUUCUUCGAUGACCAGCAUGAACUCUGCAAGCAGCACCUGGACGUGGUCCUUGUCUCCACGCUUUCACCGCAGCACGCUUUUUGUUGACGUCCUCUCCGUCAAGGAGUUCCCGAGGAACCUCUUUCUGCAGCGCCCGCCGCGGCACUUUGACAUCCUUUGCACGCAUCCCAUGUUCGGCCCCGAGAGCGGCAAGCACGGCUGGGCCGGCCUCCCUUUCGUCUACGACAGAGUCCGGAUCGGCGACUCCGAAGACGGCGUCGAAACGCUGCUAAAUCCACGCCCAUCAACACGAAAGGUCACGAAACGCUGCUAAAUCUGGUACAGAACACCUGCAGCGAUAGCUGCGAGCUCUACAAUGGGCUCUUCAUAUACAACAGGAACUCCACCGAGCUGAUCGAGAAGCUGGACGUGGCCUUGCACGCCAUGAAGAAGGAGCUAUUUGGGCGCUUACAUGGAAUGCUCAUGAAGCAGCUAUUUGAGAACUCAGAAGCAAAUGAGUCUAUUGCGUAAAACUAGAGAACAAAAACUAAAUCCGAUUCAAUUAAUAAAAUAAAAAAGUCUUAGAAUUCAUCUGAAAUCGCUAUCAAUUAUCCUAACGAAUAAUUUGGUGCGAUGAAUCCAUUCCGAAUGUAAGAAGGUUGAUACAAUAAAUAUCAUACGGUGGGUUGCAGUGGAGCCAAGCGAAUAGCUUCAGCUUUCUCGGGCUCAACCUUCCCGUAUCCUUCUGCAAGCUGGGGAGCGUAGCCUGCCAUCUUUCUUAACGCGACAAUGGGACGACCGUACCCGACAUGUACGAUUACAGCUCAGGUUGUCGUCGUUCAUCAGCCACUGCCAUCGACAUUCAAUGGCAUAGGAACACGAGCCCUCACGGCAAACCUCCUUCGUACGACCGUAGAGAUGGAUGCAGCCAGGCAAUUGAAGAAGACUGGUGCGUACGAAGCAACAUACACUAACAUAAAUUAAUCAGAAAUAUUAUCAUGAUAACUAAUUUGAUAUUUGAUACAUGAAAUAUUCGUUCCAAUUAAGGUUUAAUCUCUAUCAGUACGUCAAGAUAAUUAAGGUUAAUUACUAAACUCCAUCCGAUCAUGAUCUUUGUACAGAUCGAAAUAUCGAAAACGAUAUUUUUGCCAUUAACAUCGCUAACAAUGUUUCGAUAAUGCAGUGGGAAUGAUAAAUUAAGGUGAUGUGGGACACCUCAUAAUCCCAAGAAUCACUCCGUAUCAGUUGCAUCACGGAUGACUGUUAGUAUGGAACCAACCGGGUGGCAAUUAGGUGUGAUUGUUGGGAUCUGCGAUGGCCACUAUAUCUCAUACAUUAUUAUUACCAGGGAAUCCCUCCAACUAAUCGUGGUCCAUCGAGACAGCCUAACACAGCACGGCGGUCGCUGCACGUGUGAGCGGUUACCGAUACGACACCUUCGUCGCUAAGCAAUUGCGACUCGAGUUCGUGUUAUUUUGACUUCGUGGACUGAGUGAGAAAACACGGGCCCAAGCGCGUUCUCACCCCAUACGUGUACCUCACAAACGUGACACGUGGAUGAGAAUGGCAGAUGCAUCGCCUGGGGCCCACACGGAGGUAAUGGGAAGAAGCGAAACCCUAAGUCCGGGUUAAGGAAUCGGCCGGAUCGGCCGCUACGCCGUCCAUCAGAAAGAUAUGAAAGCAACAGAAUAAAACUGUUCUGUUGGCUGGAUGACCUGACUGCCACCUGUAACUGAAAGCGACAUGACCAAAUUGCGUUUGGACCCCUCUACAAGUGCCAAUUCUCGUUUUGACCACAAACGAUUCCCAAAUUACAUAAAAGAGACCAUAAUAAGAUAAGGAUUUCAUGUAUGCCCCCAUUUAGAGUCAACGCAAAUAUUUUAAUAAUAAUUUUAUUUUAAAAAAUAAAAAAAAAUAUAUAAAUUAAUUAAGAGAAUAUGAAAAAAUCAUGAGUUCCUCGCCCCACCUCAUCUAAAUGAGAAAUUAGAUGGAGAUGGAGAAUAAAAGAUAAUACAAGGAUGGGAAAAUAUUCCCUACCUUUUUUGGUUGAUAUCCUAAUCGAUGAUGAUUAUUCUUAGAUUACUAAUUCUAACAAUAGUAAGUUUACCUUUGGUUUCUAAUUCUAGCGAUUGUGACUUUCACAUAUAUAUUUUACGGACAGAUUGUACACAAUCCUCAUUUAAUAAAUAAUUUUUUUGAUUCAAAAGUGAAUAGAUCUAUGUAGCGAUAAGAAAUAAUAUUAUAAUAAAAAAGUAAUACUAUGAUUUAAAUAAUUAAAUAUCAUAAAUUAAAAUAAAUUAUACAUACAUUAUAAAGCCGAACAUCAUACCUCAAACAUCGUAAAGCAAUAUAUCAUCGAUAUAGGAAGUGACAUUAUAAAUAUAUAAGAAAGAACUAAUUCUCAUUCUCUUUCUUUUAGUAUUUUUAACACGAACACUAUUAUCGAUAGAUAAACGAUAAAAAGAUGAACGAAACUUAUUAUUCUAUAAUGACUAGAUCGCUAGACGAUUUUACUAUUGUAUAUGGACGAGAGCAUUUUUGAUAAUUAAGAAAGUUUGUCCUAUCAAAAUUACUUUUCUAUUGGCUGAUAAUGACGUUAACUAAAAUCUAAUUAUAUUUUUAAUAUAUUUUUUUAUCUUAAGUUAAUUAGAUUGUAUAAUCAUUAGUAAGUCAAUAAUUAUAUUAAUAAAUUUCUUUAAAAAUCAUAGUUGCAAAUAAUCUUAAUGAUAAUAGUUUCCUAAGGUUUCAAAAAUAAAAAUUAUUCUCAAAAUGGAAGAGUAUAAGUCCUUUAUUAAAAACAAAUGCAGAAACAUGGUCAAGUGGAAGGAAGGAUUUCUUCAUAAAUCAGAAAAUGUCAAGGGGUUGUUUAUAAUAUUUCCCCACAUACGUUACCCCAUUAAUUAACUGCUAAAUUCUCAGAAUCAUUCGCAGAAUCUCCCGUCACUCCUCACUCGGACCCAUUACAACUGUCAAAAAAUAUAUGCAUAUUACAACUGUUGACGACCGCUGUGCCAGCUUGGCUUCUUCGACUCUCUCUCUCUCUCUCUCUCUCUCUCUCUCUUCCCCAUUCCCAACCGUUGUUCCAAACAUACCACGUUAUACAAACGUCACCCUGCUUUCGUGUUCCUCUCGUCUGUUCGCCUCCCUACCUCUGAAGAGCUUCAAAGUGUCGGCGGAAGAAGGGCGGACGCGCGAGGAGCCAUGGCGGCGUCGGUGGCGCCGGCGCGGCGGUCCAUACGUGAGCUGGUGAUCCAGAGCGUGAUGAGCAACCAGACCCAGCAGCAGCAGCGGCGGCGGACGAGGAAGAGCCUCUCGUGGGGCGGCGGCGGCGACAGGGGCGGCGCCGCGGCUGUCGGGGACGACGGUGACACCGGUUUUUGGGAGGAGGAGGAGGGCACCAUGGAGCUGGCCCAGAUCGGGGCCGAUCGGACCAAGAACGUACUCAUCCUGAUGAGCGACACAGGCGGGGGUCACCGGGCUUCCGCGGAGGCCAUUCGUGAGGCCUUCCGUAUCGAAUUCGGCGAUGAGUACAGGGUAUUACUCGCUCUCCUUCUUGGUGGUUUGUGGUUUCUCCCCUUUCCUCGAUCUCCCCUUCCGCUGAAAGAUGCCUCCUUCUUCGAUUAGGUGAACGGGUCUUUACCAAAGGUCUCACUUUUAGCCAGAUCUGUUGUUGCCUAUGUUCUUGCGAUUGCGACCUCAAUGUUUUCCUACUAAAUGUCAUUUCUUGUCUGAUUAAAUGUUUUCCUACUAACAUACGAUCUCAAGGAAUCGUCAACCUCAGUAUUAUGAAUCUAUCUUUCCCCUCUUCAUCUGCAGGUGUUCGUGAAAGAUUUGUUUAUGGAGCAUGCGGGAUGGCCUCUGAACGACAUGGAGAGGUCGUACAAAUUCAUGGUGAAACAUGUACAGCUGUGGAAAGUGGCCUUUCACAGCACCUCUCCUCGUUGGGUCCAUAACUUCUACCUUGCUGCCAUCGCAGCCUUCUACGCCAAGUAAGAACUGUUGCCGUGUCCUCUCCUUUUCCUUCAUGGGUUCUGAUGACGCAGAAACAACUGCAGCCACCUGAAAACAUCUUUCAUGUUUACCACAAAUCAAUCAGUUGCAUACAAGUAUACGUCUGGGCCCGAUUCUCAUAUCUCGUUGUAUCAUUCAUUGCUUAGAUAUUGAUUCUUGUCAUUGUUCUCCAAUUUUUUGCUUGUGGGAUUUGAGCUUCUGCUGAUGUUGGACUUCAGUUAAUUAAUUAGGAUGUCACUUUCGGAAGAAGGCUUUCUUGCAUUAGAGAAAAAUGGUUGCCAUACUAACUCAGGAUUUGCUUAUGAAUGAAGAAAGGUGGAGGCCGGACUGAAGAAGUACAAGCCUGAUAUCAUCAUCAGCGUUCAUCCUCUCAUGCAGCACAUCCCUUUAUGGGUACUGAAAUGGCAAAACCUUCAGAAACGAGUUGUUUUUGUUACUGUAAUCACGGACCUCAACACCUGCCACCCGACAUGGUGCGUUCAACUACAUGUAAUGGAAUUCAUAUCACCAUACGUUAAUAAUUGAUGCAGGAAUGGCACCUGAUUCAGGUUCCGAACCGGCGUCAACAGAUGCUAUUGCCCCUCUGAGGAAGUAGCAACGAGAGCUUCAGUGGAUGGGCUAAAACCAUCACAGAUCCGUGUGUUUGGUUUGCCUAUCAGACCUUCCUUCUGUCGUGCUGUUCUUGUUAAGGUUUGUCCCCAGAUCUCUCUACACCCUGUAAGUUUUCUCCUGAGAGUUAGUUUAGAUGCCUUUGUUAUUAUUCCCUGACAGGAAGACCUGAGGAAGGAGCUUGAGAUGGAUCCGAAACUUCCUGCGGUCUUACUCAUGGGAGGAGGUGAGGGAAUGGGUCCAGUUAAGAAGACAGCAAGGGCCCUUGGUGAAUCACUCUUUGACAAGGAGCUCAGCAAACCAAUUGGGCAGCUUGUCGUCGUUUGUGGCCGUAACCAAACUCUAAGCUCCACAUUACAGACCAUUCAGUGGAAGAUCCCUGUGAAGGUACCAAAAUUCUUAAAGAUCCAAGGAGGGAUCCAGAUUUAGUAUUUUCUACCAUCCACUUAUAAUUAAUUGGUGAUGACAGAUAAAGGGAUUUGUCACUCAAAUGGAGAAAUGGAUGGGAGCUUGUGAUUGCAUUAUAACAAAGGUAUGAUUCUCUUCUUGGUUUUGCAUCUGUCAUACAUGACUUGUUCCGAAUUCAUGUUCCGGAAUAAUGUUUGGUGUGUUAUCAGGCUGGACCUGGCACAAUUGCUGAGGCUUUGAUAAGGGGACUUCCUAUUAUCCUAAAUGACUUCAUUCCUGGACAGGUUUGUUGUUGAAUAUCAAUGUUGAUCAGAGUAUAACUUGAGACUAUUUAACAUACUGUUCUGCUUUGCAGGAGGUUGGCAAUGUCCCUUAUGUGGUUAACAAUGGAGCUGGGGUGUUCUCCAAAAGCUCGAAACAAACAGCGAGCCUCGUCGCUCAAUGGUUCGGCCCCGAAUCAGAGGAGCUGAAGAAAAUGUCGCAAAAUGCCCUCAAAUUGGCACAACCUGAUGCAGUUUUCGACAUAGUGAAGGAUAUCCAUGAGCUGGCACAACAGCAGGGGCCUUUGUCUCAAAUCUCUGAUUCCCUGACUUCAUCUUUUUUACAGCCAAUAUAACAGGUGAUCAUUUGUGCAAAUCUAACUCAAUGCCUUCCAAAUUCCAACAUCUGUUUAGUGUACAGACACCAUUGACAUUCUUUGGCCUUUAAGAUGGCUUCAUUUCCCGUCGGUUUAGGACAAAGAUCACACUGUGUGCAGCUUUUAGUGGUUUAGGACAAGUCCUCUUCUGUUGUUCUAAUUGGUGUCUAUGGUAUUCGUUUCUUCUUCUACAUUUCUAGAGGUAAAUUAUAUGUGAGACAUUUAGUAUAACAUUGCCUGUUUGAUUAUUUUGAUGUAUAGUGAGGCAGCUGAACUUUUGCUCAAGUCAAAUGUUCUCAACUUAUUAAGGUAUAUUAGUGAGUUGGAUUUGUUGCCAGGCGGCUUUGUAACAAAGGAAUCCACCUUUGUGAUCUUUGUUAUGCUCCACAGUGUAUAGAUGUAAUCUUAUUCCACAUUCAAUUAUACAGUCAAAUAGAACUCCACAAAUCCUUCCGGUCAAAUUUGUGGGUGCAGAGAACAUAACCAUAUGGCACUUAUUGAUAAAACCCAAUUGCAUGAUAAGUUCAAUCGAACGAUCUGUGCGAUGAAUACACUGUAAAGGUUUUCUUAUAUCAUACUUUAUUAGUUUCUAAUUUGGUUCGGAUUACUCAAAUUCUAAUGUGAUAAUAAAUUCAAAUAAAAGAAGAUGAUUUGAAUGAGUAUGAUUUGACUGAAUAAAAAAUUAUCAUACUAUGACUAGUAGAUGUGGAUGACUUAAGAGCAGUGAUAUAGUUGAAGUUAAUUAGGGGAGCUGAUGAAGUCUUUCAUUUUUCACAUUAAAAUCUCUCUUAGAUGAAGUCCUAAAAUGAAGUACAGCUUUCUUUUUUAUGCGAACAAUUCUUCUCCUUCCUGUACUACGUAGCUAGUCAUUUUUACUUUUCUUCUUCUUCUUCUUCUUCUUGACAUAGUAAAUCGCGGUUGACUUAGAAUCAAGUCUUUUUUAUCUCGUCGAAGUUGGUAAUAAAGCGAAGACUGCAGAAGUCCUUUCUGGCGCACAUCUUAUCUAAUUGUUUAGAUGUUUGCUGCUCUGUGGUGCUUUGCCCCUUUCGGUCUCCCUCUCCUUCGUGCUCGUAGAUUUCGUAGGCGACGCAUCGCCCAGAUGUGCUUUCUGUCUUUCUUGCUGCCAACCUAGAGAAGGCCUUGGACUAUUUAACUAUUCUAAAAAUAACCCUUUUUUUUCGCUUUUUCUUGAUUAACACUCUAUGUUUUAGUUAUUCCUGCAGCUCCUUAUUUCCUAAAAGAAGAAAUUGCUUCUACUCUGGCCAUCACCUCGAUCGUACGUUUUAACUCUCAUCGUCGUAUUUAAUCGUGUGUUUGUGUCAUCAUCAUUGUUCGUGUGUUCUUAUUGUCGUCUUAACCGGUGUGUACUCACCGAUGUCUUUACCUAUGCACCAUCACUAAUACCGAUGUGAUGCAGAAUUAGAGGAUAAAGUAUAAUAGGUUUUGAAAGAAAAAUUGAUGACACAUUUUUUUUUUUAUAGAAAACGAACAAAUUCACAAGAAAAGUCGACAUUACAAUCGUAUUUGCUAGAAUGAGUUUUCCGUGCAGAAAAGGGGUGAAUACACAAAGAAACAUUGACAGUACAAUUAUAUUUGUUAGAACGAGUUUUCCAGAUAGAAAUGAAGCGAACUCACAAAAGCAACUUUGAUAAAAACGAAAAAAAAUAGCUCACAAAUAAGUUUAAAAUCACAAAGGGAUAUAUAAAGAUCACCACCAUAAGGAUAAUAAACAAUGAUAUAAAACUGAAAGCAAAAGACUCACCACUCAAGGACGCAUCCAAGAGAUACAGAGUUUAAAAAAGCACUCCAAGAGAGCUUAUGCCAAUAUCCUCGGUUUCUAAAUUUUUUUCUAACCCCUAAACACCAAAAUAAGUACUAGUGCAUGAAACAACCCUUCAUACAUAGAGAAUUUCGAAAUUAAGUGUUUUAUAGCUAGUAACCAACUUCUUUAAUGUAUUCCUUGGUUACGAAAAAAAGUACCUUAAGACAACUAUAUCUUUGUGUAUGGAAUAUGCUUAUGAGCUGUCAUAAUUAAGUAUACCGAGUUAAAAACUAUGAUGCACGAUGAAAAAUAUACUAUAGCAUCAGCAAGGUCUAUAUGAGCAUAUUGUAGCAAAUUAAGCAAUCCCGUGUCAAUCACUCUCAUCAUUGUUUUCAAUCAUGCACCCUCACCCUCAUGGUCGCAAUCAUCGCCUCUGCUCCUAAUGUUAGCUCCAUGCUCGGAGGCGACGAGAGUGAGAGUGCAUGCAAGGUAGGGUGAAAUCGAUUGACAAAGAGGUCAAAGAUAAUUUUAUAUUUAAAAAAAUAAAAAAAUAUUUUUACAAGAAUAACUAGAAAAGGGAGUCUUAAUCGAGAAAAAAAAAUAAAAAAAUAGGAGGUUUUUCCUUGGAGAAUUUGCUCAAUAUUUUUAUCCACUAAGUUAAUAUGCAAUUAAUUUAGCAAUAUUUAUGAUUUACAUAGGAUGAAUUAUGGAGGCAGGUGGCUGAAUUGGACGCAAUUAGAAGCCCAAUCCGAUGUGAUGCACCUAAUUGAUUUUGCUAUCGCCGAAAACAAAACGAUUCGGUGGCACGAGCAAACCAUGCGUGUUUUCUGAACGUUGGUCAAAAUUCAUCAAGCCAACGUCGCAUGCUUGAUGAGAACAUCAGCCAUGAUAGAGUUUAGAAUCAAUCCGCAUAUGGACGCAGCCAAUAGUGUUCUCCUCCUGCAUGCUGAGCUCAUUCGCAAUCUCGAUCGAUUGUAGUCGUGCGACAUCAUAAACUAUACCUGCAAACAAAAGAUGAGUCUAAUGUUAGCCUUAUACGUGUUGUCGAAGCAACUAUGAAAGAUAAGAUGGUUGAUGAACGAACGUAUGCAGACUACUAUUGCAAGUUCAUAAAGACUGAGUUGUAUAAUAUUAUUGGAAAGUAAUUCUCGUGAAUGGCGGAUUGGUUUCGAAGAGCGUAUUUGAAAAGGACAAAUGAAUAAUUUAAAUUGUAAUCUGAAAAAACAAACGAUAAGUUCCAUGAAAAUAGUUUAUCAAUUUUUUUUACUUUAUAUUUGAUGGUUUGAAAGAAUAAUUUUGAUAUUUUAUUAUUUUGCAUGGACAUAUAUAAAUUUCUCAAGAAAAAUAAAUGUCGCAUGAUUGAAUAUAAGAAAGGGCGAAUCCCAAAAAAACAGCUUCAACAUUUAAAAAUUUUAUGCAGUGCAAAAAAAAUCUCACAUAGUAUUUUUUUUUACAAAUAACUAUUUUACCUCUAUCUUUAUUGGACCCGUCGCAUACGUUACCCUCGUCAUGCUCGCUCGUAACAGAUGUGCGUGAAAGGAGGGGGUGCAAGAGCCGCCACGAACCUAUGCUACCCCCCCUCACCUCUUCUUUCCCUUCUCUUUGCCCCGUCGAAUAUGUCGCUUACAACUCUUACGCGAGGAAGGAGGGGAUACGAGGAACUCCACCCUUGUGCGCCUCACCUCGUGCAAGGAUUGUCAUUGCCUCCAUGGACCCAUUAGCCAUUGUCAAACCCGUUAUUGCCUUCGUGCCCUUUCUUUCCUCGCAAGAGGGCUACGAUGCGGGUGACAAAUUCGGGGGGAGGAGAAGAAUCAGAUUGCCCUAUCCAUUCCUCCCCACUCCGAUCAUUUGAUUUGAUUGACAUCGACCCGUUCGAUCUGAUGAUUACGAUGAGUAAUGAUUGUUUAGCCAACUAUGUAUAAAAUUAUUUGAAAAAAUAUGUACUCAAUCAUUGAUAAUAUAAUAUAAAUAUUUUUGGACAAAUUCUAAAAGCACUUUAUUUUUACUUUUUUCUAAAGUAACAUCCUUUUCCAUUUAUUCCGAUAGCCCCUUAUUUCCUAAAAAAAAUAAUUGCUCUGUUGUCACAUCCACACUGCAUCUCUCGUGCAUCCUCAUUAUCAUCGUUAUUAUCACCUGUGUGUCCUCAUCACCAUCUUUGCUUGUGUUCCCUCAUCGUUUUUCUCGUUCAUGUGCUCUCAUUACUAUCAUUGCCUAUACAUUCUCAUACUCAUUAUCAUCAUUCUCGCCCUCGUUGUUAUCAUUGCGUGUACACCUUUGCCCUUAUAGUCGUUUAUCAUCGCAUCCGCUCCUAAUAUUAACUUUAUGCUUACAGGUGAGAAAGGUGAGAGCACAUAUACGAGUAGGACGAAGACGACCAUGGUAAUAGGUUGUGAUUGAGAUCAUAAUUUUAUUUUUCUUUAAAAUAAAAAAAAUUCUAUAGAAAUAAAUAAAAAAAAAAUAAGAUAAUAGGAAAAAAAAAUAAAAAUAAGAAAUUUUUUAAAAAAUAAUUUGCUCAACAUUUUUAUAGUUAAUAUGAAAUUAAUUUUGAAUUCCGAUCCCAAUAUUUAUGAUUUAAAUAGGAUGAAUUAUCGAGACAGCUGUCUGGGAAUUAACGGGCAAAGCCGCUUUAUUAAUUAUUAAGACAACACGUACAAUUUCGAUCCUCAAACGGUCACCGCUCGAAGUCCUACCUCAGCGUCAGAACCUGCGCAUUGUGGACCCCACGUUCUGAGGUGCGCUUGUUGAGUUGAGCGUCUCCACCACCCCAAGCCGCGCUGUCUCGCUGUGCCGUCCAUCCUCGAAAGGCGGAAAACGAGACCAACCCAUCGCGGCCUCCUCGACAUUAUUAUUCUCGCAGGUUCAUCUCUGGCCCAUCGCGUCUCCUUUUCCCCCUUUCCCCUCCCUCUUUUUGUCGCCCCCCCCCACCUCCCCUCCUCCUCUAUUGAGAUAUUUCUAUAUAACUAAUUAUACAUUUAGAGAGGCAGAUCAAGGGAAGAGAGGGAGGGGGAUGGCGAUCCUCUACGCUCUGGUGGCGCGGGGGUCGGUAGUGCUGGUGGAGUUCAGCGGGGCGGCCACGAACGCGAGCGCCGUAGCGCGACAGAUCCUGGAACGCAUCCCCGGUGACCAAGACACGCACGUCUCCUACUCCCAGGACCGCUACGUCUUCCACGUCAAGCGCACCGACGGCAUCACCGUCCUCUGCGUCGCCGACGACACAGCUGGCAGUGAGUCCUCCUUCCUCUCCUCCUCCAUACCCUUCCGACCCCUUCUUUUUAUUGUUUGAUUUCCAUCGAGUUAUUGCUUUUCUGAAGAGGCAAAAGAAGAAUGAAAAGGAACCGAGCCUGCAGGAUUUAAAAUGGGUUGAUCGGUCUCAUUCCAUCAAGAUAAUCUUUUUCUUGAAAUAGGAAAAGAAGAAGAACCGACCCCGGAGGGUCUAGAAUGGGUUUCAUCAUUUUGAUCGGAUAAACUACGCUGAUAAUCUCAUCAUAAAUUGGAUUGAGAAACCAAUACGAAACGAUUUAAAGGUAACGGAAAUUAGAGAUAGAUUUGAUGACCCUGGCGAGAGAUCUGAAGCAACAAGUAGAAUACUAAACAAGUAUAUAAAAAAAAGCUGUUUAUUCUGUCCUUCUAAAAGUGCGCUCUUGUCCAUCUAGCCAUAUCGACCAAAACAAACGUGGGUGUCUCUGUUAUUUGUAUGAGUCAGAAAGUGAAUACAUGUUACAACAUAUUCUGCCAAUUUAACAUAAAAAUAUACGUCAUUGCCCUAGGAGUGAAACUCAUAAAGCACACGUAAAUUAUUACUAUACUAUGAGCAGAUGUCUCUUGCUUGCUUCUCACGUGAGGAAUUGUCUUUUAACUCUUCCACAAGAAAUCAUCAUAUCUGCAUUUUGCGUCACUAACAAUCAAAUAUCCCAUAAGGAUUUUAAAGUUUUUGAUGCAAAAGAUGAUAUUUCUAGAUCGCUUUGGCAAUAAAUCUGAUGAUACAAAUAACUCUUAAAUUUAGGGUGCUUUGAUAUAAUCCUUCUGAAAAUUAGAUUUGUCCAUGAAUUAUUUUACAGGAGUAUGCAAAAUUAAUUAUUCAGACAAAUGAAGGUAAUAAUCAAAUAAUUGGGCUGGGUGGGAUCAGUUAAGGUUACAUAGGUUUUGACUUGACACUAAUUUCAGUUGGGUUAAGGUUGUCCAAAAACCAAGCUAAGACCCACCCAAAUGUAACAUAUAUCUAUAUAAUCCAAUUCAACCUGCAAAAUCAAUUUAGUUUUCUUUUAUAGAUUUUUAUUUUUUUGCUGACUCUUGAUUAGUUCUCAGAAAUGUUUAGAUCCCAGGGUGUUAACUACUUUGCUUUUGCUUAGUCUAAUUCAAAUUCAACAUGAUCAAUGCAUAUAUCAUUUUUUAUUGUAUCCCUCAAAGUGGAUAUUGUCCUACAGUGAUGUUUUUCACAUUUGAAGGGGAAACUCGAUAGUUUGAAUUCUGCUGGGACACUGUUGCUUUCUGAAGUAAGUUGCUUCUUUAGACAAUUUUCACUACAUGUGACAUUUUUAUUUGUUGAUGACCCAUAUAGGACGAAUCCCUUUUGCAUUUCUUGAGGAUAUUCAUGGAAGAUUUGUCAAGACAUAUGGUCGUGCUUGUCAUAUAGCUCCUGCUUAUGGAAUGAAUGAUGAGUUUUCCAGGGUUUUGGGUCAACAGAUAGAUUACUAUACAAAUGACCCUGAUGCAGAUAGGAUGAAUCGCAUCAAGGGUGAGAUGAGCCAGGUAGAGUACAACAUAUGAUAUUAAUCAAGUUAUAAUCUUUGUUAUGCAUUUUUCUUCACGUCUGUGUUAGUCAAACAGACAUUGUUUUAACCGCACAAUCUAGUUUGUUUGAUCUGCUCAACAAUGAAUUUCUUGUAUUUAUCAAAAACUAUUUACUUAAUGUAGUUUGGUCUUUAAUACUACACUAUGUACUUAGUGGAUAAGCUUAAUGUAGUUCUUGCGUUUGUCAAAUACUCUCACGUUAUUGUUGUUUCUGUCAAAGGGAGUGAGAAAGAGGGAGAAAGGGGAGAGAUAAAAGAAAGAAUGCAAAGGAGUGAGAGUUAUGAGUCAAGGGUUACCAAAAUUUAUGACUUGUGAGUUAUAGUACCAAAAAGAUAAGAUAGCAGAAAGGUAGAAAAAGGAGUAGAAAGGAGAAAAGUGCAGAGUAUAAAAGAAAAGAGGAAUGAAAAAAGUUAUAAAUUUGUGAUAUAAUUUUUUACGUAUAUUAAAUUGGCUUUUAAAUAAUCUUGAACGUAUUUAUUCUUUUAAUGCAUAUAAUAUUUCUAGAUACAAGAAUUUUGAUCAUAUUGUAUGUAUGAGUUGUACAUAUAUCAAUGUUUAAUAUGGUGGCAUAGGGUUGUGGUAAGUGAAUGACCUAACAUGACUCACAUAAUAUGGUCGGCAUGCUCCGAAAAUUGGCUUUUAGUUUAAUUAGUUACCAUUGACAUGGUGACAUGGUUACUUAGCAUAGUCUUGGCAUGAACUAUUCUCAUGCUAGCUGAAAUUUCAAUCUUUGUCAUAUAGCAUAAUUUUCAUCUUUAAGUAUCUUGGACUUAUUAGCAUAAAAUGAAUCUGCAUGCUUGUUUCUAAAUAUUGGAACGUUUUAAACUGCAUCCCUUAUUGUAGACUUUGAGUAAGAGCCAUGUUACAUGCUUGGAUCCAUAUUCACACCCAACAGACAUGGUUAGUUGCUAUGUUAACCUCUGUCUGUUUGAAAUUGAGUAUAUCACUUGGUGUCCUCAUCUUUUUCAUUUGUUCAUUUUUGUUUUGAAGACCCCCCCCAUAUAUGUUGGUGACUGAUUUAGCUUUUCUUUUUCAAUUUUCUUCUGUUUAUUCUCCUUUCUACUCUUUCUACCUCUCCUUUUCUCUUUCUUCUCCUCCUCCUCCUUUGCUUUCGCCUAUAUCUCCUCCACUUCUUCCUCAACCGUGGUGUUAGUGGAAUUGUUUUCCUCAUCUGCAUCUUCCUUAGCCAAUGAUGCCUACCACUAGGUUUGGUUCAGAUCACAAUGUCAUCCUUGCUUUCUGCCACCCCUUGCUCCUCACUCCGUAACGUCAUCUCCAUCGAUAGGAUUGUUGGCUUCACCAUAUUCUCCGAUAGUGACCUCGCCUCCCUUUGUCAUCACUAGAGCAAGUUAUUCUCUCAAGAUUUCAUGCAUUACAUGUCUCUUCCCUCUUUUGCUCCCUUCUCUCUCUCUCUCUCUNNNNNNNNNNNNNNNNNNNNACACACACACACACACACACAUAUCUUUGCUUGUAGUGGUCCAGGCAGUGUUGACCAGUACAACAUUAUAACUAACACUUGGUACCUUGUAGGGUGUUGGUAUCAUACUAAGAAGUGAGGACAGAUAAGAUGAGUGUAAUUUAGUUACGCAGGCCUGGCCUUUCACCUUGGAAAAGGAUGGAUAAUUAUGACCGAUCAUUCUCAACCCACUCAAAGUUAACCGAGGAAAGGAAAUGAAUAAUUUGGUUCUCUCAUCAAAUCCUAGUUGUAAUUGAUUUAGAAAUUUUUUCCUAUUAUUUUCAUGUGUGUUUUGUCACUAGUUUUACUUGAUGAUUCAAUGAGUUUCUCGAGUCCAAUUUUCAGUUUAUUUGGAGGCUGUGAAUCUUAAUAUAAUUAUUAUAUAUGUUAAAUAACUUAACAUGUUAUUUAUAUUUGGAGUCAUAUUUGUAGAGUUCUAAAGGUCUCUUUUUGUGGGCUUUUGGGAAUUGAUGCAAUACCAGAAAACUUCCCUUCUAAGUCAUCUUUAGCACACACAUAUAUGAAGUGUUCCUUGGCACAUGAAUUCACAGGAGUCAGCAUGACAUGCCAAAGCAUCAUGCUGGCUGGUGACUUCCGUAGGCCUGGCACGCUAUAUUUGAUCAGGUUUCUUAAUUUUAAUUUGCUAAUUAUAUGCUAUUAUUUUUUACUGACAACAAAACAUAGUGUGGCCCUGUAUUGAUUACUAGCAAUGUCUAAUCAGUUCUACCUCUCAGCUUAAAUUCUUUGUCUAAAUUACUUCUUUUCUUAAUCUGAAAUUUCAGCAGUGUCCGGUCAGAUCUAUCUCUUAAUGUUUUGACCAUUUAAUAAUUGCUAAAUAUGAUGACUUUAUAUGAGGCAGGUACGCAACGUCAUGAUAGAGAAUAUUGACAAAGUACUAGAAAGAGGAGAACGAUUGGAAUUGCUGGUUGACAAAACUGCAAACAUGCAAGGAAAUACAGUUCGCUUUAGAAAACAAGCCCGUCGUUUUCGGAAUACUGUCUGGUGGCGAAAUGUUAAGCUCACGUAUGCAAUUUGCCCACCUAAAUUUUUUGUUUCCCUGUGGUUUCCAUGCAUUUAAUUUUAUGAUAUCAUUAGAUUGACUUCUUUUUAACUUUACAUUAGCUAUGCAAAAAUAGAAAGCUAGGGAUGAUGAGCAUGCAUUAUGUAGAUGGUUUUUAUGUCACUUAAUUGUUUUGAACUUUAAAGUAGAGUUUGUGUUUUCUUCUUCUACGAGAAUAUAAGACCUUUCCGCCAGACCCAGCACAUUCAUCACAAAUGCUUUCUAUGGUUUGAACUAGAAGGAUUUGGAAUAUUCAAUUUCUAUGAUUCUGGUUGAUUGAGAUUGCUGUUUUUCUGUCCCAGAGAAAUGUUUAAAUUGGGUCUUCAAUUAUUAAAUCUGUUUUAGUGAAGAUCAGCCAUAACAACUAUUAUCAAUACAGAGGUGAGAUGACAAUCAUGAUGAUAAAAAGAUGAAUAACAACUCUUAUUCAACAUGUUCUUGAUUUAUCAGUGCCUCGAAGGACUCAAGUUUUUGGUGUAAUAAAACCAUAUCCAACUUUCAAUUUCUACCGCAUGCCAAAAUGUGCUUUAUCAAAAUCCCAUCUCUUGACUACUGAAUAAUUUGUCAGUACAACUAUUAACUCUCAAUUGAAUUAUUUAACUUUUGAAUAGACACUUUACCAACUGAUUUCUUUUUACUUGUUUCAUCAGCUCUUUCUUAAUAAAAUAUGGUUGCAUGAAUUCCCCUCUAACAUAAUGGCUAUGUGUGAGGCUACCUAAAAAUCGAGUUGCUUCUAUUUGGAUAAAACUCAAAUGACACAACAUACUUUCUUCAGUAACCUAUGCAUAUUUGAAGAUAUGAGGUAACAUUAAGCCAUAGCAUUGCAAAGUUUAUUUUUUCUGCUACUUAACUAUUGAUUUUUUUAUUGUUUUCUACUUCACUUGUAUAGUCACCAUAAUAGUAUUCACUUUAUAGUAAAUAGUUGGGCUAGGUCAAAUGGUCUAUAAUUGCUAAUGUGACGCUCUAUCAUCCAUAAGUUGUUAUUUCAUGUCUUCCUGUUUCUGGCAUUCAUUCAAGUGCAUAACUUGGUAUUGUACAGAUUAUUAUUCUUAAGAUGCCUUCUUAAUGUCUUUACAUGUGUAACUAGUCUUUUGUUUAUUCUUUCCCAUAAGCUUUCAGCUUUUAGUUGAUCAUAAGUACAUUGUCUUACUUUAACAGCUUUUACAUCUUGCAGGGUUGCUCUGAUAUUACUUAUCCUGGUUAUAAUUUACAUCGUGCUUGCGUUUGUAUGCCAUGGCAUCACUUUGCCAUCCUGUAUCAGGUAGAGCGCGUUGUGAUUUUGUUUUUACCUUUUUCCAUGAUUGGUUUAAUGUCGUGAACCAACAACUAUUGAGCGUGCGCCAUGCAUUAUAUUGAUUUGAGUUUCCCCACUUUGUGGACGUUGUUAGACAAAUUUAUUAUUACGUGGUAUGUGCCUCCACUUGUGGCAAGAUCUGUAACUAAGAUGGUGCUCGAUACUAUUUAUUAUUUCAGUUCAUCUCUACUGGAUAUGAAUUGCAGAGAUAUCAGAUGGGCCUUUUAUUUGUGUAUCUGAGAACUCUCAGAGCUCUUUCUUGGCUUUUAGAUAUAUGUUUGUCAUUAUAAUAGAUAACUAUAGCAUGCCAAUUUGAAUAAGAAUUGGGAUCUUCUACAAUCUGCCACCCCGAUUCCUACGCCUCAUGCACCAUCCAUACUUUGGCAAGAGUUCAGCAAGCUGUGCAGGCUUGCAAAAAGCUUCACUGGGCAUAUCUCUCCAUCAAGAUUGUUCUUUGGAAGCUGUUUAUUACGUGGGCGAUUGCUGAGCUUGAUGCAAGUGCUUGCAAAUUACUGGGGCAGGUUUUCACGAGGAAGAAAGAGGACAGAGAGAGAAAAAAAUUCUUUGAUCUGCCCAAUCAGAGACCUGGAGAUGGAGAUGCGAUUGCUUGUUCUUGGAAGCCGACAGGCACAAGCUACAAAAGCUCUGGGUGACAUCAUGGGGUGAGGCCAAGGCUUUGUUAAGAUUAGGAGAAUAAUGGCCCAAAAAGGUAGCCUGCUGCAGUUUUACCACGGGAAAAAGGAAAAAGAAGAGUGUGGUGCUGAAGACAGCAGCCGGCAGCGGGACCAUAUCUGAAGGAUUGCUCUGGUGGCAGCAAUGAUGAACCCUAAAACCGUGGAUUUGGAAGCAUCUAAUUCCCAUAUUCAAAUAUGGGUGAGUGUUUGUGUGUUCAUGGCUCAAGCAUGGAAGUUCUUCUUUGUCAGCUAAAUCCUCAUUGUCUGAAUUAUGUUACUCAUGAGAGAAAAUUGGUAUGAUGAAAUUUUGACCACAGCCAUUUCCAAACCAAUUUGAGGAAGCUGAACAUUUUCUCACCUCUUUGGCAGAUCACUUCCUCAUGUAAAGCUUAGACUCCCUGCAGUAUGUUCAUUUCCAUCAUUUGAUCGGAUGCAGAUAAGAUAAAAUAUUUGCAGCUGAGUGCAAUGCAUCAUCUCCUGCAGCCGAGGCCAGAUGAGCAGACCACCACUCAGCUUGCACAAAAGCUGAACAUGGAUGGACAUGAUCAAACUAGCUAAGUUUAACAUAGACCAGUUCUGUCCUCAUCAAAGAAUCCUAUGUUUUUGUUUCUACUCAGCUGACCACAGACGACAUCAUUUUUUUCUGCCCAGGAAGAAGGUCAGCAUCUCACAUGGCUCAUGCAAAGUGUGGACGGGAGGGAAGCAACAUAACCAUUAAGGGAUGAUAUUUCCUAGAAACUAAGAAGAGCUUGAGUGGACAUCACAACAGCUGCUGCAGUCUCUCUGUAAACUGAGAGGAUAUGGAAUUGCUCAAAUCAUCCACAAACCUCAGCUUUCCAGAAAGUGGCUGCUGAUCUCCCUCCAAAGUCCAGAGUGAAUCUCUGAUCACAAAAGAAUGAUGAAGGAAGACAAACCUGCAAAUUUUCCUUCCCAUACUAGUUCUUGAUCACCAUGAAAGGGAUAGAUUUUAAUCCUAGUUACUGUGAAUUGGAUGGUCAUUGUGGCACAAGUUUUCUGAUACAUCAUACAAUCUUACAUUUCAAUCAACAGAAUAGCAAACAUAGAAGAAAAAAAUAUAUAUCCAACCAUAAAAUGAAUGUCUUUCCCAUAGUCGAGUGAAGCAAAAUUCUCAUGGAGCAUAUAGAUUUUUUACCUUGUAAAGUCUGAGUAACUUGGAAGGAUUUCGUCUUUGCUGAUUCUGAAUGGAGACUGCAGGAGAUCAAAAUCAAUAGAUCUCCUUGGAUGUCAUGACACAAGAGUUUUCAUGUAAUUUGCAUAAAUCUUACUGAAACACAAACAAAGAAGAAUUCAUCGACUAAUGCUGAAAUUUCAAGGAGGAAUUCACAAAAUUCACCUACCCAUGGGAUGUGUCUGCUCCUGAAGAAUGCUUGUGAGUGCUGAAGAGUGUUUCCUCUUUGAAAGAAGUCCUGAAUUGCCAUCCCUUCCCACAGCUUUCUUGACCCUCUUCUUCUCUCCCUCCUACCUGUGUUUUGGAGGUUUUGUACAAGAGAAGUUCAAGAAAGCUGUGGAAGGGAAUGGCAUGGACUUGGAAUGCAGCAACUCCAAUCCUCCCCAUUCUCAUGGUUAUUACAAGGAGCUACUCACUCCAUGCUCAAUGGUGUGACCAACAAUACUUAUAAGAUCUCUGUGUGAGCUGUGUCCAUUUGUUCUCUAGAAGUUAUCAUAAAAGUGAUUUCAAUGUGUGUCUGCUGGAGGUAAAAAUAGAAAUCAAAUUUCCACAUAUAUCCCUUUACAUUUUAAUUUGACAUAUAUAUAUAUAUAUGUGUAUAUUCCUCCAAAAGCUAAAAUUUGGUAUAUGAUAUUAUAAUUAAUCUUCAUUAUCCAUGCAUUUAAUUUAUUAGUCGAACUCUAAUUUUACAAAUGCAUUAUAAUGCUAAAUCAUUAGUAACAAAGUAAAUUUUUUUAACUCAAACAAACCAAUAUCGAUCAUAAUUAUAAUAUAUAUUUUUUGAAAAGAUAAGCGAUAAAGAUGAAUUUUAGUCUCAAAAUCUUGUACCGAUCUAACGAAGUAAGCUAGUUAGCAUCUUCAAUUUAACAUGCGGGAUCUUAAUAUUCGGAGAAUAUAGAUUUGAAAUGCAAUGUUGCCAAACUUGCAAGGAUAUAUAUGAAAAAAAAUCAGAAUAAACAGGAAAGAGUAGAUGUGAUCUGGAACUUUUGGUGGACCACAUUGCAUGAAUGUCAUCUCUGGCCUAUCAGAAGCCUUCUCUGUCCUUGGCAUGCUUUGCAGAGAGAGAGAGAGAAAUAGAGAGAGAGAGAGAGAGAAGAGUGUCAGAAGAAUAGGGGAAGAAAAUAAAGGUGAAUUAUUUGAGGGCCCUAAUUGGAUCCCUAUUGUCUUUGCCACCGAAGGUGUAGAGAAAUGCCACAAAUGCUUACUCGGUGAUGUUUAGGUCUGGAUCGACAAAAGGACAAAUAUUGUGCCGAUCACAUCAAAUGUCAAGUGUCAGAUUCGUAGAGUUUAUCAUCCAAUCAAGUCUGCCUUGGGAACAAUCCCAACUGUAAACGUGUAGCCACACUAAAUCAUACUGCUAAAUCUAUAUUCAUCUUAUAUCUAAUUUGCACCUCUAAACUUUAAUUUAGCACGUUCUUGUGGAAUCUAAAUGCUUGCCGGUGUAAUCAAUUCUCAUCAGUUGAACCUUAGCAUAAUGAUGCUACAACAGCACAACAAAAGAUAUAAACUCCAUUUUGUUUUACAACUUUACGUCGUAGCUGAUGAGUCAAUACGGUUUGGUUUGAAGCAUGUACGCAAGGUUGUCAAACAUGACUUUCCGAUUGGAACAAGUCGAUGUAUGGUUUGGUUGCCCCAAGGAAGAUCAAGUUGAGAUGUGUUUUGCAACGCUCCACCCUUUCGUGCAUAACUCUGGUUUCUACACAUAGGUUAGGGUCAAGAGUGGAUUUUUCAUCUCGACCACUUCGAAACACACGUCACUAAGAAGAAGUGAUGGUAAGAUUAAAUGUUCAAAGUAUGACCUCUGGUAUUGGCCUGGAGAUCAACUUUUAUAUCCGCAAUCGAAGAUUUUACGAUCAAUUAAUGCCCGUCGAUAUCUUAGGCUAUUGGUCUGUAUGCCCUAUGCAAGCAUUGAUCAAUUUGCUCGAUCCUGUGUCGUGCGACAUUGCUUCACGCUUCUCAAGCUGCUCUCUACGGUGUAACGCCACCUCGUACAGCCUUAGUCGGUAUGGGUGCAAUCGGUAGGAGAUGCAAGUGCAGACGACUGUCUCGUACGGGUUCGAGGUAUCGCAUUGACGUAGCACAUCAUGUUAGCAUGAAGCACCAUGUCGGCUUUGACGUGACAGUUGAUUGCAGUCACGGGGAUAAUACCGGAAUAUGCUCUAUCAACUCCAUUCUAAAUCAUAUCAUCGCAUUAUGUUGGUCGCACAAAAUCAUAAUUGUGAUAUUGUAUGAUCAAUUCUGUACGGAAAAGAAAAAGGCAAGGUAGGAUUAUAAAGUGGAUGCAAGAUGAUGGAUCACGUGGAAGAGAUUCGUGUGGAGGAAGGGUACGACGGAUUGCGUGCUUUUAACUGAUGAGCCCUAUGGAGCAUUCAGAGAGCUGCCCAUGGAGCAGACGAAGGAAGAGCGCGAGGGAGGGGGCAGACGCGGCCGCAGUGGUCACAUGGAAGCAUGUGAUGGCACACCGCUGUGUCCGUCGCGGAGUUAAUACGUGAACGCGGGUGCGGGCUUCUGGUCCCCAUGGCGGCGGCAUGCCACCCCCCCGUCUCGAAAUGGGGGUGGAGGCACCCCAAUUGGCCGUCCCUUCCGCGGCCGAACCGCACUACAUGGCAGAUUGGAACGAUGAUGGAACGGUGACAGCCCAUCUAUUUGUUGAAGACCGGUAAUGGACAAUCCAUGGGCCCGUUGGACUCGUUGAUCCAUUGUAUUCGUGGGCCAUUUCUUGAAGCUGUAAACGAUUUAUUUCGACUAAAUCAAAUUACAUUCGAACACAUUUUACCCUUUUUGGAGUUCACAAUAAUUUAUGAUCUUGCAUGGAAUACAUCCCGAUCCGGUGAUUAAUUUAGAUUUUGCGAAUCUUAAGAGGAUCGAAGCGUCCUAAUCAUUUUCUUUUUGGGUUGGGAGGCCCCCAUUGUUCUUCGUGGGCCUCGAUGGGCCUUAGGAGCAUUUGGAUCCGAUGUCGUCUGGCACGGUUUUCGGAAGAUGAGGAGGAGGUUCACGAAUCUUGAAGAGAAUCGGGUGGUUCUCUUUUCGCACGGCGCAAGUUUGGCCGGCUCAAUGACGCAGCGGAUCCCAACCCUCGUGCGAGGCAAUGGAUGGGCCGUUAUUAUGGUUUCACGCGGUUUCGUGGGAUGCGUACUUCCUACCACGCGUAAAAAGGCGUAUUAAAGUCUCUGUUCAUCUCCCUCUUCCUCCUCGUCAAAGCCCUCCAUUCCCCAUGCCUUGUCCUCUCCAUACCGAGCGGGAGGUAAUGGAAUUCCUCCUCUUGUUUGCCAUAUUCGUCUUCACCUGCGGCCUCAUCAACUGCCGCCGCUUCCUCCCCGGGUCUAAGCUAAUAGCAUGGCUUUGCUCAUUUCUGCCCACUUCCUUCUCAUCACCAAAGCUAGCAGAAAGAGCAGUGGAGGAGGAGGAGGAGGAGGAGGAGGAGGAGGUUGACGAUGAGCUCGAAAGCAUAUUCUCGACCUUCGACAAGGACGGAGACGGCUUCAUCACCGUGAAGGAGCUGGAGGAGUCGCUCGGGCGGUUGGGCCUCGCUGUCACAGACAACGAGGCGAUGAGCAUGAUGGAAAGAGUCGAUGCGAAUGGAGAUGGCCUCAUAGACCUCGACGAAUUCCGCGAGCUCUACGCCGAGCUGGGGAGAAACCAAGAAGGAGGCCAUGAGAGGGGUUUGGUGGCGAGAGAAGAGGAAGAAGAGACGGAUUUGAGAGAGGCGUUUGACGUCUUCGAUGGGAACAGAGAUGGGCUGAUUACGGCGGAGGAGUUGGCCAUGGUGCUGAAAUCUCUGGGGCUGAAGCAAGGGGCAAAGUUGGAGGACUGCAGGGACAUGAUAGGGAGGGUGGACAGAGAUGGGGAUGGCAAGGUGAACUUCGAUGAGUUCAAGAAAAUGAUGAAGAUGAAAGGGGGGAAGCUCUUCUGAUCCAUUUGUCAGCUCCCUUCCGCUGCCAUUACCAGAACAAGCAGACAUCUAUGUACAGAUGUGAUCUAUCGCUAACCCAUGUUCAUCUUCUUCUCUGUUCAUCAAUUUUCUUCUUUACUCCUUGUAAUGAAUGCUCACUUCUCUCAAGAUACGAACAACUUGUUAUUGUGACUUGAAUGGAGAACGGAUUAACAUGCUUCUUCUUCAGAAACAUGACAAGCUUUUAGUCUAUCCAAUAUAUUUUACAUUUCAGAAAUCAUUUGUAGAUUUCACAUGACCCACGAAUCAUGUGCUGCGAGAUCGAUGGAUGGAUUAACUUGACAAAUUGAACUCAAUGACUAAAUCUUCUAAGCUUGUUGAUAUCCACACAAUCCAAGGGAAAAGCUGUUUGAGCUGACAGAUCUGAGGUCAAGAGCUGGAUACACUGAGGAGACUGCUCAAAACACAGGGUCUCUUUAUUGUGUGAAGUAGUUUGUUUGAUUAGUUCACUAGAACACUUGAUGCUGCUGUGGGGACUAAAUCAUUGAAUCAAAGUAGUCUAUUAAAAUGGUUUUAUUCUGAAGUGGUCAGAUUGAUGUGGAGUCUAUAUAAUGUUGCUGUCAGAAGACCAUUUGUUGGCCAUCAACCAAUUCCCAGGCCUUGGCAUUACCAUGUCUAUAUCCUUUGCUUGACUUUGUCCAAGGUAGGGUCAAGGAGGCCGGCUUUUCUUUUGCUUUAGGAGAGAAUUGAUUCCUCCUCAGAGUGCGAUACUUUUCUUCGGAAGAUCAAUCCAUGGAAUGAGUGAAGAAUAGUUGCAAGUCCAGAAGAACAUUGAAGGAAGUCACGUUCUUUGUUGAACUCAACGUGAAACCAGUGCUGUAUUCUUGGAGAAUCCAUUCUAAUUUGCUUGCUAUACACUGAUGGAAGGGUCACAAUAUAGCCUACGAGAAUAUCCCAGAUCACAAGUUCAAGCUUAUAUAAAGCUUACAGAUCUUUUGAUACUAAAGUUAGGCUCUCCGAGUGGAUUAGAUGAUGAUAAGACGAUAAAAAUUUUGUAUAUCAUACCCAAACCCUUUUUCCUCAUAAUAACUACAUAAAGAGAUCAAUUGGUGUGACAGGACUUUGGGAAGGUACAGCUGACAACAAGCAUCCAGACCUAACAAUCAACCUUGAGCUUGUUUUCCAUGUUUAGCACGAGUUAGAACAUGUCUUAGUCAAAUUCCUUCUGAAUACUUGAAAGUUUCCAUUCCCAUGUUGUCUUACAUGAUGACACCUUGACAUCAUUUUGCAGUCGAUAUGUGAUCAUAUCACGUACUUCACACGUAGAGACGGCAUCUCUGACAUAGUUUGAAGGUACAACACAAGUCAAUUUUGUGUCAAACAAUCCAAAAGCAGCCUUAUCGCAUGUCAUUUUAACUGUCACUGUGCUGUGAUAAAGAGAGGAACUGCGGGAACGAAAGAAUCAUAUUGUUAGCUCUUUGUUUCUUCCCAAAAAAAAGGGCAAAGAGAUCAUAAUUAUGCAUCAAAUGGUCAGUAUCUGCAUAGACUUCAGAGACCGAUUCGUACAUUGAUUUGAAACGAGCCACCAGUUAUCAUUAUGCCAUGCAACAACAGCACUAUGGAAACUUCUAUCUUUCCCAGCAAGUGAGCAGCUUUACUUUUAUUGCACUCACGGUGGCGUAGGACAUGGUUUCCAUUGGGUCUCACACCUUUGUAAGAUUACAGCUUAUAAAACCAUGGCCGUGUCACCCCUUAACGUAGCUUCCAUUAGUUUGAUGUGGUAGAUACCACAAGCAUGCUGUGGAAGAGGAAGAACAUAGCUUGCUUGCACAAUAGUCCACUUGUUAUACUAAAUGGUAUGAGUAAGUACACUGAUUCGCUGGUUUAUUCUUAAUGUAUUGGGUACGAAACAUUCCAACGAAGCAGACAACGUAGCCACAAAGUCACAGGCGGACAUCAUCCACCAUGGGAGACUUGGUAGGCGACAUUGGUUCCAAGGGAUCUCCUCCACUGUGCUUUGAACAGGUCCCCUCGGUCAUGUGAAGAUGACCUUACCAUCUCUUCGUGCACAAGAAAUGUCACUAAGUUAUUAGUGUAGGUUACGGCUUCACGUCUUCUGUAUACGGAAUCAUUAAAGUUGAUCCAUAAGCAUCAAAGAGAAUUAAGAAUCAAAUUAAAGAUCAAAUCAACAAUCAAACUACGAAGCUGUCGAGCUUCCUUUCAGUUAAAUUCCUGGUUUUAUUGCAACCACCGGUCUUCAAUUAAAACUGAAAGCAACAUUUCUUCUAAAUUUACCAGUUUAAAGUUUUUUAGUUAUCUAUUUUAAAUGAUAUUUAUGUUUUUAUUAAUUUUUCAUGUAUAUUUUUCAUAUUACUUUUAUUAUAAUAACUUCAAACGAAUGGAUAGAAUUAACAGUGACAAAAUUUUAAGAAAAAUAUAAUAGUGAAUGAAUAAUUAAGAUUCGUCGUUUUGACUGAUCAAAUGUGGUCCUCUCUGAUUUAUGUAUUAAUUGGUAUCGAUGUAUCCAUAUAUAUGUGCAUCAAUAUGUAACGGAGAAAAAAAAAAUAAAGGAGGGGAAAAAGGAAAAAGAGAUAAUAGAGGAAGACGAGACAAGCAAAAAAAUGAAUAGAGUGGAGGAAAAAAAAAUAAUGGUAGGCAGUGAUCCAUUAUAACAAUGAUUUUCGAGUGGCGCACGAAUGGACUCACGUUAAAUCUAUUAAAUUAUUUUUAUUUAGUUAGAUAGUUCAAUCUUAUUUUUGAAUCGAUGGAAAUAGAAACGAUGUUUAUGUCUAAAUUAGCAUAUAUUAUCAGUUUAGUACCAAUUCAAGUAAAAAAAAUAGUUUGUAAACUGGAAAUAGGAGAGAUGUUUAUGUCUAAACUGGAAAUAGUUUGUAAGGAAGUCUCUUGACUAAAAAAAAUAUUUUUUUUAAUGUAUUUUUGCUAAUAUAAAAUUAAUUACUGAAUUAUCAUAUAUCUUAACUCAAUCAAUUAAUGUAACAAAAGGUUCGUAAUUUUGUACAUUACCGAAGUUUUGAUGUUAGCUCAGUACGAUAUGAUAAUGUAUACCGAGCGAUAUACCAAAUGAUAUACUGCUCAUUAUAUAUAUAUAUAAACGGGGCGACAUCGUAUUGCCUCGACGACGUCGCCCCGCGUGAGAUGGAAAAGACGACAUCAUCUUAUAUAUAUAUAUAUAUAUAUAUAUAUAUAUAUCAUUUCGUUUUGUUCGAUAAUGGGUGGUCCGUUUACCGAUCAACUGAUGGACCGGUACGUACUAGGACAGUAUUAUUCGAAAUUGUAUACGUUGAAUGUAAUAUUUAUAUUUGUAAGAGAAUUAUAUAUAUAUAUAUAUAUAUAUAUAUAUAUAUAUAUGUUUGGCACAAAUCUAAAAAAAAAUUCUUUUAGUUUACUUAUUCCAAAUUACUUAACCACGGACAAACGAGACCAUACCACAGUUAAGUUUUGAGCGUAAUGACUCGAGUGACCUCCAAAGCACCCGUAACCCCGCCUCCCCCCGCGCUCUGUGUUUGACCACCUGACUAAGAAAUGACAUAUAAUGACUCGUUCCUUUCUUCCCUCUCCAUUACUCUAUUCCAGUGUCGUUGGCCGCUAGCGCGGACCUCCGGGAGAUCAUCGGGCGACCACUGAAAUUGGUGGUCGUGGCGAGCGAAUUCGGCACCGACUCUUGGCGUAAUCGGACCGGUGACGGUCCGCAAAUCACCACUGCGCUACCCUCUCGCGAGCUCUCUGUCAUGGAAUUGGGGCCGGACGCCGGCGAUGACGGCUACCGGGUUCAGUCAUGACGAUCGCAUGUUUCCUUCUUCUGAUUCUAUUCGCGCAAGCAUGCGGCCAGCAAGGUAAUUGAGCAUCACAUCUUCUAUCAUACAUCGAUUUCCUUGCUUCCUUUGUGGUUAUAGAGAGUCUUGGUGUCAUGUAACUGAACGAUGGUUCAACUUUCAUGUGAUUAACCUGUCGAUCAAGUCCUGUUUGAGUUAUGGGUAAGACGGAUUUCAAAUCUUUUGGGCAAGGUUUAGUUGCGUAUUUAUCAGUUUAUGUUUUCUAUAACAGCAACUUCACGAUAAUUUGGAGUUAUCCUUUGAUUGCAAAUGAAUAUUUAGCAAGUUGGGCUGCUUCGUUGCUAUAUAGGUCUAUGUAAUCUGAAUUGAUGCAUCUCGGGAGGUAAAUCAGUCGCGUUAGCUAUCUACAUUUGCAAUAUGUACCUACUCUUGUUUGAGUUCGCUGCAACUGGAGCUUCAAGAGUCAAGCCCUGUCAUGUACUUGGGGCCAGGUUCAACAUAUCAAAAGCUACUGGCAGUACCAUGUGCCAAUUAGUUCCUAAGAACGUAGUUGUGGACGCCAUAUAAGGGGUACUUUCUUCAUAGUUCAUAAUGACCUUCACAAAUGAAUUCUGUCAUCAUCCUGCUUCGCCUCAAGUUUCUCACUGCCAUUAAGCAGGGGAAAAUGUACAGGAAAUGAAAAAAUCCAAAAAAUUUCCUGAAAUGCCAUAACAUUUCGAAGAAUGAGGAGUUUCUAGUUGUAAUUUGAAUGGUAAUGCCAAUAUUACUUAUUGUCCCAGAGUAACAAAAUGUUUAGCUUUCAGAACUGCUUGUAACUCUCUCUACCGAGGACUGCCAUUUCAUGGCGGGGUGGUCUUCUGCCAUAGCAUGUUCUUGUAUCAGCCAACACAUGCAGAUAACUGACUUGGCCAUAUUUUAACACCCGAAAUCAGGUUGGUGUGAGGCAUGCCUAUGCAUUUUUAGGGUGAAAUAUUUCACGACAUGCCGACAUGUGCUGAUUGGCACCAUAUUCCUUGUUUUCUAGUGUUAUGCAAAAUAAUGAUUCAAACAGAGGAUAAUUGCAUUCAGUUUUUACCUUUUCGAUGGUGAUCUAGAUUAUUAUCUUCUGUUGCUAACUUCUUUUUUUCCAAGUCCCUGUGCUCGAAUACUGAUGUAAUUUAACUCACAAGUUAGCUGGUAGUGCAUCAAUACAUGCUUUCGAUAUAAUGGAUACAUCAUGACUAGAAGUCUGCACAUACCCCUUCUAUUGAUCAAGACAUGCUUGUUUUUCAUAUUUUGAAGAUUUAUCUUGUAAAUUGUUGAUACCAUGUCAUUAAAUUAUUUCAGGAACUUUCAUUUUGAAUAUCGCAACCAAUGAACUUUUGCAAUUAGCAAAUUCUAGGUCUGUUCCUAAGCUUUACCUUCUCUCUUCUUGCCACUUUGUAGAUGAUGUGAGAAUGGAUUUUUCAAUAGUGGUUGUAGUGGAAAAGGUUAGAAAUGAACUUCUGUUGUGGAAUCAAGGAAACAAAAUUUUUCAGAAUUGGUCUGGUGACCCAUGCUCUCCCUCUCCAUGGGAAGGUUUUACUUGUCAAAUGUUAAACCAUACAUUUACUAUAACACACCUGUAAGUGCCUUCAUCAUUCCAAUACCGCAAAUGUCUUAAUAUUCUGUUCUUUCACUUAUUUUGCUUCUUUACUGUUGAUGCCUUCUUAUCAUUCUUGCUUCCAUGCUGUUAUAGUCAGCUUAUACUUUCUUCAUAUUACACAAUUUUAAGACAUCUAAAUUUUAUUCAGGAAUCUCUCAUCAAAUAAUUUGCAAGGGUCAAUUCCUACAUCCAUCGGUGACCUAUCAGAGCUAAGAGAGCUGUAUAUCUCACUGCUUCCUGGAAUCAUGAGUUCAUCACAUAAUUUUAUUUGCCUUGUUCUCUGCUCUGAAUCAUCCGGUACUUUCUAUAUGCAGGUAUUUGGAGGAUAAUAACUUUACAGGGUCUGUUCCAGAAUCUUUCGUGUCACUUCACCAUUUGUCAAAUCUGUAUGUUUGUUAAUAUCUUUAUUCUCUUGCUUCUUCUUAUAUUUACUUUGGGUGUUUGGUUCACCAAUAAUUGUCCUUACAGUUGCAACAUGUCAUGAUGCUUCACCCAUAUGGUGCUUAUCCUCUCUUUUUCUGGAGAUACAAUUAUCAAAUGAAAAGCUUGACUUUUUGCAUUUUCCUUUUUUAGGUCCAUAAAGUGCAACCCACACUUAGACAGUCAACUCCCUCCUGGUUUGUCAAGAAGGAAUCUUACCGUAAGGUAUGAAAAUCAUGCUGAUUUAUGUUCAUAUUAAUAAAUUUGAUGGUUGAUGGUAAUGUAUCUUAUAUGUUCAUCUCAACUGCGGUCUUCAGUUCCGGAAACUGUCUCAGGAAAAAUGCUUCUGAAACAAGUUCUUCUCAACGAAGAAUUUAUCUGCUAGGAGCUGGAGGGUCUCUUACUUUCAGUCUUGCAUUUGCUAUUUGUUUCAACUGUUUCUACAAACGUGCCAAUCACUCUGAUAGAAGAGAUCACCUGGACAUUAAGAGUAUGUCUGAAUUCUUAUCUUCUCAGAAUUGCUGCAGAAAUUAUUAUGUAAUAGGCAAAAAAGUUGACCAACUAUGCUUAGGGAAAGAUGUCUUACCUUUAGUGUUAGGAAACUUUAUUUGGCUUUUAAAUUUUUUUCAGGAUGUGUUUAAAAUUGUCUUCCUACUAAUAUUUUUUUAGGUAAUAUGUUUAACUACUAAUAAUUACCAAUUGAUAGGUGUCUUCUGAGACCAGGCACUGGAUUAAUACAAAGGGCCAUUGGAAUAUAAUUUCUUUGCUCAAUAAUGAAUUGAGAUAUGUUUCUAAGACCCAUUGUAAACCAUAUGUUAAGAAAAAAUGUGAAAAAUCUUUUAAAUGACUAAAAGCCUCUUAUGAAAGUUUUGUUUUUCUUAUACUUGCAUAGUUUGUGUAUGAUUUAAACAAUUUUUGGAAUGCAAAAUUUGUAACAUAAAGAGCUAAGUGGAAUAACUCAUUAGUAAUUCAAUUGUCUCUAUUGUUCCAAAGAGUGUUAAAUUUUUUAUGAUGUGAAACAUAGGGUUUCUAAUAUGGUUCGUCUUACCGGUCCGUACUGGUGUACCGAUCGGCCAUCGGUACGAUAUGUAUCGAUCCAUACCAAUAUACAGACAUAUGGUACAGUGGGCCAUACCGAGAGACUGAUAUGUACCACCCAUACCGGUCCUCUGUCAGACUGGUAAGUACUUCUCGGUGCGGUGACUCUUCUAUGUUGGGCAUACACCAAUGUUGAUAGGAUUUUCUUUACAGAUAGCUGAUUUCAUAAUCUCCUUAUAUUUGAGUUUUCCUUUUAUAAAUAGCUAAUUUCAUGGUUUCCUUUUAUAAAUGCAGAUAUAGUUUUCUCAGAAUCAAGUGUUGAUGAUGUUUCAACAAACCUGGUAGUGCAUCAGUUUUCUCUUAAAUAUAUCGAAAGUGCCACAUGCAACUAUAAAACCUUGAUUGGAGAGGGUGGAUUUGGAACUGUUUACCGCGGUAUUCUCCCUCAUGGUCAAGAAGUGGCUGUAAAGGUUCGAUCAGCUACAUCAACUCAGGGAACCCGUGAAUUUAAUAAUGAGGUAAAAUAGCUGUCAGUUUCUUUCUUUUUCUUUUUUACUAUAAUCAUUAAUCUUAUGUUUGUAAUUCUCAAAAAAUGCAAGUUUGUCUGAGCCUAGCUGCCACUUUUAUGUUCAUCAUUCUCGUAUACACUUAGUAUGGAUUGUAGUUGACUUGUCUCAUAGCUUGGAAGUUCAGUUUUGGAAGAUGCCACUGCUAUAUGUGGAGCUCAGACUUUAUUGCCUGAAAUCAACUCCAAUUAGCAACGCCAAUAAAUAAUGUUAUAGUCUUGUUAAAAUCCACUGUAUCAAUAGUUUCUAACUUUCUAUUAUAUCCUUAAUGGAUAUCCAAACCAAAAGUAAGCCUCUCUACUCUCUAGUCAUGUGUUGUUUCCACUUUUCGCAGGUGAACCUUCUUUCAACUAUCAUGCAUGAAAAUUUGGUGCCGCUUCUUGGCUACUGCUCUGAAAAUGAUCAACAAAUACUUGUCUACCCCUUCAUGUCAAAUGGUUCUUUACAAGAUCGACUAUAUGGUAUCAUUUUAAUGAAAAACACUAAGUUCUCUGUUCUUUAAUAUAUAUAUAUAUAUAUAUAUUUCUUUUUUACUAUUCUUAUAUCUCAAUUUCUAGGGGCAUCAGCAAAGAGGAAGAUUCUCGAUUGGCCAGCUAGGCUUUCUAUUGUGCUUGGUGCUGCUAGAGGCAAGCAUCAUCCUCUGAAUUUGCUUUCUAUUAGAUUGUUCAUAUUUGUUAGGAACUGUUAUAAGCUAUAUAUAUUUUCAUAAUUUGCUACAAUUUCCCAAUUAAAUGCCUACUGAACUGUAGAAAAAACAACUUAUAUGUUUAAAGUAAUUUAUUUCUUUUUUUUUCUUAACUUGAAUUUGUGCAUUGAAAUAUCAUCUUGUGCCUGUUGGCGUGGAUGCUAAGUAGCGCCAGUUGGCAUGAACCGUAGAAAAGAGAACUAUGUACCACACCAACAAGGGGAUGUUACUCGGAAGACUGAAACCUAUGAUGUGUUUAUCUACCAAGGACUUUGCCUUCCACUUGUUAGUUCCAUAUCGAUCCCAUGUUGGCUAAUACAAUACCAGUUUGAUACCAUGUUGACACAUAUGAUGACCAGUGUAUUGCUCUAGUGCAAUUAGUUGUGCUUGACCAAUAAAAAAGUUUCCACUUAAUAUUUGUCUAAGCAGGUCAAUACAUUGUUGAUCAUAUUAAAAAUAAUAUUAACCCAGUACGAAGUCAUACGCACAAAUAAAAUCAACAAAUUACAACUCAACUGUCCAUUAUCAAAUAACCAUUUAUGCAUUAAUAAUUUAAUAUGACUAACAAGUAUAAUAUUAUGCAAGGUUCACAACACUGGUCUAUAUUUAAUAAUGACCAUACACUAGGCUAAUAUACUGAUAUAGUUAUAUUGACACCCAACACUGAUCGGUGUUCAUGGUAUACUGGAAAGUUAUAAUGAAACCAUUGAUCAUGGUAUCAGUCAUAUCCAAUAUGAUACUGAUUCAUAUUGAUAUUUUCCAAGCCUUCAAGGUUGGUCCAUUUUAGUUUAUAUCUCAUACUUAUAGUUAAAAACUGUUCAGAAUUGGCUUCAAUCAAUCAAUUGGAUAUUAGCAGAUUUUAGACAAUUUUAGCCAUUGUUUGUAGUAUUGACUGAUCUUAAUGCGGCACCCUGAUGUGGUAUAAUCUAAAAUCAAUUUGAUUUGGCUGUAUUCUGGCCCAUAUAGCCAGAAAUUGAUCAGCAUUUGCUAUAUUUGAUCAAGCUCGACCAUAAUUGACCAAUUUUACUAAUUUAGGUGAUUUGAUAGAUUCAGAAGAAAAGGUAAGAGAUGUUGGUACCGGUGUUUUUGUUGUUCCAUGCAAGGUUCUUUUUGUUGUUUUUUCAGUUUUUUUUCGGAUUUUUUCAAAAUUUGUGUUGGCACACCGACACCAGUCUAUACUGAUAUGGUACAAGACUGAGCCCUGACCGAGACACUACUGACACAAAAUUAUGAACCUUGAUUCCAUGCUAUAAUAUUAUAUAACAUUGUUACAAUUUUUGUAUAUUUCAUAUGUAUAUACUGAAAUAAGAGUUCAUAGGGACAUUCUUUUUGUCAAAUUAUCCUAAUAUAGAUCUGCAAAAAUUUUGACUGUUUUGCAUUUAUCAUGACUCUUAUGCACACUGUCACUACUAAACUGCUCAACCUAUACAUAGCUCUGGUGUCAGAUUCCCAUUAAGCACCAAAAAUAGAGUUGUGACAUGUUUUAUCUUUUGAUAUGUCUCAGGUUUAAUGUAUUUACACACUUUUUUUGAGCGAUGCAUCAUUCAUAGAGAUGUGAAGUCCAGCAACAUUCUUUUGGACCAUAGCAUGUGCGGUAAAGUGGCAGACUUAGGUUUCUCUAAAUUUGCACCACAAGAGGAAGAUAGUGGAGCUUCACUUGAAGUAAGAGGAACUGCUGGAUAUUUGGACCCAGAGUAAGUUUGCUAAUGAUGUCUUACAUAUACUGUUUAUGCUUUUGCAUGUUCAACUUCUAAGUGUUGUGAUAUUUCUAGUUCUUCCCUGACUGGAUAUACUUAUUUGAUGACUGCUUGUACUAUUUUGGUAUCAGAAAAAUUACAUGUAUCUACUAAAGAGGGACAUGCGAGAAAAUUAGAAAGAAUGCCAGAUGAUGUUUUGAGAUGAAAAUCAGGCAAAAAAGGAGUGACCAGGAAGAAAUAAGAUCUUAACUCACACGGUGAACCAAUAAAACACCCACAGGAUAUUGGUACAUAUCAUGCCAAAACAUGAUAUGACAUGGAUGGCACAAAAAGGAAAAUUUAGAAGAACAAAAAAAAGGCAUGAAGAAAAAGAAGGUGGAUGGUUUGUCAUCUUUGAGAAAAUAAGUAAAAGAACAAAACAGAUCCAUAUCUAUUUUGCAAAUGUGGAACCCAGCCAGAUGUUGAGCAAGAGAGACUGAGAGGGGAGAUUGAGAGGGGAAGAAGGGGGAUAGGGCUUGGGCAAGGGAUGGAUAGGAGAGAAUACAAAACACAUAGGAAGAAACUUACAUGUUAUUGGUUAUGUUUCAAUCAAUACUGCUGGAAUACUGCUUGUAUAGGUAGAACUUACAAGUUAUUGGUUAUGUUUCAAACGGUACUGCUUAAAUCCUGCUUGGUAUAGGUGGUAUAGAAAAGCACCAAGCUGUAUGAUUGGUGCAUGGUGAUACUGCCUGGAGUAGGCUGCUCCACAUAUCAGUACUAGCUUGGACCGGAAAAUAUUUGCUGUUAUGGUUGAUCUCCACAUUCCAGAAGAUAUUUCUUGCUUUCUCAUAUAUUAGUCAACAGAGACAGGUCUAUAAAAAUUUCUGGAUUUAACUCUCCAAAUAAUGUUUAUAUUUUAGCAUAACCGGUACUUAGAGCAAAUAUAAUAAUUAAUGUAUACCAAUGCAAGAAGGCAAGAACUCAAUGUCAACCCCGAAUUUAGUGAAUCUAAAUUUGUGUUGUUUCUUCUUAACAUUUAUAGCUUGAGACAAUGGGUUCCAUAUGUUCUUGUUUCGGUUAUUAGUUAACUACAAACCCAUAAACCCAAACAUGGAAUACCAGCACCUUGUUUUGCUAUCAGAAACUUCACUAAGAGAUUACUAGGCAACUGAUUGUUCUGAAAUGAAUUCUUAGGAGAAAGGUUCAAAUGGAUGACAAAGUGACAGAUAGUAUAUGGUGCCAUUGUGGCAUUUGAAUGGGCUAUAUGAUUCCAUUGAAAGGAGAAUUCCAUUUUAUCUUAAAACUAAAAAACAGAUUAGUGGGAACAUUCCACAUUGAAUAAUUAUUAAGUGUAGUCAUCAGCAAUAACUUGUACAUUUCAAAGGAAAGCAAUGGCUCCAUGACACUACUGUCCUAUGUAAUAAGUUGCAAGUGUCCAAAGUUGUCAUUACAGAAUUGUAAGCAAAUAUACAAGUGCAUCAUAUUUUGUCACCAAACUAUGUUCUUCUGUAAAGCAAUUGAACUUUUGAAGUUUCUGUUGUUAAUGUUAAUUGAAACCGACUUGUUUUUCUUUAUGUCUGGUGCCAACUUGCUUAUGAAACAUUCAGCUGACUUCUUUGUUGCAUAAAUCUCAAGCUUCUUCCUGGUCAACAAUAACACAUGAGCAAUGACACAUCAUAAUAGCAUGACAUUAGCAAUUUAGCAUAUGGAUCUUUUCUCAUGGCACUUGAGAUCAUAACUGGGUUAUUGCAGUUCUUUGCUAGAUGGCAUGCCCCUGAUGUUUUGUUUAACUGGAAUGUUGUAUGCCAGUAUUUUUUCUGUUGUUACUACUUACUAGUAUUGUCAUUAUUAUGACUUGCAUUUUUUUGUUUCUUUCUGCUUUAUCACUCUUUGCUGCUAUCUUCUUGUUUCAAUCAUUUUUUUGUUUCUAUUGUAUUACUUUUAAUGUGAUUGUAUAUUAUGCUAUUCUUUUUCUACUCGUACAUUGAUGUUGCCUUUAGGUUUCUUUUUUUUUUUUGUACAAUUGGAUUAUUUUCUUUUGUACAAUUUUUUAUGUAAUCGUGACCAAUAAUAAUUAUCUGUCAUUCUAGUUUUCUAGUUAUAUUUUUUGCACUUGAAACUUUUUAGUCAUUUCACUUAAUUUUAUCUGAUUUCUUGAAUUUUCACACCAUUACAACUUUUGCUAAUAUCUAACAUAGUAUUUUGAUCUGACUUUGAUAUUGUUUUUUCGUUAUGUUUCUUGUUUGAUCAACUAUCUGUUAGAUUAUAAGAAAAUUGUUCAUUUAUUUUUUAUUUAGAUAUUCAUGGGAUUUUUUUAUUUUUUAAUGAUAUCUUAAAUUCAUCAGGCUUAGGCAUGAAUGCCUAGGUGGCCUAGUGUUGCCUAGCUGCCUUAACAAUAUUGAAUAAAAUCAUAUCAUCUGCAUACAAUAUCAGCCAUAGAAGUUUAUGAAUAUACCUAACAUGUUUGCAUGAGAAACUUAAUAGACUUCAUGUUUUGGGGCUUGGCGUCGCAGAGGAUGUGCGAAGGUAUCAGCCAGCUUAGCUGGUAAUGACUUUGAUAGUAUAUCGCAAGGUCCCGAUCUUGAAUCCUGCUUUCGCCACUUACUCUUUGACAAAAAAAAAAAAGUUUGCAUGAGAAAGGCUAAAAUUUCUUAUUUCAUAUUGGAUUCAAUAAACUUUUGCAUUGGCUAUCAGCUACCUAAAAUGACUCUCCCUUUUUGGAUACUGAGACUGGGUGGAGCUGCUUGCAAUCCACAAAUUAUUUAACUUAAAUCUGAAGCCACAUUCAAGUAUUUCACUUGAUUAAGUGUACAUUAUCUCACAACCUAUCACAUUCACUCAUUAUGCAGUGAUGGAAAAUGGAGUGCACCACAAGCUGAAACAUUGAUUUUUUCUUUUAUUCCAGAUAUUACUCAACCCAGCAGUUAUCAUCUAAAAGUGACGUCUUUAGUUUUGGGGUGGUUCUUCUAGAGAUUGUCACUGGAAGGGAGCCCCUGAACAUUCACAGGCCAAGAAGCGAAUGGAGCUUAGUUGAAUGGGUAAGAUCUCUCUGUCGUGUCCUUGUUUUUUCAUUAUAGCAUUGAAGUCAAUAUGACAAAGAUACCUGGGAGGAUCUAGAUCAAGCUUGUAGAAAGUUUUAUACUUAUCCUGGAUGGCCAGCAACAAGGAAUGGAAAUUAAUCUUACUCAACAUACAAUUAGAAUCUCUACUGACAAAUCCCACAGGGUUUUUGGUCAAAUGGUAAAACAAGGAAACUACAUAUGAUUUUGAUCUUGUUCUUGUGCCAUUUCUUAGUCUCGACAAGUUUUUCUAGUCCUGAAUUGAUUUCUGAGUAUUUUCUUUAUUAAUUAAUUUUUAAAUGUUGGGCUUAAAGGAUAAAUCUAAUCUUAUUAUGGACUUUUUUUCUUUUACGAGCACCAAAAUAUGUUAAGAUAAGAUCUUAAAUUUAUAGUUUUACAUGAGUUUGAAAUAGGAGAACGUGAAACAAAAUCGUCAGAACCAAUUUGAGUAGUAGUUGAAUGGUUACUCUAUAAACAAAGAUUAGUGGAGUUAGUUAUGUGUGGCAAUAACACACAUUUUGGAUGAAAGAAACCACAUUUCUUUAGGCUUUAUGGUCUAUCUUCUUUCUCUAUGAUGUAAAAUAUCUUUCAAUUUCUAGCUGUUUUCUUUCAAUCCAUGGUCUGCUACCCCCUCAUCUUCUCAUUUUGAUUCCAUUACUUUAAUUGUUAUUUAGCUAUUUGUUGCUUUAGUUUGCUACCAUAGAUUUAUGGUUGAUGCUAUCAAAUUAGAGCAUUGUUGUGUAUUAUCAUGCCACUUCGUUUUGCAUAAAUAAUUUAUUAAUAUUGCAAAGAUCAGUUAUUCUUGUGACCAAGGUACUGCAGUGCAUAGCACAUAUAAAGCAUAUAGUGAUAUAUGGAGGUAUAUAUGGUUAGUUUGAUCUUGGUAAAUCCAAAAUUGUAAAUAAGUAAAGAAACAUGGCCAUAUGCUAAGAUCCCAUAAGAAACCUAUGAGUGAUAUUUAUACUCUUGCAAGAAGCAAUUUGAGUGAUAGCCGACGAGAAAUGGGAAAAGGUGUAUGCGACUAAAGUCAUAUUAUCACCAAGCUAAGAUAUAUGUUGUUAUAUGCAGCCAUGAAUUUAUGCUUUUGAGGACUGCAAAAGUAAUCGCAUAGGUAUAUGUGACUGCAUAUUAUGCAAACAAAGCAGUAUUGCUUAUUGCAGCCACAUUCAUCGCACACACUCGUCUGGCUGCAUAAAGUGUUUUUUCCUUAAACAUUGAUGAAAGUCUUUACAGUCUUAAAUAGUGUUGCAAAAAAUGAAAUUAGCUGUACAACUUUCUUGUCAAUCUAUACCAAAGGUCUUGUUACUCUUUUAGCCAACUAGAAAGACCAUCACAGAGGUCCUAUAGAGAUUGUUGGCUCCUUGUAAGUGUUCUAAUUUUUUUUAUUUUUCAUCAACAACAACAACACAACAAAGUCAUAUUUGGAAUCUGCUACAUGGAUCUUUUGUCAUCGAGAUCUAUACAAAAUCAUAUAUGUAAUUAAGUUAAGAAUAUUUAAAUUAUUAUUUAUAGUUUCUAUUAAGAUUUUUUAGGUCUUCUUUGCCUUUCUACUUUUCCUCAUACCACCACUAAUUCUCAUUUAAUCUCUUCUAGUAAAUAAUAUACAUCUAUAAAUAACAUACACCAGGGAAUUUUUUUUAUUUUUUCCUUAUCAAAAAAAUUUCCCUUCACAUGAUUUCUUAAUUACAAUCCAAGUGCUCAACCUUAUCUCAUUAGAUUCCAUUGAUGCCCCAUAUAGAUAGUGAAAAUAAUCUGCUACUUUGGAAAAAAUUAGAAAAACCAUUAAACUGAAACUUUGAUUGUAUCAUGGACCUAUUUGAUAAAAUAAAUGAAUUCCUUGUGGUAACUAUUCUUCUGUUAUUGUGUUCUCAGAUAUAUCAUCAUAUUAGAAAAUCAAAAUAGAUCCUUGUACGAUUGUAUCUCUUGUCCACUUUGUCUACUUUGUGGUGAAUAAGAAAUUAUUGACCGCAUCAGUUCUUCGUAUCAGUCUUCUAGACAACGAAACCAUUCUCAAUAAAUAAUUCAUUUUUUUAUGCUUUCUGCUCACAAAAACUUUCUGUUGACUGAUGACAGUUGCAAAAAUCUUCUUAAACUUUUUGAUUCUCAUUCUAACCAUCAUGCACUGUUGAUGUAGGCAAAACCAUAUAUUAGAGAAUCAAGGAUUGAAGAAAUUGUUGAUCCUAGUAUAAAAGGACAGUACCAUCCAGAGGCGAUGUGGCGGGUGGUUGAGACUGCAUCAUGUUGUGUUGAGCCCAUCGGAAGCUACCGGCCGAAUAUGGUGGAUGUCGUCCGUGAACUGGAGGAUGCCCUGAUAAUUGAGAACAAUGCAUCAGAGUACAUGAGGUCUAUUGAAAGCAUGGGAGGAUCCAACCGCUACUUGUCACUCGAGAAAAAGAUCAUAAUACCAAGCGCAGAACCAACUGGACCCUAAUCAAGUUUUUAGCCAAGCAGUUGAAGCUACACUUCCAAAAUAAUUCCGCAUGGAUGGUAAGAAAACAAAUGAACGUAAGGUCCCUCGUUCAUCCUAAAUUUGAUAAAAGAACAGUUGUUCUAUGGCCUAUACCUCAGGAACAAGAUCGGUAAGUUGACAUCCUCAUGUUGUUGCCCAUUGAAUGUAUAAAGCAUCAUCUUAAUUUUUCCUUUGACACUAUUGCUCCAGCCACCUCAUAAUAAUUUCUGUGUAUGUUGGUACAAAUUGAACUAAAUGCCUGCUUCUAGGGGUGGACUUGAUUCAUUCAGUUGGGUUUUAUUGGUUCUCAAACUGAACAAAACAUAUUUGGUUCCUGUUCCUAAACUGAGAUGAAGCUGAACCAGACUUCUAGUUCAGUUCUUGAUUUGUUAAUAUAUGUUAACUCCAGCAUCUGGACUAAAAAGGCAGAAAAAAUUAGCUUGAUAUUAACAAGGUCAUUACAUGUCAAAGAAAAAGAGUAUGCAUAAGAAAGGGAAAGAGCAACAGAACAGAGGGAGUAGCUUUACAUGCAGGUUUGUGCGUCCCUCUCUUCCUCCUACAAGUCAUUGUUACAAUAUAUAUAUAUAUGUAUAUAUAUAUGCCAUUUUUUUUGUUAAAUCAGAGUAAUUCUUACCUAAAGACUUCACCAAAUCACGAACCAAGUUCGUGGUCGGUCAAUCUAAAUCCGGUUCGGGUCGAGCCACAUCGACCGUCUGAUCCAUCGGGCAGAUAACUCGUCACUCACUCAUUUAAAAAUGCGCUCGAUUCAUAUACCUGACUUUGUCGUUUACUCAUUAUCCGAGUCACCCACUUUUCACCCUGCUCGAUGACCAUAGAAUACCGGGCCUAUGUGGGACCCACAUGUGGGGAACAUGGGUGGCGACUGGACUAGUUGGGAUAUGAGUUUGGGGGGUGACGUUCGUUUGCGACAAAAAGGAGCUCGACUUUGCUAGGGUUUCAGGGGUGCUGAACUGUUAACAAAGGGGAGAUAUAAUAAUAUAAUACUCUCAUCCUAUCGUUCCCUCCUCUCCUCUGCUUCUCCUCGCUGCGACUCCACCUCAAAAAUUUCCUGACCCACAAGUCCCAACUCUCCUCUCCGCUUCUUUCGUUCCCUCUUCACCUUUGCCGUCAAUUUAUAUCUAUCUAUCGAGAGAGAGAGAGAGAGAGAGAGAGAGAGAGAGAGAGAGGAGGCGGCAUUAAGGUAGUUGUCAAGUUCGCAUCAUGUGCUUCUUGAUUUCUUGUUUUCAUUAUCGUUUCGAUUUGCUAUAUAUGGGUUAUUUUCUUUCCCAUUGUUCAUAUGCAAUCUUUCUUUGGUCGUUUCGGCUCAGGCCUUGUAAUUGGUGUAUAAGAAGUCGAGGGUUAUGAGAUCCCCGGUGUUGUUGUGCCGCUCUCCCAUCUUGCGAGGGCAAUAGAAGAUGCCAUCGACCUACCCGCUGAGCACCUCGUCGGAAUUCCUGCGUGGCCGUGGGCGGAGCUUCUUGUUCGGCAACACCUGCUUCGUCCUCUCCGAACCCCUCUCCUUGCUUGGCUGCGGCGGCUCCCUUCUUCUCCCCAAGUCGUCCGUCGUCGCCGGCUCCUGCGACCGCCGCACUACGCUGUCCGGCCUCGCAACGAUCCCGAGGAACGUCAAUACCCAGCGUUCGUGGUCCACGCAGUGGUUUCCGUUUCGGCGGAGCAUAAUGUCUUCUAGCAGCGCGUUUCUGGGAGGGUCCGAGUUGAGCGCCAGGCGCGUCGCGACCAGUGAUGCGAGAUCUGGGCAUGGUUUGAGCGGUAUGAUGCGGAUUGAUAUCUGUUAUAGGUACAAGGGUUUUGAUUACUGCAGGAGAGCAAGUGGGAGCUUGAAAAAUAGGCAACCUUGGGGUACUAAUAUGAUCUACAAGUGUUUCUGGUCUGAUGCACAUGCGACGAAUUGGAGAUCAAAUUCUUCCAUCGAGCCCGGGAGUCAAGAUUUUCAGACGUCACAUACAGCAUCGUUUUCUGCUGGGGCGGCUUCUGAUGUUUCUUUCGAUGCGGCCAUGCAGGAGGAGCAGCUUCAGAAUUCUGAUGUAUCCUCUGAACAGUAUGUUACUUGACAUCCUUUGUCUUCCCUUUUAUACUUUAAUUAUCUUUACAUUACGUGGCUUACUACUACUUCAGAUGCUGUAAAGGAAUUUGGUAAUUAUAUGUUGUGAUUCUAUGGAAAUGCAACACAUUUUAGUCACUUAUGCACAUCAUCCUACUGUUGUUGUGUCUUAUAUCAAUCAGUAAGCUAGAUUAAGUGGUUUUUGCAUAAUAUAAUGUUUUAAAGAGUAAAGACAUAUAAUAACUGUAAGAUAUAUAAACCUGUGUGAUUAGAUUAUGUAGGACAUUUUAGCUUGUAUUAUCACUAAAGUAUCUUGAAUUCUCAAAUUUACUAGCAUCGCCAUGUUGGUUCCAUAUCCACGUGUUAGACAUGUCAGUAUAUUUGAUUGUAAGUUUUGAAGAUCAUUAUUAUGAUUCUUCAAAAAAUAUAACCAACGAAAAUGAUAAUAAUUUGUUAUUCAUAAUCAAUCAUUGUCUAUUCUGUUAACUCUUGGUUUGGUUUUACCAUAUUUUGGUUUUUCAGUUAAGACAUGGAUGGGUCUCCUCCUAAGUGAUACAUUAUUAUCAUUUGAUCUGAGGAGUACCUGAAUUCUAAUUUCAUUAACUUAUAAUGAGUGGCCAAUCCAUCAAAUGACAAAUUAAAUCGCAUUGUAACUUUAAAAAUGUCGUAUCAAUGAGCCAUUUUAAGUAGCUUAUUUUUGAAAGAAAGAAGCUAUGAAGUAUACCACUAAUGUUGUAUCUCUUGCAGGUAAUUAAUGUUAAAUGAAUCAAAUAAACAGGAAGCAAAUUACAUUAAGCCUCAUCUGCACAUCUUCCAUGGUUUAUAACUAAUCUGCCAUUUACAUUCCUUGCUUGUAGCUUGAAGGGGUUUUUUUUAUGCGUGAUCAUGUUACUCUUUGUAUAUCAGCUCGAACUCACCUGGAAUAGUGGUAAAUUCUAUUACAUUGUCUAGCAAUUUUGUAAAAUAUCAAAGGAUGUAGAGUGUCUAAUCAGUGUCAUAGGUUGCUCCUCAAAAUUCUUCAUUUAUGUUGGAACUCUGCACAAGUCUGCUUCAUAGUUUAAAGUUGCCUCUACAUAACAUUAGGCCUCUACAUAACAUUAACCUUUUUUAGGUGCAGAUUAGGCCUCUACAUAACAUUAACCUUUUUUAGGAAACUUUUAUUUGAAGUUUUAUAUUUUUAUAUUUAUUUUGCAGCAAAAUUUCAGGUGAUAGGUCAUUGAAGCUUCUUUCCGGAUCUUGUUAUCUACCACACCCUGACAAGGAGGAAACUGGAGGGGAGGAUGCUCAUUUUAUCUGUGUUGAUGAGCAAGCUAUUGGUGUGGCAGAUGGUGUUGGUGGAUGGGCUGAUCUUGGUGUUGAUGCAGGACAAUAUGCCCGAGAACUUAUGUCUAAUUCAGUGAAUGCAAUACGGGAAGAGCCAAAGGGUUCUGUUGAUCCAGCAAGGGUUCUUGAAAAAGCCUACACAAUAACCAAAGCCAGGGGAUCUUCAACAGCAUGCAUCAUUGCACUCACUGAUCAGGUUUUCAAUUUUCUUAUUUGAUCUCUCUCCUUUUUAUUUGUAUUAAUUAUUAACAUCUUAUUUCAACAGAUCUCAAGUUGUUUCUUGUUAGUGUUGAUUUGUUUCUGUUAGAGUUCAAAGGAUACAUUAAUGCAGAUACACUUUCUGGACCCAAACUGUCACCAUACUCUUUUCAAUUAGGUAUCUUAGGUGUUAGGACUUGCCUUUGAUUUGCUUUCCAACUUUUGCAUUGUUGUUGCGUUGCAACAUUAAUUUGCACAUGUUGCCUAGUUACCUGCUCUUCCCUUUCCUAGUGGUAGUUCAAUGAGUGGAAAUUUGUUUCAAUUUCUUACAAAACAGUUGGUCACCAUUAUUGUGAAUAACAAUUUUGCCUGGGAGAUCAUCUUAAAACUUGGAUGUCCCAUUCAGGACCAAGUGUGGUCGCUUUAGAUGGAGGGGGAUAUUGUAGGAUUUGUGAUAAAUCUUGAUUUUGAAGAAGAGGGAAGUUUAAGAUAAAUGAUUGUGAAAUAGAGGAAGAUACAGUGUUUGCUAUCCGCUAUAUGUCAUUGCCAACUAUUUUGCAAUGCUUGUUAUCCACUGUCAAAAACAGAGAAAAGAAGGGGAAUGUCUGAAGAUGACUUUUAAGGAAAUAGCAUAACAAAGGAGAGGGAUAUUGUAGAUUCGUGAUAAAUAUCAGUUUUUUUAGACACUCUAUGUUCAGGUUUUUUUUUUGUUAUAUAUAAUAACCCACCUGUAUGGUGAUUAGAAAAGUUUCAGGGCUACAAUGGGGUCCAUCACAACCUUCAACACCUAAGUCUUUUGUAUGAAACAUAUUAGUUAUUAACUACAUUAAUAUCUUUUUGUGAUAUGAAUGAUAUAUGUUUUUAUAAUGGAUAAUAACUUUUUAAAGAACUUAUUCUUCAUUAUUUUUUAUUGUUAUACAAUUUUUUACUUUUUACAAUUCAAUUUCGUAUCUAUGUAGGAUGUUGACAUAUAGCAUAUGAUGGUAACGGAAUUUCUAAUAUAUAUUUAUUAUUUAUCAAAAUUUUAUUGCAUAUUUUUAAUAUUUUGGUACUUCUAUGAUGUUCUGUAUGUUGUUGUUUUUAUUAUUUUCUAGUUGAUUCUGAUUUGUUAAUUCUACUCCAUCAGUUUACUAACUAAUCUUGAUGGUCCUGGACGAAAUCAUCCCUAGCCGAUACUGAUACAAUUACUGAUUUCAUGAACUACAAGAUUCAUCCAUGUCUAACCCUCAAAUGUAAGCUUAUUACUAAUGCAGUACAUUUAAUAUAAUCAAGUUAAUUGGAAGAUUGCAUUUGCAAGAUAUCUCUCUCUCUUUUACUUCCUUUUGAUUAUCAUCUUUCUGUUUCACCUCCACUGUAUGCUUUUCAUCCCUCCUAGUUUGAACAGUCUACUUUCCUUUAACUUUUUGCUUGGGUGCCUAGCUCUAUGGUAUCUUUGUCGAACUACUUAUUGCUUUGGUAGUUAUAGUCAAGUUUCUGACGUUCUGUAUUUUCCAGUUCAAAGCUGGCCAAUGUGCAAAACAGACAAUCUCUCUCUGUUUGAUUUGAAAUGGAGCUUAGUAUCCAGUGAUCUCAUCACAUUGGAUAGUUAGCUAUAAAUGGUAUUGAAUUGUACUGUUGUAAGCUUAUCAUUUGGUACUAGUAGUGGAUUUUUAAAAUAUAUUUUCAGGGAUAUGACAAUGGUUGAUAAUUGUCUUAUUUGACUUAUCUCUAUGCUCUCUUUCUCUGUCCUUUGCCAUCGUCUCUUUUUGUUCUACCUCUACCAUUCCCCUACCUCCUCCUUCGCCUCCUCCGCCACCUCCUCCUCUUCUCCUCUUCAGCCUUCUCUUCUGCUUUUCCAUCUCCUCCUCCAUGUUGCUGCAGCCUUCUGAAUCUGUUGUCUAUCCUAUCCGUACGUGUCUCCUUUGCCUCAUUUUCUCUUCUCUUUCUCUCUCUGUCUCCCCCUUUCUCUCUGGUCCAAUUGGGAAUCUCCAAUAUCAACCUGUGUUGCUUGUUGGUAUAGGAUUGCAAUUGAUCAUAGAUGGGAUGGAACAAUAACAAAGGAGAAGGAAACAACACGAGAUGGUUUGGCGGCAUUGGAAGAAGAGAACAUGGAUAAGAUGGUGGAAACAAUGGUUCGGUGGAGCAGAAUGAGCUAGGAGGGAAAAUAUACAAGGGAUAGUAUUUCUGUGGUUGAAAAAUGAAUCAUGUCAAACUUUCUGCUUAUUCUGUUUGUAACAAGCAGUGGUGAUCAAAAUUUUUUUUGGCUUUCCCACUUUUUUUUCUAGUAAAUAGAAGUAAUUUACAGUUACAGUGUAAUUGUUGACUUAAACUAGAGGACAAAAGGGUUUUUUACUCAUCACACAUCUUAACUGAUGAUUUCAAACCCGAGGACAAUAAAGAGAAUGUGUGAGAAAGGUGUUCACUGUGAUGACCGAACAAACCAGAUUGUGUAGAAGAUGGAUAGAUAGUAGUGAUAGAUUUAGAGCACAGGAUUUUUGGGCCUCGGCCUAGGUAGACAGCUGUUGGAUAAAUUUUGGUUGGAUAAAUGGAACAAAGGAGUAGUCAUUAGAACUCCAUUAAUUUUAUCCUCGAGAAUGGAAUAAUUAUAAUUUUCUUUUGGAGUGGUGGAGGAUUAAAGGAAGAUUGAAGGGGCAAAAUUUUCAUUGGCUCUAUUCCUAUUUGAUGGAUGCAUUAUCAAGAUGCUAGAUAUCAAGCUUGCUUUAGAUUCCCUUGGUGGAAUGAGAAAAGGAGUGCUAUUCUUGCAUUCAAGGUUUGCAUCAAUUUAAGUCCAUUUUACACAAAAAUUAUGAGACUCCAAAUUAAAAUCUGCACUCGUGAUGCUUAAUUCAGGACAAAUAAUUUCAAAUGAUGAUAGAACUAUUACUUGCUACUGUUCUAUUUUCAUGCCCUUGGUACAAAUAAGAUGCCAUAUAAUGGGAAUAUUGGUCAAUAUCUGUGCAGUUUUUUCAUGAAAAGCAUCCAAGUGUAUGAACUUUCAAGUCUGUCUCUAUAUUACAAUAUGAUCUGUCAUCUUCAUAGAUAGAAUGACUUUGCUAGAUAAUAUACAGUUCCUUUUUUAGAGACUCCUAUGUAUUCUUUGAGUAGCAUGCAGCUAUCAUUCUUCUGCUGACAUUUGGGUUGAAGUUAUACAUGAAGCCUAUAUUAUCUUGGUGUUACAUCUGAACUGCCAUUUUUCUGUCGUGUAUAGCACAUGUUCUUGAAUUUGACAUGCCUUGCUCAUUGUCUCAUGAUUUUGUUAUAAUACACUAUGAAGCUCGCUAGUAGAUAACCACAAUGACAAAAUCAUGAUAUAUUUAUUUUGUUUUGUUAUUUGCAGGGCAUUCAUGCAAUCAAUCUGGGAGAUAGUGGCUUCAUAGUCGUGAAAGAUGGUUGCACAAUCUUUAGGUCACCUGUACAACAACAUGAUUUCAAUUUCACUUAUCAACUUGAGAGUGGUAAUGGCAGUGAUCUCCCUAGUGCUGCCCAGGUCAGUUAGUUCCGAUGGCUUCUCCUGUUAUUUCUUCCUGCUGAAUAAGUGCAUAUAUGAUAAGUCAUAUAUCUCUUAGGUUCUGGAGCAGUUUUAAUUGGCAAUGAGUGCUUAGGUGUCAUAAGUAGUCUAUCAUAUUAUGGUACUUACAUUUUUCUUAUGAAACCUUAAAUUUUUUGAACAAGUGAAAAAUUGAACAGUAUGAAAUUGAAUGGUAAAAUAAUUUACUUAUAAGUUCUGUCCAAGGCCUGCCUGAUUUGAUUAAUUUUUCAGCAUUGAUUUUAAAAUUAGCUGGAAUAAGCUGUGAUUAAUCAAAUUGUGAAGACAAAGAAAAGACAAAAAAGGGAUGUUGUGACUGAACAUGAAACAAAGAAGACAUUACUAUUGCAUUUGCUAUAUGUUGCAACUAUCGCAUUUGUCAUUUACAUCAUUAUUGUCAUAUUCAUCAUCCACCAAUAUGUAGGACAGGAAAGGAUAUGAGAUUUACGUUCCUGAUCACAAAAACAAAGAGCAUCAUCCUUAGCAAUCAUGAUCAUACAAUCCUAAGCUGAUCCCUUUUUUCAGCACUGUGAAACAAACAUUUCGUCUAAUUUUGUAUAUAUGUGUAAAAGCAUUGUCCAUUCAAACUAUAAAUCUUUGCUUCUAGAUUACUGGCAUGCAAAAUUAUUAAUGUGCAAAACUAAUUAUUACUUUAUUGGCAUUUUCUCAGGUAUUUACUUUCCCUGUUUCAUCUGGUGAUGUAAUCAUUGCUGGAACAGAUGGACUAUUUGAUAACUUGUACAAUAAUGAAAUUACGGCUGUUGUUGUCCAUGCGACUAGAGCUGGCUUGGGGCCUCAAGUAACUGCUCAAAAGAUAGCUGCGCUUGCACGGCAGAGAGCACAAGAUAGGAACCGACAAACUCCUUUUUCAACUGCUGCCCAAGAUGCUGGCUAUCGGUACUAUGGAGGCAAACUUGAUGACAUUACAGUUGUGGUAUCCUAUAUCACUGCAUCUGAUGCUUAAUAGGAGCAAUUUAAUCACUCAAAUUGUACAGCUUCGGGUACUCGAGGCCAAUAUGGCAUCUGCAUAAGUUCCUCGUGGUUGCAUCAAAAUAUAGACACAAAAUGAAGGUAGAGUUUAAUGGAAUACUGUUUCUUUACCUUUAUCGUUUGGGCUCUAUACAGAAAUUCUUCAGGGCAAUGCUUGGAAGAACCUGUAGUUGCAGCAGUACAUGUUUUACAAUAAUAGACUACCUUGAAGAUUCUGAAGGAUAUCUUUUCAACCUACGGAGAGUUGGAUGGAAUCAGCUCUCAAUCAUCCGAUCUCAUGAAUGCUCGACAGGAAGCCACAUAAAGGCUGCACAAGACAUACCGAGGAACAUCCACUGGCCAGUUUCUUUUAUCGACUAUGUGCUGCAAGGGAACUUGAAUUUAUUUUGUGAUGUAGAUUUGUUUAGACUUCAAAUUCUCACCGAUAAAGCCUACUUCGUGUUGGUGAAUGAAGAAACACACAAAGACAAACAGUUGUGUGUGGUUGCAAUUAAGAUUUGUGUUUAAAAUCAGCUUUUCAUGGUAUGUUUGGCAAUCAGUUGAUCGGAAGGACUCAUGUGAAUGCUCGACAAUCAGUUGAUUGAAGAACUUGUGAAUGCUUUGAUUAGGACUUAUACCCUUAUUACUGAGUGAGUUCAUAUAGUCCAUGAGAGGUUAAUAUUUGCUCCCAAAAUAGUACCCAAAUGCAGGAAAUAUUUGUUCAAGUGGUCAAGAAAAUUUAGAUUUUGCCAAGCUCCUAUCCAUAGUGUCAUUUGGCAUCUCAAAUGCCUCGCAUGGUUUAGUAUAUCAAAUGUCUGUGAAUAAUUUCAAUGAUUCUCGCUGAUAGAUCAAACUGGAAUCACUGGAUGUCAUAAUGUGACAUCAUAACGUAUUGGAAUGACAUGUUCGUUUGCUAUUGCUUCUGUGAAGGUGCCACAGCGUGUACAUGACAUGAUUUCAUGAUCAUCCACGUUUGCCAAACAAACGCACACCAUAAGAUGUUCGAUGAUUACCCAAAAUAAAGAAUAUGAAUAUGAAUAAAUUAAAUGUAAUCUUGACAAAGAAUAAGAUAAUGUGCUUAGAUUCAGAUGAACCAAUUAAAAUUAGUGGUAAAACAAGAGGAGAAGGAAAUUAGUGAGACACUAUAAAUUAUAAAAAGAGAUUUAAUUACUGUUGACCUAACUAAAGAUAUUACUUGAUAUCAAACUUAAAGAAACCAUAUGUAGCUAAUGCAAAACAUUUUUUAUUUUUUGACCAAUAUACAUUUGUGUUCCAACUUCUCUAGAAAUCAGUAUAUUGUUAUUUCAGUGCAUUGUGCAUAUAGAUGACAUAGACUAUCUCAUCCUGUGUGUAUUAUCAUAAUAGAACAAGUAUGAUAUGUUUAUGACUUACAUAAUUACUUUUAUUGGUUUUAAAGUAUUAGUUAAUUAUAGUAUCACAAAUAUAAUAUAAUAUAAUAUAUUUUUAGUUAGCUCUUUAGUCAGUUACAUAACUGAUAUUAAAGAACUGACUUAUUAAAUCAAUUUCUUGAAAUAAACUAUUUAAAUUGAUUUCAGAUCACCAAAAUAUUAAUUAUUAUUAUUUUCUUAACAUAGUUUUUUAAUAAAAAUUAUCUAAUAUAUAGUUAUAUAUAUAUAAUAUUUUUAUUAAAAAAUAUAUCUUAUGAAUAAAUAAAUAAAAAUAUAUAUAUAUAAUUUUAUAUAAUUUAAGUUUUUAUAUGAUCGGUAGUGGAGAUCCACUAUUAUUGCGGAUUUUGCAACCUUCCCUUAGGGCUUCUCGUUUGCCGUCCUCCUCUUCUUCUUUUGGCGUCUCCCGUGAACGGCCUUCACCGGCGUCGACUGCUGCGCUUCGAUGGCUACCGCCAGGAUCGAGGAGGCUAUCGCAUCGAUCCCGGAGAAGAAAGAAAGCCUCCGAAGGGCGUUGGAAGCCCUCCGGACCCACCUCUCCUCCUCCUCCCCCUCCCCCUUCUCCGUCCCGGAAUGGAAGGACCUCGACGCCCACAUCUCCUCCGUCGAGGCCUCCAUCCGCCUUCGCUUCCAAGCCCUCCUAGCCAAGGAGGCCGCCCAGCCCUCCUCCUCCCCCUCGGACUCCAAAGAAAAGCCCUCUAACGAGUGGCAGCCUCAUGCCAACCCCGAGCCUGAGGCCGUCCCGAGGCCGCAGCUCACAUCCCUCUGCGUCAACAUGGACGGAAAGGACCUCGUCUCCUUCAUCGCCCGGAACCGCAAGGACCUCGGGGCCAUCCGCAGCGAGCUGAACCCCGCCCUUCGAUCAGCCCCGGACCCUGCCAAGCUGGUCCUCGACGCUAUGGACGGCUUCUUCUCGUCCCCUCCUCCCCCGCCCAAGGGCGACAAGAAGGGUGACAAGGACGCGGAUGCGCUGGCGACCAGGAGGACCUGCAUCAACCUCCUGGAGCGCAUCCCGGUGAUCGGCCCAGAGAUUGGGCCGUCCGUGAGGGACCAGGCCAAGAAACUAGCGACCGAGUGGAAGGGGAAGGUGACGGAUGGCGGGCGCGAGAACGGCCUCGAGGCCAUGGGGUUGCUGCAGCUCCUCGUGUCAUAUGGGUUGGCAUCGGAGUUUAAGGUCGAUGAACUCUUGGAUCUACUCAUUUUAGUUUCUCGUAGGAAGCAGGCUGUGGAUCUCUGCAAGAGCUUGGGUCUCACCGAAAACGUUCCUGGUAAUCUGGAAUCUAAUAUUACCCACCUUUCAUUUAGUUGUGGCAACAUUUUAUUGGAGCUUCAUUAUAUUCUUGAAUUUGUGUUCGUUUAUUUCGAUCAUGCAUCGUUUUCUUGCUGCAAUAACAUUACAUGCCCCAUUUGUUUCUUAUAUUUGCUGUAGUGUUUAACUUAUUUUGGAUCACUGCUUUGCUCAAGAAUCUCUCGUCUUAUUGUAACAGAUUUUAUUUGUCAGAGUAAUUAGCUGGAACACCUUGAACUACUUAGUUCAUCAUUCUUCACUUAGUGCUCACAGGAGUAGUUUUUCUUUGACCUUAAAUGAAUUGUAUUCAUUUGAUUAGAGUGUUUUUUGUGUUUUGAAGCAGCCACAAGAAUUCAAGCGUAUAUAUUUUCAAAUAUUGGCCAGUUUGUAAGUUGUAAUAAUGUUUUCUGGCAAAUGAUAUGCAGAAUAUUAAUUGAAGUGAAAAGAAUAUUUUGGGCUCAUAAUCUGCCAGAUCUUGAGUAGGCUCGAUAGUUCUGUAAAAAUGUAUAGGUGCAACCUAGCCUGGAUACAUAAAUAGAUCAAGCCUGGCCUAUGUUUGGAAUUGUAAGACCAGUGUCAACCUGCCCCAUCUGUGAUUCUCAACAAUAACGGAAAGAAGAAAAAAAAAGUUUUCUUUUACCCAAACACCAGUCAGUAGAGACACAACCUCACUACCUAGGACCGCAUGCCUAUGCUGCUGGGACUACAGAAUGCACUUGUGUCAAAUGGGAAGUCGGGAUAUUUGGAGAGGACGGUUGAUGAGGGCGGGGUGUGGCAUUGAUGAAGCAGAUGAUUUAGUGUCGACCAUUGGAGGUGAGGUGUUGAGGGGUUUGUCAUUGAGAGGUGAAACUACUAGAGAAGACAGGCUGCUGAUAGGGUUAAUCUUGGGCACAUGGCAUUAAUGGAGAGAGAGAGGGUCGCUGGGGCUGAGGGGAUUCCUAUGAGAGUUGGCAGUAUUAGCAUAGAGGAGAACAAAUUUGAUAAUUUUGAGCUGAGCAGAGUAGAAAUGAGUAAAUUAGGUAGUCUUAUAACCACUAUAUUGCCUAUCCUUGGGAUUUUUGAAAAUGAAUAAUUGUUGUCCAAUUAGAUUUUGAGGUCUCUUCCCCUAUGCAUCCAAAUUGAGAUCAAGGAUAAGAAAAAAAUCAUCUAAAAUAUGUUUUAAACAACAUAUAUUGACUCAUUGAAUUUAAACUAGAAAAAUGAUAACAAGCAAAAAUUUCAUAUCUGUCUGAUUGCACCAUUUCAAAGCUUCAAGUAGGAGGAGAUUAUAAAGCUCAAAUGUAAUCCAUGAAAAGUUAGAGAUCAAGCAUCUCAGUCAUAUCCAAUAAAAUCAUUUCAAAAUAAAAAUAAAUUAUUGGUUUAGAUCAACAAAAUUUACACGGACAAACAGGAAACCCCAAUAUCUUAAACUAGAAAGCUAGUAACACACAUAUAACACAAUUUACAGGACCUGCAAGACUUUCUGAUCAGUCUGUUGAAAGUUGCAAUAUUUAUGAGAUCUUUUUGUCAGCUACCGACUUCUGUCUCUUCCUUCUUCAUGGUAUUUAUAGAAUUAUAGCUUUAUAUUUAAUAACUAUUGUCAUUUAAAUUUUAAUUAUGCUCUUCUCCUGUAAUUUAUCUUGGCUUUAUGUCCUUGAUACAAUCUAUGGAUAUUGAUUUAGGAAUCAUUAUUUCUCUCAAGAUCAUAUUUUCUCAUCUCAAGCAGAUUUUGAUUUCACUACUAUGUUUUUCAAAAUAAUUGUUGCAUAUGUUGAACUCUUUUUUUAAAUUCUUUUCAUGUCCAUCUCCAUAUUUUAGUUUGUUGACGACUUAAUUAUUAUUCCCAGCCUGAAAUAUUUACCCUACAGGUCUGUCCUUACCUGAACCUUUGUUUGUUUCUCUGUCCACUCUUACGCCAUUUGGAUCUUUUAGUCUAGCUUCUUUCAGGAGAUAUUACAUGAAACAAGUUUACAUGUCACUGUACUUCACAUAACUAGUUUGCUAAGGUUGUGUUUCAUUUUGGCAAGUUGUUAUUCAGGACUGACAAAUAUGAUUCUUAGGUGAUUAUAUCCUUUCAUGUAAUGUAUUCCUGUCUGAUUGUCAUGUAGAAUGUACCCUUUUGCCGGUUCAACUGACUAGUUUUAGAUGUUUGGAUCCAUUAUCAUACAUGAAAAUAUUUCUCUUUGUGACAGAACUUAUUGAAAGACUGAAUAAUAAAGGGAGGCAACUUGAUGCUGUAAAGUUUGUGUAUGCUUUCAAUUUAGUGGAGAAAUACCCACCUGUUCCUCUUCUGAAAGCGUAUAUAAAAGAAAUUAAGAAGGCUGCCCAAGAUGUCAGAAAUAAGGGAAACAAUUCAUCUGAAUCAGAGGUAUACUCGAGUUGCAGUUUACAGUCCUCGUGAUUAGGCUAACAAAUUUGUAUUCUUACAUCCUACUGUAUAUUGUCUGAAACAGAAUGUGGCUACCUCGAAAGAACUUGGUGCAUUGCGAUCUGUAAUUAAAGCAGUUGAGGAAUACAAGCUUGAGUCCCAGUAUCCUCGUGAAUUUCUUGAGAAGCAAGUUGCAAAACUGGAGAAACGGAAGGAAGAAAAAAAGCGGAAUGUGGCAGCAGCAGCAGCUGCUUCAAAUUUCAAGAUUCAGAAGCAGCAACAUCCUAAUAAACGCCCCCGGCCAACUGCUACCACAUCAAAUGGCAUCACUGGACAAUCUUUGCCUCCAGGGAUAACAAAACAGCCCCAAUUUGGUUUAGCUGACCCAUCUCCACAUAUGGGUUUGGCCGGGGCGUAUGGUUUUGCUUCUUCUGGUUCCUUGUACAACAAUGCAAGCAUUUCUGGAUUUCGAAGUCCACCCAGGUCCUAUCUUUACUCAUCGGAGUCUCUGGCUGGCACAAGUGGUUUCUAUGACAGGCCAGUGAAUUAUACUGGUUAUCCCGGUUCUCGAUUGCCUCCACCUUACAACUCAUCUUUAUAUCCUUAAAAUAUCAACUUCUCUGAUGGUUUCUGUAAUUAUACCCUGAUCAAGUUUUUGUUAGGUGGAAUCUUGCAGUGUUUUUAGCUUCGCAGUUAAUAUACUUCCAGAAAAGAAAAGUCUGUAGUGCACCAGUGUAUGCAAUAUCCGCUAGUCUCUACAUGAUUCUCAUCCACAACUUAUUUGUAGCUACAAAUUGUGUUUGUGAACUAAAUAGUUGCAUACAUAUGUGCUGUAGUGACCUGCAAUUCAAAGGAUUUUGGUUGGAAGUUCCAAGUAAACUUCCAACAAUUCAAAUGCCAUCUGUGUGGCAACAAAGUGGGUGUAGGUUUACUUUUGGUGCUGUUUUACUUCGUCUGCAUGGGCUGUGUGAGCAAAAAUUUGGUGUAAACUUGAGUUGUUUUUGCUGAUUGGAAUGCAAGGAAAUGAUUCGCGGAGGAGAUGGUUCUUCCUAGUUCUAGUGGAUUAGCUCGAAAAUCCUAUUCAUUUGAACCAUUUGGUUGAUUUGACUCCUUUGUCUAUUUUGCAUAAAUCAGCAGCUUAUACAGAUCUAGACGUGAUUAUCUGGGUUGGUUAUGGGAUAGUAUCUCAUUACAAGUGCCUGCGGCUUCUUUUGGCAAUGUUGUGGCUCAUCUUGACGGCAAAAACUACUCUUUCUUGUGCCGUUUGGUGGGGUUGCAUUUGUUGCUGCUUCGGCUAGUUUACCCUCUGGUGCAUGAUAUACUUAGCAAUUGAGGUGCGUGCAAGCUACUUCUGAUACCUACUGUGCUCCAUUGCAGUAUGCCACUCGAUUUAAGCUUCCGAUCAUUGUGCUAAAUGCUUGGAUGAUCCUCGUAAUAUCCUUUACUGCUUAUGAAAUGCUUGAACACCGAUGUUUGAUAUUGGUUUCCGACUUGUUCGAUAAGGUAUACUUGCUUAUCAUGUCAUACAAGCAUAUUGGCUUUAAAAGGUGAACUAUGAACUGUGGUACUCUUUAUGUUGUGAUCUCAUAUUCUCAAAGAACACUUUGUAUGUUCAUUAUACCUGUUGGAUCGUCAAUUGACUUAAGAAGAGAUAUCCAGUGAUUAAUCAUAUGAUGAAAUUUGUGAGUAAUAGAUUUGUCACCGAUCAACACGUGAAGAAGACUGAAAUCUGGCAACUUUGUCAUUAAUCACAGAGAAGUAUCAUAGAAAAACUGCAUUCACUCGUACUCAUCAUCAAGAAAGAGCUGCCUUUCAGACACGAUGACCAAGUAUCGUAGUCUGAGAUUUCUCACAAGUUUACGCUGAGCUGUGUCAAGGAAGCGACUCGAUCUGGCAAGCACCAUGACCUGCGAGCAAGGACCGAUGAGGUGAGUCCACAGCAUUUCACUGACGAAACGUUCAAUCUGUUUAAAAGCUCUGAGACUUUUCCGCUUUGUGUUAGCAAAUAUGAGUUCUCUCAACGAUGCAUUUCUUUUGCUCAUUCAUAGAGAAGCAUGCGCUAGCUUAUGAUUUAGGAAUUUUAAUGCUGCUUCAUGAUUCAUCAUCUCGAGGAUCUGCCUCAUAUACUAAUUAGAACUCGUGCAAAACCAAAUAACUCAUACUUGGAUUUAGGUCGGAAACCAUAGCAGCAGCACCAAAGUAGCAAGAGCCUCCGUGAUUUUUGUAUCUCUGCCAGUAGCUGUUGAAGGCAUAAGAUGCAUGGUCUUUUAUGGUGUUGGGAAGAUAGCAAGGCUUGUUUGGUUGGAUCAUCUUGCAGUCUGCACCCCCUGGUCCACAUGCCCAAUCAAGUGCUGCUUGUAGAAUAUCAUCAGGUGUUUGUUCAUCUGCUAUGCACCAUUGCUUCUCCAGAUCAUCCCCAUCUAUCAUGCACCAAAAUCCAGUUCAAUUUUCUGUUUACGAUUAGAAAAGCAUCACAGCAUCGGUAAGAGAUAUAUUACUAAGACAUUUGUAGCCUCAUAACUCUAUGGAUUGAAAGUAUAAUGACAAAGACUUCGUGGUUGAAGCAUCUUCAAUUUCUGGAAAACAAACAACCAUAAUUCUUUAGAAAAGAAUAACAACUACCAUCAUGGUAAAGAGACCUUCUUUUCACAGGAAGAUCGGAAGAAAAUAUUUCUGCAGAUGGGCUGAUAAUUCAAGACACCAUCAUGAAACUCUCUCAUCUAAUCUUCUACUGUCAUAAUAGUUGAGUGGAUCCUAGAUUGAUCGAGGACCAUGUAUAUGUUUCUUCAUAAUUGCUUGUACCUGUUCUGUUUGAGGUAAGACACUGACUCUGUUCUUAAAUGUACAGGGGAAAUAAAGAACUGGAGCAAGAGAUCCUAUCCAGACCAUGGUUGUGUGUGUUACCUGAUCCUGGCGUAAGCAGCACAAGUAUCAGCACUGAUGGCAGCAGCCUUCUUAGAGCAGUUCUCAUGAUCAUCUUGUUCCUCCUUUGCGUCAACCUGUAUCCUCAUUUGAAGAAGUUUGUGUUAAUAUUCUACCACUUGUUAAAUCAUCAUUAGAUUCUUUCCUUCAAGCUUUUGAUAUGUUGGAAUCUUUUCAUGUUCUUCCUUUAGCGUGAAGUGUGGAUCUUUUGCAGCUGAAAUAACUGGCACUUCCUCAGUGACCAGAUCCAACAAGGACAUGGCUUAGAACUUGGAGAACACUCCAGUCUGCUGCUUUUGAGAGUAAGCAUUGUGAUCAACAAAGCCCAAAGCGUGUCGGAUUCUUCAGACACUACAUCUAUUACUUUUGUUUUCUAAUUCUAUUCUUCAGGCCUUUAAUAAUAAGGAUAAGCAAUCGAUGAAGCAUAAAGUGUCUUAUUCUUCAGGCCUUUAAUAAUAAGGAUGCGCAAUCGAUGAAGUAUAAAGUGCUUUAUUCUUCAGGCUAUAAAUCCAUGACAAAACUACGGCAUUUACUAUAUAUUGGUUCUUUUAGUUUAUUUAUGUUUUGAAGUAAUAUUGACACGUGUGUAUGUAUGGGUAGAGCAGCAGAUUCGCUUUUUAAAGUAUAAAUCUAAUCAACCAAAAUAUUUAUUGGUUAUAAGUCAUUUACAACGGUUCUUACUCCAAAUACCUACUUUAUUCUAGAAUUUUCACUCGUCGAUAGAACUAUGAUUAUUUCUUGUCCUUUAGUUUUUAGCCCUCCUCAUCGAUACAAUUUGAUUGGAGAUGAUAUAUUUAUACAAAUUACAAUCAAUCUUAAUUUUUUUUUUGUUAGAAUUUGAUUUAAAUUAUUAAGAUAUUUAUUAUUUAAAAUCAAAGUAUUACAUAUUUAGGUAAACUUUUUAAAAAUAUCUUAAAUUUUUAUUUUUUUUAUAAAUCACCUAUUUUUUGUUUUAUCCUCGUAGAACACCUCUUAUUUUUUAAAAGAUAAGAUUAUUCCUGACCUUUGUCGUACAGGUUAUUGUCUUCAUCCCAUUAUGGUUAUCUCUGUAUUGUGGUCGCCGCUAUCCCGUCGUGGUCAUCUCUAACUCUUAUUUUUAACAAUAAAACUAUGACUAUCUCUUACCCCUUUUUUUUUUCAUAGUCCUCCUCUUCAAUACAAUUUGAUAGAAGAUGUUAUAUUUAUAGAAAAGACAGUAAUUGUAAUAUUUUUUUUAUUAAAGUUUGAUUUAAAUUAUUAAGAUAUAUAUUAUUUCAAAAUCAAUAUAUUAUAGAUUUAGCCAAAAAUUUCAAAAAUAUCUUAAUUUUUUUUAUUUUAUAAAUCAUUUAUUUUUUUACUUUUUUCUCGUGAAACACACUUUUUUAAAAAAAAAGAUAAGAUUAUUCCUAACAUUUGUCAUAUAGGCCAUCGCCUUCACCCCAUUGUGGUCAUCUUUAUCACAUCAUGAUCAUUUCUAUCUUGUUAUAAGGCCUUAUUACCCCAUUGUAUCCCCACCCUCUACUCCCUUUGCCUCCACACUACUCUCUGCAUCCUCACCAUCAUAUUAACCUUUUGAAUAAGUGAUUUUUUUUUUCCUCCCCCUAACACCUCCACUCUUAAUGAUGCAAUAUGGAAGAAAGGCAUAGAGCUUCCGAAAAAAGAGAAAGGGUGGAACUCUCCCCUUUUAUGAUCUCUCGAUUGAUUGACUAAGGUAAAAUUUCAUUGUGCUACCUAGCAAAGGUGAAGGGGGUUGAGGGUAAGGGCGGAGAGAAGUGUAAGGUGAGGUGUGGUGAGGCGAAUAUGGUAAGGCCUUAUAGUAGAACUUAAGUAGUGGGCAACGAGUGAGAGGCGGAGGCAUUGAUGAAAGGACAUGACAAAGGUUAAACUUAUCUAGUUUAUCAUAAAAUAAAAGACAAGAAUAAGGUAAAAAAAAGAAUGGAGAUAAACGAGUAAAAACUUAGGAUCAUAUUAUAUAUAUAUAUAUAUAUAUAUAUAUAUCUAUUUUGUUUGUAGAGNNNNNNNNNNNNNNNNNNNNAUAUUAUAUAUAUAUAUAUAUAUAUAUAUAUAUCAUUUUGUUUGAGAGCAUUUUUAAAGUAUUUAAGGGGAUUGAAAAAUAAACGAAGAUGAUUUGUUGGUUUUGAAAUGCAUAUAAUAAAUAUUAAGAACAAGAGUUCUACAUGGAUGAACUCUGCAAAAGUGACAUUGCCAAGGCCAUGAUGGGAGUUCCACCUAUUAUUAGUUGCCUUACGUUUGGCAUGGGCUUGAUAUUGGCAAGGUCUUGAUGAUUUAAAUUAGCUGUCACUGAAAUGAUUCGAUGCUAUAUAUCUUUUCCAAUCCAAUUUCGGAUUCACAGUGGAAAAGUUAAACCAAAAAUAUUUAAAAAUAAUAAUAUAUUAAAACGUAAAUACAUGACAACACGGCCUCCUCCGAUAAAGCAUCCGAUAAAUCCAACGAUCAGGAUUGGAUAGUCGAUCCAAUCGAUCACUGUCCCUCCCACGGCCGAUCGUUACAUCCCCCUCCGACUCGCUUACGUCACCUUCCAAUGUAGCCCAGAGAACGCUGACGCGAACUCAUCCCACGUGUAGGACUGCAUGUCCGUCGAUAUCCAACCUACCAAUAUUAGUCCCACCUGGACACGUCUUCCAUGAACACUGACGUCACUUGAGUGGGCCCCAUCAUUGUUUCAUCCAGCGCCGGGAACAGAUGUCCCGUCGAGCGUCCCACGAGCUGUGGUCCCUGUUGGAGUCGAAGCAGCGGCGGCUCAUCCUAGUAAAACCGGAUCGGAAUUAGAUUUAAGGUCCGUAUCCGUUCGAGUCGGACACGAAUCGGACAAGAGAGAGCACCUUAUUUUACUAUUUCCUUGCGAGGGAAGGAGGGGGUCUGGGCGAGUAUGAAUCGGUGCUUCCAAAUUUCCGAGAUUUAGUCGCUCAGAGCUCGUAGAUCUUCCUCAGGUGCCACUUUCCGUCAAUUUUUCAUCUCGAUAGUUGGGAUUCUUGGUGUUCUUCUCGUGAUCGGUUGUUCUUGAAGGAGGCCAACUCGUUUGAUUCAGCUAGGGUUUUCGAAACUUUCUGCAGUAAGACUUCCUUCUGCCGUCUCGCCGCUCUCUUUAUUGUCUCCGUGUUUUUGUUUCUAAAACCUGAUAGAGCUGUAGCAGCAAGGGUUUCGAACUCCGAAAUAUAGAUAUUUUGUAUCGCAAAGUUGCUGUUUUGGAGCUUCGUUUGCUAUUUUCUUUAACUUCAACUUUGUUCUCUGUAGCGUGGGUUUUAAUCUUGCAGGUCACGCACCUAUAUCCCUUUGUAUGAAAGUUGCAAUCUUGCUUGGCUAUGAAUGAAAGUUGCACGGUGUGCUGCAUCACAGAAUUUGCCUUUAGUCCUCUCUUUAUAUAAACUGUACUAAUGUGCACUAUGGGAAACAUUUUCCCCAAAGACUUUGCGAUGAGCUUAGUGUACCAUAGUUACAGAAUCCGUGUCUCUAUAGUUUCUCUAUAGUUUUUUCUAGCUUGAAAGUCAGCCAAUUCGUUUCAUGCGUGUUUCCAGGUUGUGUAGGGUGAAGAACAUUAGACUUGAUACUAAACUCUGUACGGAGUCUAGCUUCUAUAAAUAUUUGGAUGGAAGAACAUAAUUCAACAUUUGAUGCGGAAGGAAGAAGAAUGGCUAAUGGAUGCGGUCCGUCACCUGAGCAUAAGAUUAGUGUCGUCAUGGAUUCUGAAAAGAAGGAAAAUACAGGUAAAAAUGAUGAAGUGGAAGGAACCACAAUGAUGAAUGGGUUUAGUCCGCCACCUGAAGAUAAGAGUGUUGUGUCCGAUUCUGGAAGGCAUGCCGAUGAAGGAAAAAGUGUAGAAGAAGAGAAGCAUGGUGAACAAAAGAUGAAUUCUGUUGAAAAGGAGCAUGAUGUAGAAAAUGGCACAACAAAAUCAGAAGGUAUGGAAGAAACAGAAGAAGACAGGAAGACUACAGACUUGAAUUCUGCCAAAGCUGAGGAUGUGAAAAUGGCUGAUACAGUGGUUGAGAAAGGUAUGGAGGUGGAGGAUGUAAAGAUGGUCAACGCAGAUGAUCUCAAAGAUGAGGAAGGAGAAAAAGAUGAGGAAGCGGAGGGAGUUGAAAAAGAAGCAAAAGAUGAGGAAGGAGGAAUAGAAGGGGAAAGGGAAGGAGGGGAGGAAGGAGCAGAAGAGGAAGACAAUGACAUGGAAGAAGGAGACAAUGGAAGUACUGAAAAGAAGGUUGAUGAGGACAAGGAAGCUGAAAGGUUAAAGAAAAAAAGAACAAGGGGGCAAAAGACUUUCAAAAAAGGAGAAGGAAAGGAGGGUCUGACAAAGUCCAAGGAUUUCUUUAGUCCUGGGACUUCAUCUAUUGAACGCCCUGUGCGUGAGAGAAAAACAGUAGAGAGGUUGGUAGAAGUUAUUGAAAAGGAGUCAUCAAGAGAGUUUCAAGUUGAGAAGGUGCUGUACUUAUCAUUUGAUUGUUUGAUAUGAUUGUCAUCACUCUCUUACAUGAAUAAUAUAUUUUUUAAGAUCUGUUUGGUUGCAGGGCCGUGGCACUCCAUUGAAGGACAUACCAAACGGUACACUUUAUAAACCAUAAUUCUCUUGUGAUAUAUAUAGGGAUGAUAUGAUGUCCAUAUUUUGAAAUACGUUGACCUUGCUUACAGUUUGCUUUUCAAUUUGUUCAACUUUUUGCUCUUCAUCUUUUUUUCAUCAGGAAAUUUCAUGCCUUAUAUGGAGUUGUUCAUGGCAUGGGCACAUGAGUUGUUUUAUUUGCUUGAACACAAUUUUAUCUUCCUAGUCAUUGUUUUUCAUUGUAACCAACGGUUCUUGAAGGUUUUGGUGGGAGUAACAGAUACUUGCUUAUCAUGAUGAUUCGACUUAUACUAAAACAAUUUUUUGUGAAUAAAUUGGGGUUCAUCAUUGUGAAUAAAGGACUGCAAUGUCUAGAUCCUUGAGGUUUAUUUGUUAGUCAGUCCACUAAUUUGCAGGUUUUUCUUCAUCCAUACUCUUGUUAAACAUUUGGAACACUUGUAUCAUUGAAUACAAACAACCAGUAUUUGAGUUUUUCUUUUUUAAUCUCUAGACUUUCUUUUCCUUUCAAGUGAUAUGUAGCAUUCAUGUCUUAAGUGAUGAUGGCCAAAUGAGGAGUUUAAAAGGAUUUGUUAUAGGCACAAGUUCACAGGGGCUAGGCAACAAGUGUUUUCAUUAAUAUGUCUUGGAAUUAUAUUUUGUAAUUAGUAUGUGUUGAAAGUUAAAAAUACUGUUUGUGGUCUUGGAACUUAGGUUCGAUUAUUUGGUUUUGUUUUUUGUGUUAUUGUUCAGGAACUUAUGUUAUUGGAAUUGUGGGUUAAGUUAUUGUCUUGUAACUUAUGGAUGGCCUGUUAGAAGUGUGGUUCGAGUUAUUGUACCUGUUGGAUUUAUUUUGAGUUGAGCCUACAAUUGCAGGCUUUCUAAUGUCGGUCAUAAUAGCAUGAUCCUGGAAUAAAAUUCUUUCUCUUCUCUCUCUUCCCUUCUCCCAUUAGUUCUACAUCAUAAAGGCUGUAUCUAACUAUAAAUUCAACGUACUUCUUGAUUUUGUUUCAGUGGCCCACAAACUAGCAAAGAAGAAACCUUCUGAUAUUAAAUUGAUUCAUCAGACUCUUUUUGGAAGGAGAGGAAAGGUAGUUUCAAAUGUUAUGCAUUUUUUUCCAUAUUUCUUGUUUGUGUAAAUAUAUCAGUUAUUUUCUAACUACUACGUUGCCAUUGUUAAUGUUUCUAUUGGUCCAGGGAUCGUGCAAAUCUUCUGCUUUAAUAGCUAAGAUUAUAUGCCACCAGGAGUGUUUACUUCAUUUCUCUCACUAAUUGCUCAAGACCAAGUGAAAUAUCAGUCUAUGCUUUUGUCUAAAUUUUCUUUCUAAAGAUCUGUUGUUGCUUUAAAUCUAAGAAAUUAUAUAUGUGGAUUGUUGGAGGACCACAUGAUCUUUUGGCGGUUCAUUAGAACCAUUCUGGAUUUGUGGUUCUUGUUGUUAGAAAUGGUUUAGUCUUGUUAAUAAUUUUAAUAUAAAUCAUAAAUCUGGAUCUUGUAAGAAUCAUUGUUGUAUUGCCUUGUCUGAGUGUGUUCAAGAAAUUCUGGAAGUGUUGUGUUUCAGAAAUCAUUAUCUAUGUGUAAUUUCAAGCUGAGGAACAACAUGGAUCACUUAAUUUACAGAUUAUGAUAUAUUUGCAGUGCAUUUUUUUUGCAUCUCUGUCCAUAUCUGGGAGUUUGAAUGAGUUACUAAUUGGCUUUCACCCAGCAUCAACUUUAGGACUUUUUCAUUGACAUUAUUAUUGUACUUGCUGAGUAUUAUCAAGGUCGAAGCAAGUAUUUGGUAGCCCUAAACUAGAUAUCUUAAACAUGUUGAAGUUGAAGUAUUAUGUGACAAACAAUCCAUCUUUUCCUCCAUGAUGUCCAUUAACCAUAUUGAAGAGAAGAAUUGUUGAAUUCCUAACGAUUGACUGUAGUGAAAGGAAGAUGAAAAUGAAUUCAAAAUUUUGUUUUCUCUUUCUAGUACCUAACUUCUUCUUUGAAAAAAGGCUUUGGGGCUGAUUGCCGGCUCCAGGUCCUUUAAAAUUCUAGACUCUGCAGUUAUCUGUCAACUAUUUUGAAAAUAUUAUGACAGCAUCUCUGUUAUCUAUCAUCUUCUGAAUGAUGAUUCUUGUGUUAUGGAACAGGCUGUGAAUUUCAAAAAUCAUAUUCUACAGUUCUCUGGAUUUGUAUGGCAUGAAAGUGAUGUAAGUAAUCUUGUAAUACUUGAGAAUAACUUGAAUAUUUUGUUUUCCCUAUUUUUUUAAAUCAAAAUAUUGUAUUCUCCAGGAAAAGCAGAGAGCUAAGAUGAAGGAAAGACUUGACAAAUACGUGAAGGACACUCUGCUGGAUCUGUGUGACUUGUUUGAUUUACCUGCUUCCAAAGCAAAUACUAAGAAGGUUAGUGGACUUUUCACUCUCAAGUUUGUGAUCAACAAUUAGUUAAUGUCAGAUUGAGUUUUUCUUUCAGUGUUUUACCUUAUCAUGUUAUAUUGAUGGUUUGGUUAAUAUAUUAUAGGAAGACCUUGUGGUGAAGCUAUUAGACUUCUUGGCUGCUCCUCCUCAUCCUACUAAUGAAGGCAUACUUUCUGUGGACAAGGUUUAUCUUUACUGCAUGAAAUAUUUUGUUUAGUGAAGUUAUUUUGAAGUGGUAUUAGCAUUGGAACCUAAUGUUGGUGGAGAAAUUCUUUCUCUUUGUGUUGCUAUACAUGCACAAAUGGGAUUGUGCAAUACUAUAUUCUUGUAUAUUUUUCACCACAUUACUAUCAUUAUGUUUGUUUACCGAGUGGUUAUAUUUUAGUUCAAUUACAUGUUCUCAUUUUCAUUUUUUAUUCAUUUGGAAGCAAUCAACAAAAUCUAGAAAGCGGAAGAGGGUGGCCCAAGGAAGUGGAUCAAAGAGUAUGGAUCACACACACAGCAAGAUAUCUAGGAAGGUUAGUAUGAGGAUUUAUACAUAUUCCACCAGUCAAUAUAUAAGUUAUCCGUUCUGUUUUUCUGCUUUAAUUUAUGUUUCUUUAAUUUCUCUUGGUUCUUGUUGGUCCUCCCCUAUACCCUGAAUUGGCGAGAAGCCUGUGCACUGAUUCGCCCUUUUUGUUUUUCCUACUACUAAAAAGUUGAACCCACUAUUAUUUUCAUAUUUUCAAUUUUAAUAAGCAGAAACAAACCAAAAGUGAGGAGACACUGAGUGAAGACGACAAAAGUGCACAAGAAAUGGAUAAUGAGGAUGACAUUAAGAAUAGUCCUUACAAGCGCAAAGCAGUCAAGCAUUCGGAGAAUGAGGGUGAGACAAGCGAAUGUGAGGAAGCAUCGGAAGAAGAUGCCCAUGAUGAAGAGGACUCAGGAAAGGGCAAGCAGGAUAAGAAGAAAACUUCCAAACAAGGUUCUGUUGGUAAGGAAAAGAUAGGGUCCAGUUCCGAGAAGGUUCCAACACCAGCAACUACCAAGAGUCCUGCUCAAUCAUCUUCCAAAUGCUCUAAAGCUGAAUAUGAUGAUGACAUAGGCGCUAAGGUUUUCUCCAGGAAAAAGAGAACUGUUGAUUCACCCAUGAAAAAAUCAGCCCCUAGGUCAGACAAGAAAGAAAAGGAUACUGGUAAGCUGGUAAUCAUGAACUCUUCAUGAUAUAUAAAUGAAGAGAUGUAUUGAUUCUCUUGGAUUAUUUACAGCUUCUUUAUUUAAGCAUGCAAUCAUUAUUUUAAUUGUUUGGUAAAAUUUACUCCUAGGCUAGGUAUAUAAGUAUGGAUCUAAAUGAUAGUCUGUCACCAGAGUGACUUCUUGAGACUAAUGUUUUAUAUGUCAGUUUAUUAAUGUUCGAGCUCAGAAGCAACCCAGCAUAUAAUCUAUGAGUCAGUUUCUAGGUUUCGUCCAUCAGCACUGUCGGCUUUUUAGGUUCCUUAAUGUUGAAGUUCUUUGCUAUCAAAUGAGAUUUCGUCAUAUCUCUCAAUUAGUUUGGCAGCAAUAGCAUAUUUAUUAUUUGAUACUUGUUUAUUCAUUUCUAAUGAGUAACAUAUGCGUACACAGUUUUCUUCUUUCCUAAUACACUGGCUUUGUGAUCUGGUGCAGCAGUCAUUUACCUAAUAGCUAUUAACUAUGUUUCCAGUAUUUACUAGGUGAUCUUUCCCAUCAUUCUGCUGUUUGAGCAUCUUAGUUGUUAGAUUUCUCUUAUAGGGGCACAUGUGAAUGCCAGUUUUUGAUGUUCAAGUUGAUGCAAAAUUUAUUUGCUAUUGAUCAAGGUAAAAAGGUUGCUAAAAGUAAGACCAAAUCAGAGGCAGAGCAUCCAAGCAAGGAGGAACUCAGGGAAAAAAUAUGUGAAAUUCUGAAGGAAGUUGACUUUAACACGGUGAGCUACUUUUUUGUUUAAUGUAUUUAACCUAUAAAUUUAUUCCAUAUGCUAUUUAAUUGUUCUUUACAUUUAUUGUCUCAUGGCCCCAUAUUUGAGGGGUGCCUUAUGUAUGGGGUCACCGUUUUUGUGUUACCUUUGAACCUUUAGGUGAUAUUAUAAUUUUCUCUAAAAGAUUUUAACAAUAAGAAAAAGUUUACGCUAGAUGGCCACAAGUUGUACUUAAGGUAGGUUUCCAGGCAGUCCUAGGUAAGUUUUGGGGAUUACUGAAGCACUGCCUCCAGCAUUAUUCUUCUCCAUCACAGAUGACCAGCAUGAGCUGUUCAUGUAGUGGUUUUCCCGCAUUGCAACACUAAAUUUGUUCUAUUCGUACUGUGUUUGACAAUAGCCUAUGGCUAAUACUCACUUAGAGCUGUUUAUGCUAUUUUGUUUUACAUUUCAAUAGAAAACAUGUUGCUCCUAGUAUGGUUCGUCUUACCGGUCUGUACUGGUGUACCAACCAAUUGUCGGUACGGUACACACCGAGCUAUACAAAGCAUAUCGACACACGACAUAUGAGACUGUGUCGAUGUACCACACAUACUAGUCCCCUGUCGGGUCAAUACAUAUCGCUCAUACCGAGCGGUAUGCCAUAGUACGACGAACCUUUGCUCCUAGUUUCCUUUCUUCCGAAUCAAGUGAUUUUAUUUGUUUUGUUAAUUAUUGCGGCAUAGUAACAGCACGUGUCCUGUUUUGCUUCAGGCAACUUUCACCGACAUUUUGAAGCGGCUAGGUAUGUGCUUUCUGAACUAUUCUUGUUUCUUUUCUUCUACUUUGAUCCACACCAGACAAUUAUGCAAUUCACCUAUCAGCCACCCACUACAAAGGGGAUCUGACACCGCGAAAAGCAUCUAUAAAGCUCCUGAUUCAAGAAGAGCUGACCAGACUAGCAGAAGCCGCUGAAGAAGAUGAGGACGAUGAAGACGAAGAAGAUGCUGGAUAGGAAGAAAAUCCGCAACCCACAGGCAAGAAGGUGGAACUGGCAUGUAACCGGCACUCCCCAGUUAGUCGGCUUUUAGGUUGGUUCUUGAUUUCCCCUCAAUGGAGUUCGGCACAAGUUUAAUGUGGUGCCUUCUCUGAAGCAGAACACCUACUCCGGAUACCAUCUUUGAACUAGGCAAUAUUUAUGUGUUUCAUUCUGCAUUUAGGAACGUUAUGAUAAAUCUAUUUCAACUCACUGUCCCAUGAUCAAAAUUGUAGAGGCUACAAUAAUGUGAAAAUGGUGUUCUUGAAGGGAUGUGAUGGUGUUGAAUGCCACUAGCUUGCGUGCAUGUGAUGUGGUUGCUGGUCUCCUGCAUUGUGUUCAGUGUGUUGUUGUGCUUACUGCAUACUGCAUACUGCAUACUGCAUACUGUGAUUGCACCCCCCAUCACCAUCUGCUUGAAAGAGUCUGCUCAGGUGGGCCUCAUUCACAUUAACCAAUGAGGGGGCCCAAUCGCCGCCGCCUACGGCAUAGAUCCGCUUCCGUAGAAGGUCAUCAACGGCCCAAAAGGUCCUUAGCGGUUUUCUCUUAUCGUGAAACGGACGGCCCUUGUUGUUCCACGUAGCUCUCCCUACGGCAUAUUUAGGCACCGACCCGAAGGACCGACACAUCCCUCCCUCCUCUCCUCGUCGGUGCUCUUGCUCGUGCAAACGCAGGCGUCGCCCAUGGUCGGAAGAAUUCAUCGGGAGGGAAGACCGUCCUUGACUCUUGUUCUUGCUUGCAGAAGUCUCUGUUCUCUUGGCCGUCGUAAUCUGUGUACGUGAGAAAGAAGCGUUUUUUAUCAGCUUAUUAUGCUCUGUUUCUCGGUCAGUCGAGAGAAAAAAGGAAGCUUUUUGAUCACUGAGAUUGUUAUCAGAAUCGAGCCAAAAAAAGGGUGCUUUUGGACUGUUGCAUGGCGGAUUCGGACAACGAGUCGGGCGGGCACAGCAACAGCAAAGGAGGGGCGGCGGCGCGGGAGCAGGACCGCUUUCUGCCGAUUGCCAACGUGAGCCGUAUCAUGAAGAAGGCGCUCCCGGCGAACGCCAAGAUCUCCAAAGACGCCAAGGAGACUGUGCAGGAGUGCGUCUCCGAGUUCAUAAGCUUCGUCACCGGCGAGGCCUCCGACAAGUGCCAGCGCGAGAAGCGCAAGACCAUCAACGGCGACGACCUCCUCUGGGCCAUGACCACCCUCGGCUUCGAGAACUACGUCGAGCCUCUCAAGGUCUACCUCCAGAGGUUCCGCGAGAUGGAGGGCGAGAAGGCCGGCGGCGGCGCCGCCGCCUCGUCCCAGUCACAGCCCAAGGACGGCAGCAAUGCCGGCGGUGGUCCCAGCACCUCCGUGGGCGGAGGCGGUAUGUAUGGCGGUGGAAUGAUGAUGAUGGGCCAGCAGAUGUAUGGUACGGGGCCACCAUCAGCACUACAGCCAUUUCAACAUCAUCAGAUGACUAUGGGUGGAAUAAACAGCCUGAGUGGUGGUGGCGGUGCCGACGGAGGCUCUCCGUCCUCAGGAAGCCGUCAAAGGCACGACAGAAUAUGAUGCUCGUUGGCACUUCUCAGUCGAUCAGAUAAAACCAGAAGGCGAUGCAUGCCAUCGAUGUCGCUUCCAUCCUCGACGUGUAAUAUCAUAGACUGUAUUAUCGAUUGGCGUUGCUCAUAAAUCUUCACUGUUUAAUGACUACCGAAGUAGAAGAGUCGGUCGGGCACCGUAUAUGGCAAGAACUUGUCAGCUUCUUACAGGUCUCUCAAGUUUCCGAACUGAGAGAGAGCCAUUGCAUCUUCUUCGUCUGCAAAGCAGGUUGUUGCCUUUCCCUGUCAUCGAAUACAGAGAUGAUUCAGAUUGGCAUUUGGAUAAGGUUACAAGGGAAAGAAAUGCCCCGAUGCCGAGGGCAGGAGCUCGUUCGAGCUGUCGCAAUACUGAAAGCUUUCACGGAAUCGAAGGCUCGCCUUUACUGAAUCGAGCCCAUACCACUUGCCACUUGCUUUCAUGGCAUCAUGUCAAGCACACAUUCUGCUUCAGCCGAACAUGUGCUCCCCGAUCACACGCAAGAGGUUAUCUGCACAAAAUCCGGAUCAUGUUUGUCUUCUCUGCCGAUCCUAAUUCCAAAGGAAAUAGAACAUGUAGAUCUCCAUCUCCAACGCCUGAUGCAGGUUUGUAAUAAUGUCAGUUGAUAGACCAACCAUGCAUGUUUUGUGGCAACGACAUCUGAUCGGCGCGCAGCGGCCCACCAUGUCUCCUACUGAAUCCAGUCAACAAGCAACUCGAACAUGUCGCUGUAGAAGGUGUAGAAUUCUUUAGGAAAUGAUGCCUGGAGGUGGGAAGAACUGUCCUUCCAAGUGCUAUGGUUCUUUGUGCCACUUGUCUCGCAAUCUACGUGAGACCACUCGAGCGUUGGUAUGGGGCAGAAAUGGACUGAAGUGGGGAAGCCGCCAUCGCCACUAGGGGAGAAGCUUUUCUUUUGGACGAGAAUUCUCCCUCAUUCAGUGGCCUCUGAGGAAUUGGGGUCCAUUUGGUAACUCUCUUUUGACCCAUAGAUCGAUCGAAAGCGCAACAUCUCAUCAGAACUGCUCAGCGCAAGUCAUCAAUGGAUCUGCCUCAUCGUCUCUUCGUCACUGCAUGGAGAUGAGAGAGCUAAUGAAGACAGACACAAACUGAUCCAUUUAUGAUCCAAUACCUCUGCAGAAGGCUACGGACACUGUGACUCCUGCUGCUUCCUUCAGGGAAAUGUACUCCGAAGGGUUCACCUUUGCCUGCACCGUAUAGAUGAAUCAACUAUGAUUGGAGUCACCUUUGCCUGCACCGGAAAGGAGUCCUUGCAGAAUCAUGCAAGGACUCCUUUCCGCUUGCCGGAGAACAGUCAAAGAACAGUCUUCUCUCUGGUGCAUCAGCAUCUACACAGCGACUCCUCUGAAACUUACGCUAGAUUACAUUAGAUUUCAGAUGCAUUUCAAGGAUAAGUUCUUAAAUGUAAUGCCAAUGCAAAAAUAUUACCCAACAUCCUUCCUUACUUGCAACAAGAUAACCUAUUAUCAUCAACAAGAUAACUUCAUCGUAUCAUCGAAUUCUUUAGGAUCGAAACCAGCUUUUGCCAUUUAUUCAUCGCAAAAAAGGGGGAAAAAAACUGCAAAAGUUGAAGUAUCUACUCGUAUUGCUGACCAAAGAUGUAAUCAUCAAUCGAGAACUGGUUUUGAUAAUCUAUUAGAUCGAUACGGUAUCGUAUAUCAAAUAAAACUAAAACAAAAAAUAACUAUACAUUUCACAUCUGUGUAUCAUUGGACCAUUAAACAUCAAUCGGUUUGCAUGUCUUUUGCCUUCUCACAAGCAGCAGCUUGGCAUCUUCUUGAAUUAUCUUUACCCAUCUUGGUUCAGAGUCCUGUGGCAAAAAGGAGUGAAUAGAUUCAGGUGUUUAUUAAUUGAAGCUUCUCUUAAAUAUCUUUGAGGAAAAUUAGUUUAGGACUAAACAGGGGAAUGCUGCAAAUAGGACAUAGAUCUUACGCAAGUGAAACAUAGAUCUCUGCAUUUUACUAGGACUUGUAACAUGAUCAUUCAUUGUAUUUGAGCUCCGAGAUCUCAGAGAUCCCUGCAACUGCUAUUAGUCCCUCUGUGAGCAAAGGUUAAUUUCCAAGAAUGACAGGUUUAAGAUUCAUGGCAAGAUAGCAUCCUAAACUUGGAUGACAAACGGAAAUUACAUCAAAGGCAAAGGGAAAAUGAGGCACCAAAAGAGGCAUGCCACCAUUAUUUUAUGUCUUUUUUCUUCCCAUCCAAUAGCAAUAUGCUGUAAAGAUCAAGCCAGAAGCAUUGAAUCAUACACAUUCUAAGAAUAAUCUUGUCAUUCUUGUACCUCCAGCUUUUAAGAUGGCUGCACAAAGUGUUGUUUCCUCGUAUAAAUGAACUCAUAGAUUGAAUGGCUAACAGGCACAUCUCAAGUGUCUGUAGAUUAGGAGGAAAAAUAUGCCACUUUGGUAGUAUCAGAGAACUCGAAACUUUAAUUACAUUCAUCCUACAAUCGCAGCAAGAGAACUCAAAAUCUCCCAUAUGAGAAAGCAGAUGUCAAAUUAGCAGCUUCUCCUCUCCAACUGUGAAGAUUUUAUCGAAAAAAGAAAAAUCAGCAUCAUAUAUUAAAUAAUAUACAAAAUUUUAAAUACCCUAAACACUCCCAAGUUUUUUUCAGCAUGUGCACCUCUCCUGACUAACUUCAUCAGUAAGCAAGUGUCAGGGGUUCAAGCUUGCAGGGUCCAAGCAACAGGAAUGUAUUCACCUAGAAGCACAUUCAGGAUUGUCGUGUCUUGAAAACUUCUACGACGGUCUGAUGCCCAGUGCAUCCAACGUAUCAGCAGGCCAGUAAAGUCCGCUCAAUAUCUCCUGUUUCAAUGAAAAAUAUGAGAUCAUAUAAAAAAAAUAAAAAUUCCUAUCUUUCCUGUUUCUAAUAUGAGACUAUAUCAAAAAUUGAUAGAAGUUCCUAUACAAAAUAAAGAGUGCUAAAAAGAGGCCAUAUUCUACCUUGCGACCCAAGUACAUAACUGAAUGGCCAAGGGACAUAACAUAUUUGAAAUUUAAGGUAUUCUUAACUGAUUAUGUGGGACAAGCAAAUUGGAGCUUCUGCACUUUCUAAUCACCAGGAUUCACUCUAAUGGAAGUCAUCAACAAACCCAACUAAGAGAGUAUCACGGAAUUAAAAUGAUAGAAUACAUAGAGACUAGAAUAAUUUUAACAACCAUGGGUGCACUUGAUUAUUAUUCCAUGAGAAACCUAUUGGCAGAAGAUCCUUGUGAAGUCCACAGGAAUCUUUGACAAUCGAUUAGUUUACACAAAAAAAGGUUAAUAGAUAAGAAAAUUAACUAACCAUGAUUCUUAUGCUUCCAGCUUCUAAAUCCUUGAUCCUUUUCAUGAGAAUUUCAUUCUUUGCUUUGAGUACAUCAUUCUCAUUUUUCAAUACGGCCAUCAUCCUUGCUGAGUCCUCGUAUUCUUGCUAGCGAAGAAGGCAAAAAUAAUUAAACCCAGGGAACGCAUAGUCCAUUCUAUGUAAGACAGUUUAAAAGGCAAAAAUGCAUAAGCAUUUAUGAAAUCAGAAUUAAAACUUUAAUAUAUGGAAAGAAGUUUACAAACAUUGACAAAAACAUAAAAGAAAAAAAAAGGCAUGGAUGUUCUUAUUCCACAUUACUCCUCCAAACCACAUAAGCUUGUCCACCACUUGUUAUACAUGAUUCAACAUUGGCUUACUUGUAAGAAGAAUCUACGUUUUGAAACCCAGCACCCCUAUGAAAUUUAUGGUGCUGAGUCAGUUAUAAACAAUGAAAGCACAGUGAACCAUUCUACCAUCAAACGCUUAUAUCUGGCUGUUGAAUUAUCCAUGCCACGUGGUGCAAGUGUUUGGAUGGAAGGGUUCCAGGUGCCUCUACAGUCAAACAAGUUACUUGAAUUAAUGUCGUCUUUCUUCAUCCUUAGAGAAUGUUUCUCUUCUCCAAAUUCUUUUUCCAUUACCAUCCAAAUCUAAUGACCAUUUCCUUCUGUUCUCAUCCUCAUCAAUUAUCCCUCCUCCUCUCUAUCCAUCUUUAUUAGGCAGAUCAGAGAGGUUCAACUAUGCCCAGAUUUUUUUUUUCCUAUCUUCCUCUAGCCAUUUCCCAACCUAUCUCUUAGUCUCACAUAACUUUUGCACAUUCUUUCACUAUAAUUUAGAGCAUCCUAAAUAAUGGCACAUUUGAUUUCUAUAUUGUCCAAGAGAAAUAAACUGCACCAAUUCAUCCCACUAAUAUUUACAAAGAAAUCAUGGAAAACAAGUGCUUUGCCUUCCUGGAAAAUGCUCAAGGAAAAGAACAAAAAGAAGAGAACAAGAAAAGACAAAAAAGGAUCCCACAUAUAAUCCAAACAGCAUCUCUAAGUUGCCUAAAAAUGCAUACCCUUUUACGUAUUCUUGACCUUCUUGCUGACUCCCUAUUUGCCUGUUUUCUUCUCUCCCUGAAUUCGUCGUCAUCCUAGCAACAAUUGCAACGGUCAUUGGGGUAACAUGUUAAGAAACCAAAAAUAGGAAACAGAAAAAGAUAAUCAUGAAGGCUGAACAUAUCCUUGGUGUAAUAUAAACAAUUAAGAGCGAAACCAGUAAUGUAAUAUGCAAUAUGAGCUUUGAUGGGGUAUAGCUCUUCAAAUUACCUACAAUCACUGCUGUUCAUGCAUAACAGGGUUCGUUUCCUAGCAGCAAUGGUGCAGACUUCAUUUUGUUUGAUGUUACUCUUGAAGGCACAGGUUCAAUAUGGGAAGAACUCCAAAGGUCCAAUGUAUAGUAAAUGGCAUUUAGUUUUCUUUUUCCGUUAAACUUUAGAAUCACUCGAUCUGUCAUGUUUUGAAGGAGAGGAAUGAAAACUGCCAGUGAAUUGCAAAUUAUGGAAAGGCUUGAAGCUUUUUCUACUUUGACUGACCUUUUACGAAAAAGACUUUACCCAUUUUGUGAUCCAUGCUGCACAGGUAAUUUCAUCCCAUACAUAUAUUACAGGCUUCAAAUGAAAUAUAUAACUUGUAACUUCAGACAUAUAUAUAUAUAUAUAUAUAUAUAUAUAUAUAUAUAUAUUAUUUUAUUUUAUUUUAUUUUUUUCUUAUCUUAAACAACUACCUACAAGUGGUGACUAGUAAAGGAUGGAUAGAAUGAAAAGACAACAAAAUGAUACCAGGCUACAAUACUGAUGACUCCAGAUGACUAAUCAACAGAAAGUCAUGCCCACUACAAAGAAGAGGCAAGUUUUAAGCUCUACACUUGGCAUCUCAAUUCUCAAAUAAUUAUCUACCUUGCAAUCAGUUUUAUCACAGUUCACCAGAAAGUCAUCAACAUCAUUCACAAUCAGACACUUUAUCAUCUCUCCACAUGUCACUCAGUUUGAAGUUUUUUAGAGCAUCCUCUUGUUUUCCUAGAAUCACAAAGUAAGAUGUCCCUAAUUAAUGAUGCAUUUGGUUUCCAGACUGUCCUAGAGAAGCAAACCACACCAUUCCAUCACACUAAAUAGUUUCAAAGAAAUCAUAGAAGCCAAUCCUCAAGAAACUUGAUAUCCGUGGUGUAAAGAAAGCAUGAACAUAUCCUUGGUGCAAAUAAUUAAGAGUGAAAACCAGUAAAACAAUAUGCAACAUGUGCUGUGAUGGGGUAUAUUUCCCGAGAAAUUACCUGCAACCGCUGUUGUUUAUGUGCAACCGGGUCAUUUCCUAGCAGUGGUGAUGGAUAACUACAUUGGUCGAUCUCUGUGUUCAAUUCAGUUUCAGAACCAGGUGGCAAUGCCCUUAGCAGUAGUGAUUCUGGUGAAACUGACAGCGUUUUGACAGAAUGCUCCCCUCUAACAUCAGAUGCUUCGAUGUCGACACCAUUAUGUUGAUCAGCAGUUACCAGAUGUAAAGCUUCACCUAAGCAAUUACAGAGUAGAAUUUUGCACUCACACACAAGCUACUGAUCCAUAAAAGCCAAAAUCAUACAAGUCAAUGAACGGACCCUUGGUGACUAUGUCUUCGUAUCUUCUCUUUCUAGAUGACAAGAAGCCCUAAAUACCAAAGAAAGAUUAGAAUAAGCAAAAAUCAACAGGUAACUACUUUUCUCUAUGCAUACAAGUUGUGACAAGCAAGCACGCCAAAGAAUGCCAUCAUGCAUGCUUAAAGAAGAAUAACAGCUUAAGAACAAACUAGUGAUGUAUAUCAGCCUAUCUGCUGAGUUUUAGGACAAUGCUAUCUCCAUGACCACAAACAGAAAUAUGACACAGUAAUCACCACACGUAAAUUCAUCAAUGCAGCAAAUAAAUAUUACCUUCCAUUCAUCGUGAUCAACGCUGCAGUUGAAACAUAAAAUAAAUGUUCAUGACUGAUUUAAACAACUGAAGAAAAGAAAAAACAAGAAUCAAACUCACUAGCUAGAGUUAGAAUUCUUUCCAGACGCAGAGGAUUUUCUGUCAACACGUCCAGAUUUCUCUUGAGAUCCCUCUGCUUUGCUUGCGGGACUCUCGUUCCUCUCCUCCUCCUCCUGCGGCAGAGGCCUCUCCUGGAUUGUAGGAGCCGGAUAAGGCGUCAUCUGAGGACAAUUAAAACCAUAACGUAUUCAAUCAAUCAAGAAUCCAAUGACAUCGUACUAGCGACCACAAAUCAUGGAAGAUUAACAUGGGCAGGCACAGAGGAAGACACGAAAUUGCGUUGUCAUAGAGCGGCUGGAAGUUAUCCGAAGAGAAAAAGCAAUAAAAAUCGAUUGUUUCCUUAGUCAGUCGACUCGAAAGUAACACAAACAAAGUAAAGAAGAGAACGCAAUUCUCUCUUUCCGGUCCCUGCCAACCUGGGCCCGCAGGAAGACAGGAGGCACUGCCCUCCCCUUGGCUGCCGCUGCCGCUGCGGUUUCCGGCGCCCACACCGGAGGCUGCACGUGCGGAGUUGGUGGAGACAGGUUCGAUCUUCGUGGCAUCAGCUGCAGUUCUUGAGGCGCCGCAGCUUCGGAGGUGGAGGCGAAAGCGGACUCCUUCGCAGGCGAACCCAUCCCAGCUCACCAGAACUACGAAACACCGAAAUAGCAUCAAGAUCAGUAACAAGAAGAAGAAAGCAAACGCCAACGACUUGCGAUUGGAGAAAGAGAAUGCAUAUGACGGUAAUCGCGGAACCGGCGUCGGCGGCCAAGAAACUAGGUUGGGGCGAGGAGGGUGAAUGGGCGGAUUAUAUGGAGAGGAGUGUGGGGCAUGGCUUGCCCAGUAUGGCAAACUCUACUUGCAAACGGAGAGAGAGAGAGAGAGGAAGAGGAAGGAAGGUGAAUGGACGGAUUAUAUGGAGAGGAGUGGCGGGCAAGGCUUGCCCAGUAUGGCAAACUCUACUUGCAAACAGAGAGAGAGAGAGAGAGAGAGAGAGAGAGAGAGAGAGGAAGAGGAAGGAAGGGUGACUGCGAUCGCCGAUUUUGGAUCGGCGGAGGGAUAGAAUCCAAAAGAGGAAAGGAGUAAGAAUCGCGAUGGCGCAUGGAAGGGUGACCGGCAUUAUAAUUACAUGAAGGUUUCUUGAUGACGCAGCAUCGCGUGCGGGCAUUCAGGUGGACGGCCACGUCGUCAUCUCGGAAGAAAUUAAUUCUUCAUAAUAUUGAAUAAUUUCCCGGAAAAGAAAAGCCAAUUGCGUAUAGAGAGCCUAUUUAAAAUAUGGUAUGAAUAAUUCUUAAUCUUCAUCCAAGACUACUAAAUUCUUCAUAUAAAUUAUUUUAGGAGACCACGAAAUCUAUAUAAAGUUGAUAAUUAAGAUAGGCAGGGAUUAGAAGGAAUAAAAUUUGAAUAAGAUAUUUUUAAAUAAUGUUAUAACGUUUUGGUUCGAUAAUAAAACACAUUAUAAGUCCAUCCAAAUAUAUUACAACUUGAUAGUGUGCUUUUUUGAGUAUCUAACUUUAAGAAUACUUGGAAAACAAUUUAAAAUAGCAACAAUCCAAAGACAUUAAGUUGUAUUGAUUUCUUCAAUACAUAAUUUGAAUAUUUCCUCAAUAAAUGAGUGCAUGAGAUUCACAUGAAUAAUUCUUCGAAUGACAUAUUAGUUUAAUAAUUAUUAUAAGUGUCAUUGUAAAAAUUACAGUAAACAAUUUAGUGGUUCUAAAUACCAAAAUUGUUACAUGAUUCACAUAAGUAAAUUUCAAGUGACCUGUCACAAAAAUAAAUUUACAUGACAACACAAAUGUAGAAUAAGAACAUGCAGGUGCUCUUUUGGUCUCAUCAUGCUCGUCCAUGGUGAGGUUCCAAGCAUAUAAUCUCGAGUUCUCCAACAAAUAGAAAAACAAGGAAAUACAAGCUGAGUAUAAGCUGUCAAAUGAAUCUAAUGUAUCAAACAUUAUUGCAUCAACAACUAAUCUCUUGAACAUACAAUUAUCACUGCAUUGUUUGUGUUACAAUAUAUAAAGAUGAGUAAAAAAAGCUGAAUUCUUAACCUGUAUGGCAGCACUGAUCUGUGGUAGCUUCACCUAAAAUAUAGGUGUUUUAAUAUCUUGCAAAAGAAGUGACAGAUUAAGAUGGUGUAAGAUCAAAGGAAUCUAUGUCAACUCCUUUUGAGUUCAUCUGCAUUAAAUACUUUGUAACUUUAUCGAUCACAAUUUGUUCAAGAUAGAUUAUCAAUAACAACUAUAUUACUUCCAAAAAAAUUGUAAGUGGGCUAGAUGAUGAAGGAACAAAGCAAAGCAUGAUAAAUCAAGUCGACCUUUCAUCAAAAGAUGGAAGUAAAAACGUAUAUUGAAAGGCAUAACAAAUAAAAUGAUUUUUUGCUCAAUUCUGUGGAUUCCUUCGACUCCAGAUGAAGAAGAGUCCGCUCUCAAAGAGGUGAGAUGAAGAAGGGCAUCCAGCUCAAAUGUACUUGAGAGCUCAAAAUGAGUACGCUCUCAAGGAGGCAUCAUGUUUUUAGACACAUAACAAUCUAAAUAUAAACUAGGCCAAAUCAACUUCGUCAUGCCGAGUUGAUGGGCAUUUGUGACACGAACAAAAGUCCAAUGCAUUUUUCAAUCAUCUAAAAUGAGACAAGGCUUACUAGUCUAACUCCUGUAUCAGCUGCUUAACUAUAUUCUAGCAAAAGAAUGUGAUUAAGCCACCGAUUUAUUGGCAUCUUCAUGUAAUAUAAAUGAUAUAUUCUAAAGGCAGGCUCUUCCCCUUAUUCUCAAUGACCAUAGGCCUAAUCUCUCAGCUACAGGUAUCCUCGUUGGCACAAAAUAAGAAAAAAGACAAAACAGAAUGACAUUUAGCAUGUACAUUAUCAACCAUAAGUACAAUAUUAUUCAUAACUUGCAAUUGAUAUAAAAUUUGAAUAAGAGUUAGAAACUUGGAAUACUACCAGCAUAUAGAAUCAAUGUACAGAUGCAUCGGAAAACUACAAUUUGAAUUACAUGCCAAUAGUAAGAGUUAUUUUGACAAGAAUGAACGUACUAAUUGUAUACUACACUAUGAUGAUACAAAUAAAAUAAUAACAGACUUGAGAUGUGCCCAUGAGGAGAGAUGUUCGAAACUACUUUAAAACAAAUGAGAGCAUUCACUAUCAAUGUUAAGCACCACAAGCAACUUGUACUACUUAUCUAAAUGCUGCUAUAAGUAAUCAUGAAGGGCCUACUGGGUACAUUUAAGAGUGGAUAUUUUUGAAAAGUAUAAUCAAAUAAGAAUUUACUAUUACAAAAAAUAAGAACCAAACAACCACAUACAAAACAGUGACUGGAAUAUUUAAAUAUAGUAUCAAGCAGCCUUCCCCAGAUAGUCUUCAACUUGGUGAUAAAGCCUUCUUCAUGAAAACCUGUUCCUGCUCUAAAUAUAUUAGGUGAUUUCCAAAAUAUGAAUCUCUAUGUAACUCUAUGAAAGAAAAACAAAAAAAUAAUAAUAAGCCGCAUAAGAAUCGCUUCCUAAAAUUAAAUAAAAAGUUGAAACUGAACUAAACUGUCAAGAUAUGGAACUUCUCAAAAGUUGAAGGAUUUAAAUAUUUCAAGUCAGCUAAACUUGCCACAUUCACAGAGAAACCAGUUAAAUUCAAGAUCCAGUAAGUAGUAGUUUCCUUGGAAGCAAAUCGACUUCCAUAGUAUAAAUUACCUAUGAUCCAAAUCAGUGAAUGGCAAUAGAAAUCCUAAUUUAAAAUUUCCCUUUUUUUGCAUAACCCGAUGAAAAAACAAAGUACAAUAACAAGGAGAUGCUUGAAAUGAACAGUAAAUCUUAAAUAUAGAGUGCUGAAUAUUGAAUCAAUAAAACAAAUCACCAUAUAUAAGAUUUUCAAACAAGAGAGGAAAGAUCAAGAUUCACAAGUAGUAAAAAAAUUAAAUUCGUUCAAAAACUUUAAAUAUUUUAUUUGUAGAAUAUUAAGUGUGGAACUGUUACAUGAGUCAGUCCUGGGAAGUGGCUUGCAACUGAACGAAUCCCAGCAAGGAAGUCAUUAAAUACCUAAGCCAGAAGGGGGAAAACGCUUUCCGUUACACAUUUCUCAAUGAGGAAUCAGUCACUGACCACCAGGAUUAUGGGUGAUCAUGAAAAUUUAAUUUAUAGAAAAGAUCAAAUUGGCAUGUAUAGGCAUAUCUCUUAGCUAAUUGAUUUUUGUUGUUUAAGCAUUGCAUCACAGACCUUCGCAGCAUCCAGACCAUAGCCAACAUUAUGAACCCUGAUGAUAUUAGCACCAGCCAAAAUGCCAGCUGUGACGGCAGCAAUGGUGGCAGGAUCUCUCUCAUCAGGACUUCUACGGUUGCAGAUGUCACCCAAAAAUCUUUUUCUAGAUGGUCCAAGCAAGAUUGGCACAUGUGAAGCAGCCAAGCUUUUCUUACCAAUUUCUCUCCGGAUGUUUGAUAGACCCAUAAUUAGUUCCAAGUUGUGUUCAGUUUUCUUUGAGAAGCCAAUGCCAGGGUCAAUUAUUAUCCGCCAUAUGGGAAUUCCUGCUAAUUCGGCUUCAUGCAACCGGUUAUAUAAUUCAGAAGCAACUUGCUCACAAACAUCUUCAUACUUCAAAUUUUCAUUACUUUGCAUGGUAGUUGGAUCACCUCUCAUAUGCAUUGCAAUAUAAGGAACACCAAGGUCUCUUACUACACUCAAAAUUUUAGGGUCAAGCUGUCCACCAGAGACGUCGUUAACAAUAUGAACCCCUCUGUUUACCGCUACAGAUGCAACUUCUGCAUAGAAUGUAUCGACUGACAAUAGCUUCCCUUCCACCUCAGGCAUUUUAACAACUGCAUCUAAUACUGGAAUAAGCCUCUGAAGUUCUUCAUCAACAGAAAGCCGACUUGCAUUAGGGCGUGUAGAUUGAGCACCAAUAUCAAUAAUAUCUGCCCCUUCUGAGAUCAACAACCUGACCUGAGAAACUGCAACGUUAACUUCCAAAAACUUCCCUCCAUCACUAAAACUAUCGGGAGUCAGAUUUAGAACACCCAUAACAUGUGUCUUCUCUGACCAGUCCCAUAAAUGAGUUCCCAUUGGUAAAACUCUUUUCAAUCCUUUGCUCCCAAUCAAGGAUUCACCACCUAGUUUUUCCCACAAUUCAAAUAUUCCACCUCUUCGUCCUACUAAAGAAUGCCAACUUGCCACAUUAUCAUUGUCAAUAGAUGAUCCCAAUAGAUCGAUAAGAGGUGCUACGACAAAAGCCCUUUCCCAUAUACGCUCAUGAGGCACUAUAAGAUCUUCAGACUCAAUUUUGCACUUCCCAUAGAAAAGAAUGUCCAGGUCAAUUGGCCUUGGACCAUAUCUAAUUCCAUCCUGCCGCCCUAAGUCCCUCUCAAUCUGUUUAAGUGCUUUCAAUAACUCAUGAGGCCCAAGUUUUGUGGUACCUCUGACAGCAGAAUUCAGAAAUAAAGGUUGCUCAGUUACAUAAGCAGGCUCUGACUCGUAUAAGCAGCCAUGUCUUGUGAUAUUUACACCUAAUUUCUUCAUCAUUUGCAAUGCUUUAUUGAAAUUAUGGAUUCUGUCUCCAACAUUGCUACCUAAAGCAAUCACAACUUCCUCUUCUGAAGAUUGAACCGAACAUUCUGCAGAAGAAUGGAUCCGGUAACAAAAUGGGAUCGGGUGAAAGUAGGUGCAUCUGGAAGUUCUAAAGUUCAAUCCUGCAACACAGAGAGAUGCGAAUUCAGCCCAAAAAACCUAGCGCAUGGGAUGAUUCUUUUUCUUGCGAAAUUAUCAGAAAAUGCUUCAAAAAACAAUACCUAUGUGACUAUUUGAAUGGACAAAGCCUUUAAACCCAUGCCUGAAGAUGGGAUACAUAUGCCUAAACAUUUCCAUGCCACGACAGAAAACUGGCAGUAUUAAUACAACGGCAUCCGAGAUCCACCGAUUCGGAAAGGAGAUGACGUACGACUUAGUUAAGAUCAAUGAGAUUUAAAUGCGGAUCCAUAUGCUGUUCGAAAUCUACCCAUAUAAAUUUCUUUUAAUUCCACGAUUUUUCUGUAGGUCAGAGAUAAGAAAAAUAGUCAAGUUUCGCACAAAUUUGCUUAAUAUCCGCUGAAGAAGCUAUCAGCAGGCUCAUUCUAAUGAAAGUACUUGUAACAAAGAAGCAGCUUUAAUAUAGAAAAGGAUGAUACAAGAAUGGACCACAAAAAAGACUAGCGAGUCAGCCAAAGCGACACAUAAAUGCGUAGCCGAUGAGAUGAAAUCUAAAUAUUACGAGUUCCAACACACGAUCCAGAAGAAAAAGACCAUCACUUCAAGCCAUAUCCAAGGAUUCGAAACACAAAAUCUCAAAAAUAGAUGGUUGUAAGAGUUACUGAUGGAGAUCUUCAAAUGCAUGGCCUUUGGAUAAUAAUGAAUAUUUGGGACUAAAUCCUACGGUCGUGUUCCAAGAAUCUCCACCAAAAAGAAAGAAAGAAAGAAAGAACAACAGUAACAAGGAACCAGGAUGGGGCAUCACUCACUGAACUCACAGUUGAUGGCAUCAAGAUGUAUUUUUGGCUGAACAAACAGGCAGACAUGGUCAUCUAGUUUCCGUCCGGGAGGGGAUGGGUGGAUUAGAUCUCGAUGGGGUUGGUGGCAGACCACUUAGCGGAUCUGAUCCGUGUCGAUCCGUACCCGAUCCGGUACUGCAAAGAUCCGAGAGAGAGAGAGAGAGAGAGAGAGAGAGAGGAGGGAGGACGANNNNNNNNNNNNNNNNNNNNNNNNNNNNNNNNNNNNNNNNNNNNNNNNNNNNNNNNNNNNNNNNNNNNNNNNNNNNNNNNNNNNNNNNNNNNNNNNNNNNNNNNNNNNNNNNNNNNNNNNNNNNNNNNNNNNNNNNNNNNNNNNNNNNNNNNNNNNNNNNNNNNNNNNNNNNNNNNNNNNNNNNNNNNNNNNNNNNNNNNNNNNNNNNNNNNNNNNNNNNNNNNNNNNNNNNNNNNNNNNNNNNNNNNNNNNNNNNNNNNNNNNNNNNNNNNNNNNNNNNNNNNNNNNNNNNNNNNNNNNNNNNNNNNNNNNNNNNNNNNNNNNNNNNNNNNNNNNNNNNNNNNNNNNNNNNNNNNNNNNNNNNNNNNNNNNNNNNNNNNNNNNNNNNNNNNNNNNNNNNNNNNNNNNNNNNNNNNNNNNNNNNNNNNNNNNNNNNNNNNNNNNNNNNNNNNNNNNNNNNNNNNNNNNNNNNNNNNNNNNNNNNNNNNNNNNNNNNNNNNNNNNNNNNNNNNNNNNNNNNNNNNNNNNNNNNNNNNNNNNNNNNNNNNNNNNNNNNNNNNNNNNNNNNNNNNNNNNNNNNNNNNNNNNGAGAGAGAGAGAGAGAGAGAGAGAGAGAGAGAGAGAGAGGGGAGAGACCUGAUGGGGCGGUGCGGUGUCUGAUAUCAAUGGAACCGGCGCGAGAUUCGGCAACCGCGUACGCGGGGCGGGCGCACGACCGGGCGGCGAGAGCUACCCUCGCGCCGCCGCUCACCGAUCCCAUUCUCAUCCCACUCAAGUCGUGCGGCGCCCAACACCGCCCACGCGGGGUGGAGCAGAUUCCCAUCCGCCCUGAAGCAGCAAUCGUCCUGCUCUCGUCGCCGCGGCCGCCACCCACAAGCCCAUCCUCCUGGGGUUUUAGGGUUUGAAACCUAAACAGCCCCUACAGCAUCCCGGUCGUCCGCGCCCACUCCGGAUUCUUCCCGGAUAGAGUCCGAGUCCGAGUCCGAGUCCGAUAGGGCACUAGUGCAGGAGAUCAGCAAAAUGUUAAUUGCUUUUAUUACUAAUAGAUAAAAUAUGUAAGGGCAUAUAUGUGAUUUUAUAACCGGGCGAUGGUUAAUAUGCAAACCUUCUUUAUCAAUAAAAGAACAUUAUUUUACGCUGUAAUUAUAGCUAUAAGAUAAUAUAUUUCAGUUGUCCGUAAUCAUCAAUUACUGUAAUUUCGAUAAGUGUUAUAUUAAUAUAAACUUUUAACUGGUUAGUGAUGAUUAUAUAAGUGUUAUAUAGGUUAUCAAGGGAGGCCUCAAUAUACUGCGUAUUUUCUUAUAGCUAUAAUCGAAGAAAAUACAAUCAAACAAAAAGUCAAAGAAUAAUUUAACUGAAAAAUGGUGGCACCGACACUUCUUCUUCUUCUUCCAUCGACUGUCUCUACUGUUUGAUCUUGGUUUCUUUGGGAAAGCAUAUUUAUGAUCCUAAUUAACCUGAUAGCUUAAGCGUUUAGAUUGCAACACUGCUGAUUUCCACACACAUAAUUUCCUGGAUUUCUUGGUACAAUUCACAUCAUGUGUGAUUAAUCUGGAUAGAAAGCAAAGAACAAGGAGGAGUGGAUGGUCACAAGAUGAACAACUUCUGAAACAACACACACAUUAUACUGAGGUGCUUCCGACACACAUUAUUAUUCCAAGCAUUAGAGGCAGAAGAAAGAAAUAAAGUUCUCCAGGAUCAUAGGUAUCUCUCCUCAACUCUUGCAGUAGUACUGGGCUUGGCACCCGCGGGUGUAUGCAUUUCCACGUUGGGGAGCCUGCAAGGGCACCCUAUCCUUCUGCAGAGCUCCAUAGCUUAUGGAGGUCUGUAGAGACUGGAGGAUCCUCCUUCCUAUCUCUGAUCCCAUUGACCACUCCUCCGCAUCAUGCAUCUGCCCAAUGGUGCCAUUGAGUUGACGUAAGUGAGCUUCCUCCACAUCUCUACCACCAGCAGCAGCAGAAACUAGAAGCAGGAGUACUGCGGCGCACAAGCAAUGAACUCUCCCCAGUUCGGUUGCCAUCGCCCAAACCGCUCCCUCUAUCACCUUGCUUGCAGGAGCCAGAGGUGAUCUCAAAGUCCUAAGAUCAGGCACUCUAUUUGUGUGUAGCAAUGAGGGCAACGGAUCACCAAACUCUUCGCAUGAGCACCAGGAACCCGCUUGUUUCAUAAAAGGAGAAAGCAAUAGAUCACCAAACUCUUCACAUGAGCAGCAAGUACCAACUUGUUUCACAAAAGCAAAAAGGUAGAGAUGCGCAGUUCUCCAAUGACUGACAUACAACUUUGUCUUGUGCUUUGGCUGACGGUGAGACCCCAGUCGUGGAUGUGAAGUUAGGGACAUGGAAGGAGGUCCACCAUGUCAUGUGAAGUAGGAAAACAAGACGUCCACUAUGAUGGCCCUCAAACAUGACCAGCAUUCGCGUGUCUGCUUUGAUGAGCAACUGCACAUACCAUUGGCACCAUCUAGGCCUUGUGUCUAUGCGCCUUCCUCCUGAGACCACGUCGCUCGGCAGUUGACAGCAAUCGGAUGCAAAGCAUUGCAGUGUUUUGUAGGCAAUACCAAGACUUGCAGCAUGAAGAGUUGGUGAUGAAGAAGAAGUAUGGAGGUGUAUAGACAAAAGAGGAGAGCGUAGAUGGCAACAAAAUGAAGGCAUUUUUUGUAUCACCAUCGUUCUUCGGUGAUUCUAUGGGCGAUGUGAUGGAAAAAUCCAUGAGCCUAAAUAGGGGGAAAAGGGAGUCUACUGAAUCAUGGCCUUCAGGUCCAUCAUUCCAUCAAUCCCAAUCAUAGCUCAUCAAUGAUAUAAAUGCUCAUAUUAGUCCUGUAGUUAGGAUUUCUUGUCCAAAAAGAUAAUUAGAUCAUCCACACAUGUUCUGUUUAUUGUUUGGGUUGUCUAUAAUUAGUUUAUUAUAUUUAUUUUUUUGGGAAUGAUAGUACUAUUUAUGUUAGAUUUGAUUGGUGCAUACAUAAUAAUCUAACGCAAUAUUUCAUUUUUUUUAUUCAGGUUUAUGAUCGACAUUAAUAAUGUUCUCUGAUACAUACAGUCAGUCGAAAAAGAACAAUUGAGUUUCAUGAAUCGAAACGUUUAUGUUUUCCACGCAGAGAAGCGAAACAACAAACACAGGAAAAAGAUAAGCAAGCCAAAUGAUAACAUCAUCAAGUCAUACAAGCAAAGUAGGUUCUGCGACGACACAUCGAUCAUGAGACUCCUAUGGAAACGAAGAGACUUAAAAGGAUCACUAUCUGCAAUAAUGAGACUUCGUACACCCACGGGUGUAAGCCCCCCCCUUGGCAGACUUGGCCGCCGGUCGGCCGGCAUUCAAGGCACCGUAGACUAUGUGCUGGGCCGUCGCCAUCUCUGGAUCCAACCACCCAGUGCCGCCAGCGACGCCGUCGAACAAGGUGGUGUUAGAUGGCUGGACAUAACCCACAUCCAUAGUACCUGCAGCAGCAGCAGAGAGUAGAAUGAGGAGGGUCACGCACAAGAAGCAGUGGACUCUUACCAUCUCAGUAGCUCCCAUUGCCUUCACCUACGCUAUGGAAACAUGCGACUCUAUUUAUUCCCGAGGACUGAAAGCAACAGACCACCGAAACUCUGCAUGCAUGGUUCAUGAUCGACAUCUUGACAGGGAAGCAUGUCUCACUGUAUUAUUGAGGGAGAACGAAAGCAAC